UGAGUAGGACCAUAGGGAUCUUAUGUUUGUGGCGAAAGAUAAGUGGUUCUGUCACAACCAAGAAAGUUUCUAUGAGUGAGCGACCCUUGAUAAACGCCGAUUGAUACGUGUCAAUGUCAAUAAGUGGAUGAGUGUUGUUAAAGACAAUGUCUGUUCCUCUUCUUUGAAACGAUUUUCAUGAAUAUCGAGAUGAUACUGAUUGGCCUGAAAUCCUCGAUGGUGUUGGCAUCUUUUUUCUUUGGGAGGAGAGUGAUGGAUGCCUGGGUUAGCCUCCAAAGAUAAAGGCCAUUGCUAUGAAAGAGCUGCUAGAGAGAAAGCAGUUGCGGGUGGAUGAUGUCCCAGAAGGCUUGGAUUGCACAGAUUCUACCAGAGGAUGUUGAGAUGCUCCCAUUGCAACUCACUGAUGGAGAAGAACUGGAGAGCUCAGCUAGAGCUGGAGGAGGUGGUAGUACCUGUUCCCUACUGGUACCAGUGGUGGCUUGAUCACUUCAAAUUGGAGGGACUAUUGGGCCAAAUUCCCAUACUGUAAAAAAGGUUUUCUUUUAUGAUAUAUCAGAGGUUUUGUGUGCAGAGGCCGCCAAGUCGAAGUUGGAUGUGGCUUUUGUAGUUCCCAGUGAAGGAUGAUGCUGGGUCUAUGAUGCAUUUUAUUUGGAUUUUGGCUGAUAGUUUUCGAUGAAGCCAUAGAUACUACUCUUGUCUGAGACCUGUUGGCUUCAUCCAGAGGGAGAUGUGUUCUAGGGUGCCAAAGUACUCUUCAGCUGAAGAACUCUCUUUGGGACAAGGGCAUCAUCAAAGCAAAGAAAUCAGAAGAAGAAGCAGUCAGUAAUGCAAUGUGAGACAAGUGUCAUGUAGCAAGGUGCCCGGAAUCUAUCGUAUAUCAUAUAUAGGGAUUUUGGAUUGCGAUUUCCUUUUGGGGAUCAGGCCGAUUUGAUGACAGGAAUUUCCUUGUUUGUUGCAGCCUAAGAUUGGGAUUGGCCUACUCUUCUUCUAUAACCGGGAUCUUACGACUCUCGUGCUUAAUAAGUUGGCACCUCGCAUCCUGCCAAAACCUAAUCCUCUUAUUCUCUAGCUAGAGUUGGGCUCCUUAAGAAGAUAUGAUACUUCUACUUUUGACACCCUUUUUUUCCUAUUUUUAAACUCCAAUUGAUAAAGCCACCUGGCGAGUAGGAAUAGUUUCGAGUUUCUGGUAUGUUUUCUUUUGAGAAUCAAACCUCUAAUGGGUUUUUGCUACCAGGAGAAGGGAAUGGCCAUGUUGAUGGGGUCUAUCUAAAUAGAGAGGAACCUACAGGGCUGAUUACUCGAUCACUCCAUUGUGAUGACAAUCACACCCAUAUUCUUUAUUAUUUCUAAAUAUAGAUAAUUGCCAUCUCCCGGCAUAAGAAGGAGUGACCCUAACGACAGCCCCUAUAAUAGUAGACAACACGUUUUAAAUCAGACUGGACUGAACGAAGAAAGAUCUUUCCACACAAGAGUGGAAGGGAUCCUUUAGAAAUAGUUCUUAGCUCCAAUCAAGCUUUCUCUGCUGUCUAGGAUCGUUAGUGCUAUAGUGGAGACACUUUUCUCAAAUAAGAAUGGUGGUCACAUUCCCUUUCUAGUGGUAGUCAUUGAGGAUCUCAAAAACAGGGAUCGCAAAAACGUGUCAAUAAUGACAACGCUGGGCGAAAAGGCUAAAGAAGAAAAACCUGUAGAUUUGAAUGCCACUUCCUUUGCGAAGAUAGCUAGAUUUGGAUGUCCAUUCCAUAAGGUAUAGCUGCAUCUGACACUGAGUAGAAGUUACUAGCAGGAUAGACAGGAAGCUCUGAAGGAUGUACAAUGCUUGGAGGGACAGAAGUUUCAAGAGAAAUGGUCUCUUUUGAUGGGCAUUUGUAGAUGAUGGUUGAUACUGCAAACAAUGCCUUCUUGACAGCUCUAGCAUCACCAGUUAUCUAUUAAGCAUAAAGAUACAUUAAAGAUAACAAUUAGCGGAAUAUAAGAAACAAAGAAUAGAUAUUGAAUAAAGAAAAAAAAGAGCAGAGCCUCAUAACCGUCCUAAUAGAGAUAAUACCACAUUCGUCUUGUUCUUUACACCAAUCCAACUCGUGAUUUUUAGGAUGGAUCUCACACGGAAUCAAGGGAGGUGCGGGAUACGACCCAUAUCACAUUCCUGUGCCAUAGCUUGCCAAAUCAAAUAAAUCUAUCGAAGCUAGGGUGCCAGGCCUAUAAGAAUCAGAAGAACAAUCCACACUAAUGUAACCGUAAAGAAAUGGCGGCUCUAACAUAGAUUUUUCUCAAUGUGUCAUGUUGUUGAAAAAUCCUGUGGUAGCAUGGGAUGAUCAUCACUUUAGUUUUAGUUAUUGAUUUACGCAUCACACAUUAACUAAUAUUUAUGGGGAUGGAGACUUCGCUAAAGCAUGCACAUAAAUAGAUGAAUGAGCGAUUACAAGGCAAGGAGAUACAGAUCUGGGAGUUGACUCAGAACUUGUACAUAGGUCAGCUCACUAAUGCUUAAUAACCAAUAAAUAGUCAAUCAAGAGAUAUGCACCAGCAAACAACAUUAUACUGAAAUAGUGUAUUAGGCGGCAAAUGGCACAGAAGAGUUUAGACGAUAGAUUCUCUAUAACAGGUAGGGAUCGGGGGUUAUGCGCUCUUUUCUAUAAACAAAGUAGGCUUGUGAUUGUCCGCAUCAUCACUCAAUCAUGCAAUUCAAAGAAAUGGUUUACUUAUGUUCUUCUAAAGGAUGGAAUUGCUAGAUUGUCAGUAAUAUCAAUUGAGGAAGAAGCUAGUCCCACUUAAAUUCGAAAAGUAGACCUCUAUUGUGACAAAAGAUUCCUCGCCCACAGCAUCUCACUUAUUGAUUGUGACAUAGCUCUCUAUCUCUGCUCAUAAGAAGAUAGCAUUUCAUUCACUCGCUCUAGAAACCAUAGGAGCUACUAUUCCCAAGUUUCUUAAGAAUGGGCACUCACUGGAUUCAGGCUUCCACCGUUCUAGCUUCUCUUCGUAGUUCACUAGAAUGUAUCGAGCAUGUUUAUCCAGAUCAGGAGGCUUUACAUAAGUUGCUACGAUUGCCAAGUCGAAAAAGAACUGGGCAUGAAAGUGAAAGUGGAAAGAGAAGGGAGCGUGAUUUGUUUUAAGAAUUGGAUGCCCUUAUUAAGGGAAUCUAUAUAAAAGGAGAAAUUGGGCCUAUUUAUAACUUUUGGUACCUAACCACCUGAACUGGGAAUGAAUCCACUUCACUUCACUUUGAUGUAUCAGAGCCGGUUAUUUGAAGGUUCUAAGCCAUGUAUCAGAGCCGGUUAUUUGAGUAUCGAUGCUGUUGGAGUCUAGCUUCCGACCAAUCCACUUCACUUCGGAGGACAUAACGGCUUAAGAAGAAAUUGAGAUCAGGCCCGUGGAAAGCACACACACACGCCCAGGGAAUGAAUCCACUUUUGCAUUCUCAAUACUAGGGGGGGCUUCUCCGGUCGAUUGCUUUAACUGUUAUUCCCCAGAUUGGCGAAAUGACCUUUCGUCUUGCUUCCGUAAAAUAAUAAAAUGUGCUUUCGCCAGAAGAAGAAAAAAGAAGAUAGCUCAGUAAAUGGCAUUCAAGUAAAGUCGAGAAAGAGGCCUUGCUUUCGCAUAGGAAGGAAAGAAUUGACUCGGGUAAGUAAGCCCUAUUGGGGGAUUAAGGGCUUGAGUACGAUUAGAGCGCCUUUUUUCUGCUGCGCAGGCUGACCAUUUUAAAUAGGGGGAAACAAGAGACUGUAGAAGAUGAAUAUGGCUAGUCUACUGCUACUGUUUGAUUGGCAAUCCUUAGACUAUAGGGAUGAAGCAAAGGAGCAUAACCUACCUGCAACUAUGCUUUAAAGCAAAGAAAAUCUAUCGAAAUUCUCAUUCCAGUCUCAGGGGAUAUCUGAAGCUACCGAUCCGGGAUCUCACUCAAAUCCAAACCUAGCACUUUUGUAUUUAUUGCUUCUCCUUUUAAAAGGUCCGUAGCCGAGUAGAAGAGAAGAAAAGAGAUUUCCUUAUCUGCAUGCCAGCUUUCAUUCCUACUUUUGAUGAAAGAAAGGUCAGUUGCUGCCGACAAGUCGACUAAACUUUCACAACUGUCACCUAUCUUUAAGCACCUUGUCGGUGUCAAAACCGGCGGAUCUCGGGUAGGGGGUCCCGAACUGUGCGUCUAGGCGGAUGGUACAGGAGACAAGGGACACGAUGUUUCACCCAGGUUCGGGCCCUCUUGAUGGAGGUAAAACCCUACGUCCUGCUUGAUUGAUAUUGAUAUUGUGGAUGUUUACAAGAGUGGAUCUACCACGAGAUCAAGGAGGCUAAACCCUAGAAGCUAGCCUAUGGUAUGAUUGUAAUGGUUGUUGUUGUGUCCUACGGACUAGAGGCAUCCGGUUUAUAUAGACACCGGAGAGGGCUAGGGUUACAUAGAGUCGGUUACAAUGGUAGGAGAUCUACGUAUCCGUAUCGCCAAGCUUGCCUUCCACACCAAGGAAAGUCCCAUCCGGACACGAGACGAAGUCUUCAAUCUUGUAUCUUCAUAGUCUUGGAGUCCGGUCGAUGAUGAUAGUCCGGCCGAUGAUAGUUCGGCUGAUGAUGGUAGUCCGGCUAUCCGGACACCCCCUAAUCCAGGACUCCCUUAGUAGCCCCUGAACCAGGCUUCAAUGACGAUAAGUCCGGCGCGUAUAUUGCUUGGCAUUGCAAGGCGGGUUCCUCCUCCGAAUGAUAGAAGAUUGUGAACACCAGGAUAGUGUCCGACUCUGCAAAAUAAAUUCCACAUUCCACCGUAGAGAGAAUAAUAUAUACACAAGUUCAAUCUGCUGACUUUUUUUGCGGCAUGAUGUCACGCCACUACCAAGCCAUUACUUGAAUCGUUUUUUACUCUACCACCUCAGCGCAUUUAGCGAAGCGGUUUCCUUGGCACGUCUUGUCGAAGCAGAGAUCGUGUUCCCCCUUAAUCCGGGAUUCUCAUCAAUACGGACGUGGGUAACCCAACCGCGCCCGUCGCCACGCCCCCUCUAUCGAAGGCGAGUCCCAGACGGUCACGGAGACGACUCUUGGUAUUCCCCCUCUUUAUAACGGGACCAAGGCUCGUUUCUUUUCUUCAAUCCUCCAUCGAAUCCUCUCCCCGCUCCAAGUUCCAGCACCUAGAGCUCCAGAUUCGAGCGCUUCGGACUUUCAACGAUGUCCGGUUCCGACCUCCAGGGCCGGUGGAUGCCCUCCUCCGUCACGGAGGAGGACGUGCUAAAGCUGCGGGAGGCCAAGUACCUGGCUUAUGAGAUUUCGCACAGGUUGCCUGCCGAAGGGCAGGCCAUCCCCACCCCCGAGCCCGGCGAGUAUGUCGUUUUUGUAUCCCACCUCCGUCGGGGUUUAGGCUUCCCGAUGGAUCCUUUUGUGAGAGGGCUCAUGUUUUACUAUGGGUUGGAAUUCCACGAUUUGGCUCCGGAGUCCAUCCUCCAUAUUUACGCAUUUAUUGUCGUCUGCGAAGCCUUCCUCCGCAUCACCCCUCACUUCGGCCUGUGGCUGAAGACCUUCAAUGUGGCGCCGAAGAUGAUCGGGGGGCGUCAAGCGGAGUGCGGCGGGGCGGCCAUAAGUAGGAGGGCCGAUGCCCCGUGGCCCGCUGGCUCCUUCCAAGAGGAGCUCGGCCCGUGGCAGCAAGAGUGGUUCUAUAUUACCAUUCCGAGGGGCCGCAGACAAAAGCCGCCGCCCUUAUUCCGCCCGGGACCUCCACGACGGUUGAUGUCGUGGAUCAACCAAGGGCUAAACUGGGGGCCGUCAAAGGACGUGCCCCUUCUGCAGGGCCGGAUUCGAGAUCUCCAAAUGAGGGAGGUUGAUAUGGUGGUGGUAAUGCAGGUUAUGCUGAUUAGGCAUCUCCCACCCUGCAAACGCCGCCCUCUCCGGCUGUGGGAGUUCAAUCCGGAGGGCCCACGGAUUCUUCAACACUUCAUGGGUAUGACACCCCUGGAGAUGUACAAAUUAUUCUUCGGAUCGCAAGAGGCGCGUCCGGAAUUGACCGAGGAUGCUGGCCUAAGCUGCAAUCGCCUGGAUACUCAAGUAAGUAGUUCCAAGUCCAGACAUACCGUUUGUUUGCCUUUCGAUGAUUCGCCUUAUGACCAACUUCCUUCUAAACAGGAGUGGAUAGCGGAAGCAAAAUUGAUAUGGUGUCCGGCCCCCCUCCCCGAGACCGCGCCGGAUUCCGUGCUGGUCCGGAUGCUUGAGGUUGCGCCUCCAGAGGAAGGCAAAGGGGAAAGCAGGAAAGCUACUGCCUCGCCUAAGGAGGCUCUUGAAAGAGGGGGGAUCGAGAAUCCCUCCGUCCAAGGGGAGAAGAGGACUGCCUCCGAGGACCCGGGGGCAAAAGCCCCUAAACGGGGGAAGAAAUCUUCGCCAGAGGGUCCUGCAUCCGGGGAGGCCCCGGUCGCACAAUCUCCCUUAAAGAAUCAGCCCUCCAACGAGCCGUAAGUAGAAAGAAAGGAGUUUUAUCAUAAGGGACAUCCCUAUUUGUGCUUCUGAGGAUAACUAAAGUUUUUACCUUGUAGUUCGGAUCUCCGUCCUUCGCAAAUGAUCUCGUCUUCGGGGGACCUUCGUCCAGAGAUGAUGGAGAGCGAGACGCCUCCGUCCGGGGCGCCGUCGGAUAGGGCGGACGAGCCUGAAGUUUCGUCACGGAGGGAGCCCCUAGUUUGGCAAAGCCGGAUAGUUCGGCGCCAACUGGUGUACGGCUGAAGGAUCUGCUUGAGAAGGCGUCUAUCUCAGAAGAUCACCAUGCAUUGAUGAGCAUGGUGAUUGAAAGGAUUUCGUCCGCCGAAGGCGUGUUGCAUAAUGCCGUCAGGAGUUUGCUGGCGGGGUUUGAGGUACGUAAAAAUGACACACCUUUUAACAGUUUUGCAUAUAGAAUGCGCCAUGUAUAGAUAGUAGCCCCUGAGACUCGGUAGGUUGUCGAAAUCGACAACGUGCCGAGGAUCAAAAUCGCAGGUUUAAAUUCCGGCCAUGCCGAUGCAGGUGGCGGGUCGUCCGGGGGCCAGCCGGACUGAUGGAGUUGCUGAACUAAAGCGGCAACUCGUUGUUGCGGAUGCGGACAUCACGCUGGUCAACAAGCGACUUGAUGAGUCGCAAGGUAAGUGUUUCUGUGCGGUCACUUGGUAAGGGAGCCGAAGCCAGCUCCUUACAACAUGUGUGUGAAAUGCAGAUAGUGCCGCUGCUGUGGAGAGCCUUCGGGCCGAACUUGCUCAAGCCAAGGAGCAGGCCAGAAGGAGUAAUGCGGCGGCCUCGAGGGCAGCCGAGGAGUUAGCGGCCGAAAGGGUCGCACACUGCCGGAGCAGGAAAGAGAUGGCCGAAAUGGCCGUGAAGUUAAAAGAUGCUACCGACCGCAAUGAGGCUCUUGGGAAGGAGCGCCUAGCGGGGCAAGAAGACCUGGGGAAGGCCACCGCCGAAGCAUAGGAUGCCCGCUCUGCAAUGCGGGCUAUAAAGGAAGUGCUGCGCCAGGCCAGAGAUAUUGUAGCUCGCAAGCCUUUUCUGCUGCGCCGAAGGUUUACGGAUCCAAAGUAUGCUCAGCUGGGCCAACUGUGGGGUCCAGAGGACCCUUAUAUGGACUUAGCAGCGAGUGCGGCGGAUGCCGUUGUGCAUUUUCGAAGCCAGAAGGAUCACAAGAUGGAAGAGCUGUUUUGGUCUCAAUUCCAUAGUCCGGAGUGUUCACUUCCGCUGACCGGCCAUUUGGCCGAGUGGGCUGAGCUAAAUAGGUUAUCCGGGCUUGCUAUGACGGAUAUAGUGACCCAUGUUUGGCCGGAUAGGCCCGAGCCGAAGAGUUACUUUGGCUUAUUGCAGCAAUUUCUUGGGGCGGUGCCGCAUAUCAAGGCGAUGAAGCGGUCGGCCUGCAUAGAGGGUGCGCGGAUGGCACUCGCCCGUGUGAAGACACAUUGGACAGAGAUGGAUGCCACCGCUGUUGCGACCCCGGGUUCGGACGAUAACCGGUUACCCGCCGAGCACUAUUUUGGCGAAGUGCUGCGUGGUGCUCAUGUAAUAGAGUCGCAGUGCUCAAAAAAUGUUACGUUCGAAUGAACGUUUUUAUGAUGUAAAACAAUAUUUAUGAUGUAAGCGCCUUUUAUACUUGUGCGUUCAAGUAAUAGAAUAUCUCCUAUGCGGCUGUUCAUGUAUACGUGUGUAUAACCUGAAAGAUGGCAGUCGUCGGCUUCAGCCCCCACGCACAAGGUGCGGGGGUGUUCGCAAAAAAUAGCGCGUUUUCACACUUAAUCCGACGUCUCGGUCCUGUAAAGGAGGUGGUAGCGUAGCAAACGAGGCAACCGGACUAUAAUGCUUUAUCACUUUCACUUAGCCAUGGAGUUCGAGGGUGGGGCUACGACAUAGCCCCUGGGGGCACCGCGCUCUCCGAAUUUGGGGCGCGUAUGUGCCUGACCGGGAAACGGCCCUUCGUCAAAGCGGAGGAAUUCUAAACAUUCCCAUGGUCAAUCGAGUGGUUGACCAGUCUCUCGCUGUAUCAUGACAGUCAGUUUUCGGCUUUCUCUACUGAGGUGCUCGCCCAGCCGAACUGGGGCACAAUCGCAGUAGUUCUCCUGGUGCCGCGUUAGCCGGUGAUACGGAACGUAAGGCAGCAAAACACAGGAGCCGGGCAAACCCAACAUUUGACCAAAGACAUGAUUCGGAGCUGAUGCAUAUAAGGCCUAACUCGAGACGCCGAACACUCCCGAAGGUGUUCGGUCUUUACAAUAGCGGGCAAAACAAUGCCCUAAGCCCCUUGUGUCCAGGUACGGGCAAGUUCUUCUGGCGCGGCCGAUGCCAAAACGCCAGUCUCCACUCUGGUUAUAAUGAGAAACCAGGGGAUUAUAGCAACAAGAGACGGUAAGAAAGGUUUACGUAGGGUCUUAGUCUGAAAAGAGUCCUUGCAACGGGUCCCUACUGCACGUCUGCGCCUGUGUCUCUGUUGUGCCGUAUCCUGGACGGGUGUGCACGCUGUUCAUCUGUAAAAAGAGAGGAACUUAGUUUGAAAAGAAAUCGUGCGAGAAAGUGCAUAAAAAAUUGAAAUAUAGAUUAAUAAAGUUGAGCCUAUGCUAGCUCAUUAUGGCUUAUAUGUACAAACCCUUGUGAAGGGGUGUGCGGCUAGGUAGCCCCUAGCUUAUUUAUUCCGGACUCGUCCAGCCGUGUCCGGGGUCUCAGGCGACCUUUUAAUGAAAUGAUGCCACGUGGACCAGGAAUUUUAAGCGUAAGAGACGCGUAAUGUGGUAUUGCAUUGAAGCGGACAAAAGCUUCCCAUCCCAGUGAUGCUUGAUAGCUACUUUUAAAUGGGGCGACAUGAAAGGUUAGCUUUUCUCGUCGGAAGUUGUCAGGUGACCCGAACACAACUUCUAGUAAUAAUGAACCUAUGCACCUGGCGUAAGGGCCUGGCGCCACUCCUUUGAAGGAAGUGCGGCUAUGCCGAAUUGUAGUAGGGUCUAUCCCAACUUGCGGAUUGUGUCCGGAUAUAGCAGGUUUGAGUCAAUGCCGCUGUCCAUCAAAACCUGCGUGAAUUGCAGUCCGUCUAUUAUGGGAUCCAAUAUCAGGGCAGUCUAUCCUGCGUUCCGGAUACUUCUGGACUAAUCCAGAUGCUCGAAAGUGAUUGGUUUUGACAUCCAAUCUCGGUGUUCUGCUGGGGUGGACCGUGUGACACUUGUCUUAGCGAGUGCCGUGUUGGUUUUCCAUACUAUCACAUGAAGCGAGUUUACUGUUUUGACUUCUUGUGGGAAAGUCUUUUGACUUCCGGUGCUCUGCUGGUGGGGUUCGUCAUCGUCCUCGCUUGGCACAUCGAGCCCCUUGUGUCCGGCUUUGAGUCUGCCGGACUGUUUAAAAACCCAAAAAUUUCGGUUGGUAUGGUUUGCAGGCCUUCCGGAGGUACUGUGGAUUUGACAUAUCCGAUCUAAAAUUUUGUUUAAAUUUGAUAGCUCGUCACUGUUGUCCUUAAGAGGAAGUGUUUUAUUGUUUGGCCGCGAGCAUUUGAAUCCGGCGUUGACCGCCGUGCCCUUUGGGCUUUUUUCUUUAUUCCGGCGCUGAUCUUUCCUGCACCAUGAUUUUCCGUUUCCAUCUCUGAUCUCGGAUGUACUCGGGUCGCUGGUGCUGCAUCUUGCUAGCCAGUUGUCUUCUCCUGCGCGAAAGCGCGUCAUGAGGCUUGUUAGCGCGGCCAUUGUUCUUGGCUUCUCUUGGCCGAGGUGUCUGGCGAGCCAUUCGUCUCGGACGUUGUGUUUAAAAGCUGCUAAGGCUUCUGCGUCCGGACAGUCGACUAUUUGGUUCUUUUUGGUAAGGAACCUGUUCCAGAAUUUGCGCGCUGACUCUCCGGGCUGUUGGGUUAUAUGACUCAGAUCGUCUGCAUCCGGAGGGCGGACAUAAGUCCCUUGAAAAUUUGCUCUAAACGCGUCCUCAAGCUCUUCCCAACUUCCAACAGUGUUUUCUGGGAGGCUUUUGAGCCAAUGCCGAGCUGGCCCUUUGAGCUUGAGGGGUAGGUAUUUUAUGGCGUGGAGAUCAUCUCCUCUAGCCAUGUGUAUGUGUAGUAUGUAAUCUUCUAUCCAGACUCCGGGGUCUGUUGUGCCGUCGUAUGCCUCUAUGUUUAUGGGUUUGAACCCUGCUGGAAAUUCAUGAUCCAGCACCUCAUCGGUAAAACAUAGCAGGUGUGCGGCGCCCCUGUAUUUGGGUGUGCCGCUGUCUUCGAACACUUGUCGUGUUGUGUUACUUCCUGGGGCCCUCUUUUUUGGCCCGUAGAUGGACCUAGUUGGGCCGUCCGUUUUCCCAGGAUCAUAAGUCGGCUUGUGUGCGGCGCCGCUUGUCGCUUUUGGCCUUUCAUCUGGCCGUCUAUCCGGCCAGGCGGCCUCUUUAUUUUUUGACUAUGAGGGCUCUAUGGCUUCCUCGUCAAAUUCUGGCAGCAACUUGCGCUUCGGGUAGCUCUUUGUUUGAUGGCCAUUGCCAUAUUUGUCUGCGGUCUUGAGUACUUUGCUCCACUUCAUUCUGAGUAUGUCUUCCGCUAUUUUGAGCUUCCAUUUUUCCUUCUUCAAACUUCUUGCAGUGGCGACGAGUCUUUUGUGAAGGUUCUUAUGCUCUGGUGUUGUGUCCGUACUGUUGAUUGCUCCGUGAAGGGGUUGAUUAUCUGGUUCGUCCUAUUCGGAUGGUUGCUUGGUUGUAUGUUCAUCGUCCGCUGGUUUGCCCUGCUCUAUCGCUGGGUCGUUAGGAAUGCUGCUUUGAUCGAGGCGGGACUUAGGGCGGCGUCUACGUCGCCGUUUUGGUUGUUUAUCGGCGGGAUUAUCCUCUGCCGCGUCCCGUUGUUCCUUGUUAUCGCUUCCCUUUAGGGUGUCCACCAUAUGUAUGUCAUGUGACGAGGUGGCCUUCCAGUGCCCUGUAGGCGCUGGUUCUUGAUUGUCUCCGGCAUCGUCGUCCAUACCGUUGAUGUCUUCGGAGUCGUAGUUUAGCAUGUCGGUUAGAUCGUCGAUGGUGGCUACGAAGUGGGUGGUGGGUGGGCUCUGAAUUUCUUCAUUGUCCGCGUCCCGACCAUCCUGGCCGUAGUUCGGCCAGGGCUCUCCGGAUAGUGAGAGAUGCUUCAGCGAAUUUAAGAUAUCGCCGAAGGGUGAGUGCUGAAAGGUGUCCGCAGCGGUGAAUUCCAUGAUCGGCGCCCAAUCGGAUUCGACUGGCAGGGGCGCAGGAGGUUUGGAGUCCGGCAGGGGGUCCGGCACCCCGGAGUCAUGGGCUUUAUGCGGGACAAGGUAAGUGUUCGGCUCCAUCGCCGUGGAAGUUGCAGCUCCCGAGGCAGUGUCCAGCCAUCCGUCCUCGAUCCGUGCGAUCGGCUCCGGACUAUGGGUCGGAGCGGAUUCAUGUGCGGCCUCCAAGGUGCUGUCCAGCGGCAGAGUUAGGUCGUUCCCGUCGUGGCAGCGCGGCACGCUUGGCUUUGGCUCAGAUCCAUCGAAGAUCAAGUCCCCGCGGAUGUUGGCCGUGAAGUUUAGGCUUCCAAACCUGACCUGACGGCCAGGGGCAUAGCUUUCGAUCUGCUCCAGAUGGCCAAGUGAGUUGGCCCGCAGUGCGAAGCCGCCGAAUACGAAGAUCUGUCCGGGGAGAAAAGUCUCGCCCAGGACUGUGUCGUUGUCGAUUGAGGAGGCCAUCAAGCCUAUCGGUGACGACACAGAGGAACUCUCAAUGAAAGCACCAAUGUCGGUGUCAAAACCGGCGGAUCUCGGGUAGGGGGUCCCGAACUGUGCGUCUAGGCGGAUGGUAACAGGAGACAAGGGACACGAUGUUUUACCCAGGUUCGGGCCCUCUUGAUGGAGGUAAAACCCUACGUCCUGCUUGAUUGAUAUUGAUAUUGUGGAUGUUUACAAUAGUGGAUCUACCACGAGAUCAAGUAGGCUAAACCCUAGAAGCUAGCCUAUGGUAUGAUUGUAAUGGUUGUUGUUGUGUCCUACGGACUAGAGCCAUCUGGUUUAUAUAGACACCGGAGAGGGCUAGGGUUACAUAGAGUCGGUUACAAUGGUAGGAGAUCUACGUAUCCGUAUCGCCAAGCUUGCCUUACACGCCAAGGAAAGUCCCAUCCGGACACGGGAUGAAGUCUUCAAUCUUGUAUCUUCAUAGUCUUGGAGUCCGGUCGAUGAUGAUAGUCCGGCCGAUGAUAGUUUGGCUGAUGAUGGUAGUCCGGCUAUCCGGACACCCCCUAAUCCAGGACUCCCUCACACCUUCUAGGCCGCUUCCCAACCUAAUGCAUUCAAGUCUGCCUUCGGUACUGGUACUUCGGAAUCAAGGGCCCAACAAGCGACAUCAGGAGUCUUUGGCCGAAGAACUCGCGGAUAAGAAGGUUAUUCCAUAACUAUAUAAAAUCCAUAGUCACGCUCAGCAUGCGAAAGCUUGUAAAAAUGACAUCCCCUGCGAAAACCAAUAGGAUUUGUUAGGCCAUCGAACACUAGUUUCUGGUUUCUCAAGACCUUGAGGCAAGGGCAGUUACGCAACAUUUUCUCAAUAUUGAAUGUGCAUUUUUCCCGCACCUUGCCUAAGCGCCCUGGGCGACCGGACUCGACAAGGGUAAGAUCCCAAAUCUGUUCCUUUCCUGUUGUAAAGUCUGCACCCUUAGAGGUGGCAUCCCUUUACGCAUGAGCCUUGUUAGUGCAUGUCUCAGUCCCUUGAGACAUGCUCAGUCCUAUGUUAGGAAACCAAACAGUGUAAUUAGCUUCCCCCUCUAUUCCCGGCCAUCGUAUGGACGAGGGCUCCUCUCCCUCUGCUCUACUGCCCGAAAAGGUAUAUAUAUACUUAAAUUAGGAAUUGAAAAUGCUUGGGCUUGCCUUAUCCUAAACAAAAUAAAGAAAAGCCCUACCCGCCUUCAUUGGUUCAGUAAGGGGCAUUUACCUAUCAGUCCUAGUCCUAAGGCGCAAUCGGAGCACUAAGCCCAAUUACAGCUUGACUCUGUAAAUUAGACCUCAUUCUCCUAGUCCUAUUCCUGAUUGUUAUUUCGGAUUCUGUGCCUGGGUGGUAUCUUCUUACUAUUGAUUCAACCUCUUCGGGCAAACGUUGUCACUUCCUUUAUUUGGAAAAAGGGGUCUAGAACUACAGUCAUCUGAUACCUUCUUCCCUUGGUCUGGGUAGGUAGGUUAUGUAGGCUACAAUUGUUCAUAGGUUGUUCAAUCGCAAAAGGCCAAAUAAUCGAUUACUAGUAUGCCGAAUAUUGCCAGGAGGCCCUUCCCCCUAUGUUUGACUCAUCCUAGAUGGGUUCACACCUGUUGAUUCCGAUCAAAGGAAAAAGCUUUUUCACGGCAUCCGUCCCAUCACACCAAUCUAUGCCAAGAUAAAGAAUGCUGGGUUGCGAGGAACAAACCCUAUGAUUCAAGGUCUUGCCUAGAAUUGCCCUAAGAAAAAUGCACCCCAUUAAUUAAUCCCUCUUUAGAGUAGUAUAAGUACAUCCUCGACUCUAGCAUGAAUAGAGUCGAGUUCUCGUACUAACCUAAGAGCAGAUAUGCCGAAAUAUUUCCACGUUCAAGCAGCUAAUCAGUAAACGACUUCUCCGUAACAGUUUGAAGAUUGGCUCGCAAUGCAAGUAGCGGCAAGAAAGGAGAGCAAGACUUCCUUUUCUAAAAGAAGAAAGAACUAGACUUCUAUAAGAAGAUUUUUAUAAUCGUAGAUCGUGGAAUAUUCAUCUAUCUUAUUAGGUAACUACUUUAGCUGCUCACGAAACUGAACCAUCGUGAAUAGAACUAAAAUCAGUGUAUGUCAUUGACGAUUCCUCCGUUGAAGUGAGAAAAUAUAUUUGUAGCUCUAAAUUUUGUAAGGAGCAAUAAAUAAAGAAUAUAUAUCUACAAGACUAAAUAUCUACCCUAAGUAUAACAUAAAUAUAUACGUUGAUCAUUACAAAACUAUAGAGAAAUGGAAUUGUCGGUGUACUAGAGUAGGGGUACCCUAGUAUCCCGAACUUGUGCACGGGCAGUUGCAGCGCCGCGCGGCAAGGCUUGCCGGAAGACCGCCAGAGUCCUUCGUGGGUUCCUUUGGAGCCAUUCAAGAACAAAGCAUUCAAGAUGAAGAGACAAGGCCCCGGAAAGAGGAUCUUGCCGGGAAGAGACAAGGCCCCGGCAAGAGGAGCUUGCCGGGAAGGCCAACCAUGGCACUUCAAGAAACUUGCCGCGAUGCACCGCACGUCCCGGCAAGGUCCGGUGAACGACAAGCUUCUGGACUCGACAAGACGACGACCCCGACAAGGUACUCGCCGGGGGCCCGCUGCCACUCUGUACCCAUGCUCCAGCGCACCCACCCGCGUGUCGCCAUGAGGCUUCCUCAGGGGUGCGUGGCGGGAGCCUGUGCAGCCAGGGGUACGUGGUGGCAAGCGGAGAUGAAGAGAAGGCCAUUGUGGCAAACGGUGGCGCUCCUAACGGUCACUUUUUGCACUGUUUAGGCAACUCAGACGGGCAUUCAAUGACCUUGUCCCCUGCCGUCAGAGUUAGGUAGGGUGCACUGUGUCCACAGUAGCGGUAGCUGCACCUACCGCAUCCUUUUCCAUUUUACCCUUCUAGUCUACGUUGCCACCUGUCGGUGACCCCUUGAAAGUAUAAAAGGAGGCCCAAGCGCAACGUAGAGGGGGGUUCGGCUCAUUCAAAACAUCAGGAACACUCUCACGCUCGGUCGGGCAGCGUCCAUCGCUCCUGAGCAAGAAUUCAAUACACACAAACAAGCAGCAGUAGGGUUUUACGCAUCCGUGCGGCCCGAAGCUGGGUAAAACUGCUCGUGUGUACUGCCUCGAUCCGCUCUUUGCGCGGCCUCCGCCCCCCUCCGAACCGAAAGGGGCCCGGUCCCCAUAGGUGUUGGUGGAUCAGUUUCCCCGACAUCUUUGGCGCGCCAGGUAGGGGGCGUCGAGAUUGUGCGAACCCGAUCCGGCGUGCAUGCGAGCUAAAUCUUCAUCGUCUUCAUCGACAUGCCACCGAAGAAGAAGGAUUCGGAGGCAGCUGUUCCGUCUGCGUCGCUUUCACCGCCUCCGGAGCAAACGGGUGGUGGAGUGGACGCCGGCGGAAGAAUGGGCGUCGACGAGGGAGCCCUCAGUGCGGCCAAGUCCAAGGACAAGGCGGCACAGACCUCGGCGUCUAUGCGCGCACCGCGCCCCUCUCAGGAGGCGCGGGACCAGCAGCAUCAUGGCGUUCGCAGCGCCAUACGUCCGCUGGGCCAAGAUCAAGCUGGUGGUUCUCGUGGCGCUCAAGACCAACAUGCACGUCAACAUGCUGGCUCGAGCGAAGUACGGUCGCCUGGACGGGGCACUGCUCCUUCUAACGUGGUUAGGAGUCCGAGCAUGCCCCACUCCUCGCACCGUUCACCUCUGCCGCCCACCACUCCAGUAGAAGCCUUGGCGCGAGCUCAACUUCUCCUAGACUAUCCUCCGAUGGCGGACAAGACCGACGAAUGGAGGGCCACUAUCCAGAGCCUCAUCGGCUUUGCCAACGGCGACACUGCGCGGCAACCAAGCACCUCGCUGCCGCGGCAGGACAGCCGGACGCGAGCCGAUGGCAACAAGACUGGGGGAGGUGCGACUUCCAUGCACUCUCCACUAUGAAGGCCAAAAUCGCCGACUCACCGGUUCCACCCCGACAGCGGCUCCACCGCGUCGUCGGACCCACGAGCUCGUCGCGACCAGCGCCAAGUUCUCCAUGAACAACAACAAGAAGACGCUCGAACCCGCAUCGAGCGCCAAAGAGAAGCGCGACAUCAAUCCGACAAGCGCGCUGGGCCCUCUGUUGACAUGCAUGCGCCAGGGGAACCAGGCGAUCUGCCGUACGCGGUAGGUUGUCCUGCGUUCACCCGUGAGCUGCGGCAAGUCCAGUGGCCCAGCACAAAGAAUUUCAAACCAGACGUACCAGAGAAGUACGACGGCAAGACGGAUCCGUCGGAGUUUCUCAGCAUCUACACCAUCGCGGUGCAGGCUGCCGGGGGACGGGACGACAAGAUCCUUGCCAACUACUUCCCGCUGGUACUCAAGCCCAACGUCAGGUCCUGGCUCAUGCACUUGCCGGACAAUUCCAUCUCCUCUUUGGCAGAUUUAUGCCAUCAGUUUGUCGGCGCCUUUACAGGCGGCCACAAGCCACAUGGCCAAGAGAGCGAUCUUCAUCUGCUCGCCCAGAAGGAAGGAGAGCCACUGCGCAAGUACAUUCAGAGAUUCAGCCGUGUACAGCACAACAUCCCAGACGUCCACCCCGCCGCGAUCAUCAGCGUGUUCCAUCAGAACGUGCGAAACCGAAGGAUGAGGGAGGAGAUGGCGAUGUGUAAGAUCAGAGAUGUCAGCGAGCUUUACGCCCUGGCCGACAAGUGUGCACGCGCUGAAGAGGGGAGGAGGCUCCCCGGAGAGAGUACGGGAGCAGGAGGAUCCGACAGUGAGGAUGCUGCCCCGACAAGGAAAGGCCGGCGGCGGAACAACAGAAGGAAAAAGGGCAAGGAAGUGCUAGCUGUCGAGCAGACCGGCAACGGAGGUGGCGCCAAGGAAGCUAAAGCUGGUGGCUCCGACAAGGAGGCCCAGCCUGUGGCGGCCGCCGACAAGCAGGACAGCUCCGGCAAGCAGUAUUGUAAGAUUCACCGCACCAAGGGUCACGAUCUCCAGAACUGCAAGAAAGUCGAACAACUUGUUGAGCAACAGAAAGCUGAGUACGAGCUGCGCGACAAGGAGAAGGCCCAGGAAGGAACUGGUGGAUCCGGCAAGAAACGUCCCGGCCGAGGAGGACGCCGCGGCAAGGCCAAGCAGCGGCAAGGAGACAGACCUCCCCGCGGCCGCGACAAGGAUGAAGAUGACGACGACGAUGAAGACAUGGAUGAUGACGAGGCCGACGAGCAGGAAUUUCAGAAAGCCACAGAGGUCCUGUGCGUUGACGGUGGCGCCUCUCUGCAUACUUCGCACCGCCAACUCAAGCAGUGGAUGCGGGAAGUGAAUGCAGCAGAGCCAUCCAUAGAGUCACGCAAGCCCCUGAAAUGGUCCAGCGCACCUAUCAUCUUCGACAUUGAGGACCACCCUGAUCGCGUAACUGCGGUCGGGUGUUUGCCGAUGUUGGUUUCUCCAACUAUCCGCAAUCUCAAGGUCACGAAGAUGCUAGUUGACGGCAGGGCUGGCUUGAACCUGAUAUCCUCCGCGGUCCUCCAGAAACUUCAGAUCCCUGACAGCGAGCUCGAGGAGACCGGCACAUUCCAAGGAAUCAGCCCGGGAAGAAGCAAGCCGAAGGGAAAGAUCACGCUGCCAGUCACAUUUGGCAGCGAGCUGAACUUCAGGACUGAGAGGGUCACGUUUGACGUUGCCGACUUUCCAUUACCUUACAAUGGAAUCCUUGGCCGUCCGGCACUCGCCAAGUUCAUGGUAGCAUCUCACUAUGCGUACAACAUACUGAAAAUGCCAGGCCCAGUAAGUGUCAUCUCUGUCCCUGGCGACAAGAAGGAUGCUCUUAUCUGUGCCGACAAGAUCUACCGGGAAGCGGCAGCCGCAGCAGAGCGCAAGAAGCUCCCGGAGGGAAGAAGAAGACCAAGUCCGGCAAGAGCUCUGAUGCCUACUCCGGCAAGCGCACCUCUUCGGAGUGCUGCGCUACCGUCGAGGACGCACCAUCGAGCUCCACCGGCAAGUGUAAGAAGGCAAUGGCAGCUCCACCUGAGACUAAGAAGGUGUCCGCCAAGGAGGAUGGCACUGGUGAUACCUUCACCAUCAGCGCCACUCUUGACCCCAAAUAGGAAAGUGCGCUCGUUGCUUUCCUGCGGGCAAAUGUCGACGUGUUUGCAUGGCAACCGUCUGAUAUCCCCGGUGUUCCCAGGAAAGUAAUCGAGCACCACCUUGCCGUCUGUCCUCAUGCGCGGCCCGUCAAGCAGAGAGUCAGGAAGCAGGCAGUGGAGCGCCAAGAAUUCAUCGCAGAAGAAAUCAAGAAGUUGGAAGCAGCAGGCCUUGUUAGAGGAGUGCUCCAUCCCACGUGGUUGGCCAAUCCUGUUGUUGUGCGCAAGGCUAACGGAAAAUGGAGACUUUGUAUUGACUUCACUGAUGUUAAUAAAGGUUGUCCCAAAGAACCAUUUCCCUUGCCGCGUAUUGACCAGAUUGUUGACUCCACAGCCGGAUGUGAUUUGCUUUCAUUUCUUGAUGCAUACUCAGGAUACCAUCAGAUCUUCAUGGCAGAAGAGGAUGAAGAGAAAACCGCAUUUAUCACCCCAUGUGGCACGUACUGCUUUGUACGGAUGCCUUUCAGUUUGAAGAAUGCUGGAUCAACAUUCGCAAGGGUAGUCCACCGUGCUUUUGAGCCGCAAAUGCACAGAAAUGUGGAAGCCUACAUGGAUGAUAUAGUGGUCAAGAGAAAAAACAAGGCUACUCUGAUUCAAGAUCUAGAUGAAACUUUUGCAAAUCUGCGCAGGAUCAACCUCAAGCUCAAUCCCGAGAAGUGCGUGUUCGGAGUCCCUUCCGUAAAGCUUCUCGGGUUCUUUGUGUCACAGCGGGGGAUUGAAGCCAAUCCCGACAAGAUCAAAGCCAUCGAGCAGAUUGAAGCACCAAAGCGCGUCAAGGAUGUACGAAAGCUUGCCGGUUGCGUGGCUGCUCUCGGCAGAUUUAUCUCUAAGUCCGCAAAGCGCGCCUUGCCGUUUUUCAAAAUAUUGAAAAAGGCAGGUCCGAUGAAAUGGACUCCAGAAGCGGAGGCCGCGCUACAGGACUUGAAGAGGUACCUGUCCUCCACUCCAAUACUUGUCGCACCUAAGCCACAAGAGAAGUUGCUGCUAUAUCUGGCAGCAACCAAUCAAGUGGUUAGUGCUGCGUUAGUAGCGGAGAGGGAGGCGGACGAUGAGCCAGCAACUGCGGCAAGUGAAUCCAGCGACAAGCAGGGGGCUUCUCCGACAAGCUCUGGCCCCGACAAAGUUGAGUCUGCGCAGGCAUGCAAGGAGGUGCAGAGGAAAAUGGUGCAGCGCCCAGUUUACUUUGUCAGUUCCCUUCUACAGGGGGCUAGAUCAAGGUAUUCUGGCGUACAGAAAUUGCUUUUCGGCCUUCUCAUGGCCUCGAGAAAGCUGCGCCAUUACUUCCAGGCACAUGAGAUAACAGUUGUCACUCGCUUUCCGUUGAAGAGGAUACUGCAAAAUCCAGAAGUAACCGGCAGGAUUGUCGAGUGGGCACUGGAACUGUCAAGCUUUGGCCUCAAGUUUGAGAGUACUUCCACUAUAUAGAGCAGAGCAUUGGCAGAAUUCAUAGCGGAAUGGACGCCGACACCAGACGAAGAAACUCUAGAAACAAGCAUCCCCGUCAAAGAGGCAAGCAAAGAGUGGCUGAUGUACUUUGAUUGUGCCUUCUCGCUGCAAGGCGCCGGCGCAGGCGUGCUGCUUAUCGCACCCACCGGAGAGCACCACAAGUACGUAGUUCAGAUGCAUUUUCCUAAGGAGCAAGCAACGAACAAUACCGCAGAGUAUGAAGGUUUGCUUGCCGGACUCAGAAUCGCGGCAGACCUUGGGAUCAACAAGCUCAUUGUCAGGGGUGACUCGCAGUUGGUCGUCCGCCAAGUAAAAAAAAGCUAUCAGAGUCCGUUGAUGGAAGCAUAUGUUGAUGAAGUAAGGAAGCUAGAAGCACACUUUGACGGCCUGCAAAUGGAACACGUUCCACGAGCUCAGAACGAUAUUGCUGACGGCCUGUCAAAGUGCGCAGCACUAAAGUUACCUGUGGAACCAGGGAUUUUUGUGCUCAAGCUGACUCAACCAUCCGUAACACCGUCGACUGGACAGAGAAAGAAGAGGAAGUUGGUUUCUGAUGACUACUUUCUGGCAAAGCUUCCCGAAGCCACCGCCAAGAAGGUCCCCAAGAUCGACGCCAAGAGUGCUGAGGAGCAGUCUGCUCCGGCGAACCUCUUGGUUUGUUCCGUUGAAGCAGACGCUCCCGACAAGUUUUGCUCCGGCAAGCUUGCCGGGGAAUAUCACGCUCCGGCCGAACCGCAGGUUCUUGCCGUAGAAGCGGAUGUUCCCACAGCAACAGAUAUGCCUUUAGCCCUUAUUGUCGAGCCGCAAGCUCCAGCAUGGGCGUAGCAGAUCGUCCGUUUCCUUCAGACAGGAGAGCUUCCCGAAGAGCAAGAAGAAGCGGAAAGAGUAGCCCGGCAGUCAAGUAUGUACAAGUUUGUCGACAACACAUUGUAUAGAAUAAGACUCAACGGUGUGAAAUUGAAGUGCAUUCGCCGGGAAGAAGGACAACAGCUGUUGGCAGAGAUACAUGGAGGCAUAUGUGGUCACCACAUUGGCGCAAGAGCACUUGCCGGCAAAGCAUUCCGACAAGGUUUAUUCUAGCCGACAGCCCUCCAGGAUGCAACUGCACAAGUAACCAAGUGUGAAGCGUGCCAGUUCCAUUCCAAACAGAUACACCAGCCAGCUCAAGCUCUCUAGACGAUCCCUUUAUCCUGGCCAUUUUUGAUCCGGGGGCUCGACAUCCUCGGCCCCUUUCCCCGAGCUGUCGGGGGCUUUGAGUUCUUAUACGUCGCCAUCGACAAGUUCACAAAGUGGCCGGAAGUGGAACCAGUGAGGAAGGUGACAGCACAGUCAGCAGCCAAGUUCUUCAGGUCGAUUGUUUGCCGUUUCGGGAUCCCUAACAGGAUCAUCACCGACAACGGCACGCAAUUUACGAGCCGCACCUUCAUGCAGUACGUCCAAGAUCUUGGCGCCAAGGUCUGCUUCGCUUCUGUUGCUCAUCCGAGAAGCAACAGUCAAGCGGAAAGGGCAAAUGCUGAAGUGCUGCGAGGCCUCAAGACCAGAACUUUCGACAGGCUGCACAAGUGCGGAAGAAACUGGAUCGAGGAGCUGCCGGUGGUUCUUUGGUCGAUCAGGACGACGCCAAAUCGAGCCACUGGCCAGACACCCUUCGCUCUAGUCUACGGAGCAGAGGCAGUUCUCCCCACGGAACUCGUUUACAGGUUACCUCGAGUGCUCGCUUGUGAUGAGCUCGAGCAAGAGCAGUUGUGCCAAGAUGACGCGCUGCUCCUUGAGGAAGACCGUCUUCAGGCUGCUGUGCGAGUCGCUCGCUACCAGCAAGCUUUGCGUCGCUACCAUAGCCGCAAAGUUAAAGCCAGGAGCUUCGAGGAAGGCGACCUUGUUCUUUGGCGUGUUCAGUCCGCCAAGAAUUCCAACAAGUUGACGCCAAAGUGGGAAGGCCCUUAUCGGGUGAAACGAGUCACUAGGCCCGGCGCUGUCCGCCGUGAGACCGAAGAUGGCAUUCCGGUGAGCAACUCCUGGAACAUUGAACAUCUUCGUAAGUUUUACCCGUAGGGCGCGGUUGCCGGAAGCUUUUCCGGCAACCACCUUUUGUACAAGUCUUGCCGCUGUUGCAUGUAAUCCUUUGUACAAAGCCGGGUGCAGACCCCGUGCACCAGUAAAGUUCAUGUGCCCCGCACAUCUUGUCAGUUUUCUUUUUUAUGCUAUAAUCCUUUUUCGCAUAUGUUAUCAGACACUUUGUGCAGUACCAGACCCCGUAAGCGAUAACGAGCCCAAGGCUCCAUAUCAUUACUUUAUUUCUCUGUUUCUUUCUCAAAAGAAGGAAGGUUCCCUCGCCCACAAGGUUUACCGGGGGGGGGGGAGGAGAAGAUAAUGGUGUGGGCCAGGACGUUCAAGAAAGUUUCUCUUUGCCGGGAAGCAGACGGCAGAAAAGCUAAGUUGCUAAAGUUUGAGCAAUCAGUUUUUUAAGUUUUUGAGUUAUUUUCCUUGAACGACCGUGCUUUGUAUGGAAAACCUGUGCGCGGAGGAACCAACUCGUAGCUAGCUGCGCCCUUACUUUGUUUCGAGUCCGCUCAACAACUUAAGUGAGCUGCAACUAGUUGCGACAAGGUUGCUUGUCGGUAGCGACCCCGCCAGCAGGCUGCUGAAGUUCCGCACUCGGCGCUCGCGGCAAGGGUGCCUGCACCGGCAAGUUUCCCUAGAAAGCGUAGGGCAGAACCAUACAAAGCCAAGAGUCGAGUAAAGGAAGUAACACAACAAUUUUUUGCCUAAGAUAAAGUUAUAUUACAAAAAUAACUUGUCGCGCCUCUAAUAAAGUGUUCCAUGACAUGACUGGCAGCGACAAGAAAAGAAGAAAACGGACGGCCUAAUCUACACGACCGCCGUCAACCCUUUUGACCUCGUUCACCCUGUCCACAAUGGGUGCGACGAGGGCCUUAAGUGCGUCAAGAUCAGCGUCCGCUGGCAGCCUCUUGAGGACGUUGGUGAGGUUGAGGCCCGGAUUGUGGAAGGCCACCUUCACCAGCACCUUCUCCAGAACUCCGGCACAAAUCGAGCGUGACUCGUCGGCCAACUGCUUUGGGAUCCGUUCUCGGAGUUGCUGGAGCGCCGCCACCACACCUUUGAAGAACAGAGUGAGCUUGGCACUGGGUUGGAGGUUCUCGUCGGAGGAGUACCCGAAGCCUUCCACCCCCAAUUGCACCAGCUCCUCUUCGAUGACUGCAGCAAUGUUCACGAGGCCCUCCGUCCAGAGCGCCAUGGUAUCUCUCUGGGUUUCGGCGGCCCUCGCUAGCAGCGCCUCGUUGGCCUUGAUGUCCUUCUUCAAGUCCGCCUCCCGUUUCUUGGCGCCGUCCAAUGUCUCCGUCAGGGUGGCCAGCUUCAGCUCCAGAUCAGCAUUGGAAUUCUUGGCGGCGCGCAGCUCUUUGCCCUUCUCGGAGAGUUGGUCCUGCAGCUCACCAUGGGCAAGGGCGUCCUUCUCGCGCUCCAGCUUGAGCACCGCAAGCUCUUCGCCACCCACCUUCAAAUCAGCCUCCAGCUGCGCCACCUUUACUUCCAAUUCCUUCUUGGCGGUCUCGGCAGCCCUAGCCGCAUCCUUUGCCUCUUGGGGCGACCCGCCAAGUGCCCGUUCGCGCGCGGCAAGCUCCUCCUCGUGGCUGUCGAGGUUCACUUUCCGCUGAGCCAGCUCGCCUUCUCGUGCGUACAGCUUCUCGCCGGUGAGCCGCUGCUGCUCUUCAGCUUCGGCCUUCUCGAGGAGGAAGGCCUGCCGCUCUUCAGCAAGCUGCUCCCGCUCCUCCGCCAAGGCCUGGAGAGCUUCCUGGCAAAAACCCCGGAGCUCCUCCACGCGCUUCUCUAUAUCCACGCUCGCUUUCGUGACGAGCGCUUCCUGGGACUCCAACUUGACUUGACGGGCGCGAUAGAGCGCCAGCAGCCUCUGCAGCAGCCGCUCCUCCUCAGGCUCGUCACUGCUGCUUCCCGACGCGUCAACGAUCGACAACCCGGCGGAGGCAAGCACCUCCCCAUCCAAAACUUCUCCUUCCACCGGCGCCUUGGAGCUUGACACCCAAGGGAGCUUGAUGAAGAUGCCCUCGCCAGCCUUCAGAUAGGCGCCGGGAUGGGGCUCCUCGGAGCCUGACGCUGCGGCAGCGGCGGAGGGAUCGGCGGUCGGUGCAGCGCCUGACGCUCCUACGGCCUCAGGGCCGUCAGUGCGAUUGCCAGAUCCCCCGCCAGCUUCCUCGGCGGCAGCCUUGGCGGCCUCUUCACCGGCAGGCACAUCGGCACCAGCUCCGUCUUCGGCGGCCGCGGCAUCAUCAGUGUUGCCGCGCGCGUCCUCUCCGCUGCCCGCCUCGGUCUCCAUCGGAUCCGCGGAGGGUGGACCUGACGACCGGAGAAGAAUGAGAAGUCAAACAAGCACUCAAGAAGAAAAAUCAGCAGAAGAAUACAAAGAAAGUUUCGGGCAGGAAGGAUUACCUAUGCUGGGAUCCGCUGUCAUAAGCUCCACCACCGGCGGAUCGUUAGCGCUGUCCCUUGCCGGAGACUCCUCCCUUGCCGGAGGCUCCUCCCUUACCGGAGAACUCUCCCUUGCCGGGGAGUCCACCCUUGGCGGCGUAGUCGAAGCAGACGACGAGUCGGAGGUGAUCACCAUGCCCUCCUGAUGAAGCUGUUCUGCUCCUGCACAAACAAACCAGUGAUCAAAUGUCAACAAAGGAAAAGCAACCAUGCGCACCCAGAAGCAGAAAGUAAACCAUAUGCUUACGCUGGGGGCUGCUCUGUGAAGUGAUGGCCGGAUCCGGCAAGGUGGUCUCGGGCACGCCUCCUGUCGUCGCAGUGGGCUCGUCCUCGAUGACCACCACCUGAGCCUUGGCCCUCUUCGCCACCCUCUGGGCCAGAGUCCUGAAAAGGGAGAGUCCAGGGUGGGUCAGAUCAGAUGCAAGACAGGAAUGGCAAGUUGAAGAACUACAAGAACAACAAGGGAAUCUUACUCUUCUUCCUCUUCCUCGUCGGAGCUGAGCGCGGAGAGGUCGAAGUUCGGCCCACCUCCGGCGCGACGAGGUGGAGGGGUGGGAUCCCUUGGCCGCUUGGCGGGGACUGUGGCGCCAGCCCGAGAUGACCCCGCCCCAGUUGCCACUGCGGCGGGAGGCGCACCCGCGGCAACCGUACUUGCCGCGGCGGAGCGCGUCGCGCGGCGCUGCGGCUGUUGACCAGCUUGCCGCCCUGCUGCGUCCCCGAUCCUGCGGAGGCGCCUUCUUGGCUGCACUGGGGGCUGCGUUCCGGGCCCUGUUCCCGGCAAGCUCCCCGGAGAUGGCGGGCCGCUCGCACCCUCGGUGGGCUCACUCAACUCGGCGUCGGGCGCGGCAAGCUCUUCUUCGUCUUCGGGCCACUCCCGCUCAGCAAGACUCAUCGCCGAUGCCGCGUCCGCUUCCUCCACCGUGAACCCAAAUUCACCCGCGGCUGCGGCUGCCGCCGCCUCUUCCGCCCUGGUGGCGAUGUGUUCCAUCUCUUGAUCGGUGGUGUCGCGGGUGAGGAGCUUCUUGUCGUCAGCAUUACCGCUACUUCCACUAGGCUAUCGAAGAACUGCUGCACAAUGUCUCCGGCAGGCUCUUGCCAAGUUGGAGCGAUCCCGUGCGAAUCACACAACGGCAUCAUGGCGCAGAUGCGGUCGCGCGAGGAGUUGUUGCACAGAGGAACGAUGCCUGCCGGCAACCUGAACCACUCGGGAUGCUGUGGGUCGUGCUUGAAUAUCUCCUUGAGUAUCCCGUCCAACUCUAUGAUGGUGAAAUUGAAGUUGAGGCCUGGGCGCAACCUCAUGAUAUCUGCCGGGCCUCCAAAUUCCCAGGCGGGUCUCCCCCUCGCCUGCAGAGGGGCAAUGCGCCAGCGAAGGAAAUCUGCGCCGACAGCUCCUACAGUCAGCCCGGCAAGCCUGAGACGCAAGAUCCGAGUGGUGGCGAUCUUCAGUUUGUCGCCGUCCACGGACAGAGCGCUCCAGUCAUUGCCGUGCACUGCUGGGGCUUGGCGCAGGGCGGUGAACGGCUGCGGGCUCUCCUCUACAACCCAGCACCAAUCUGCUCUCCACUCGUCCCACUUGCUGCGGAGCUCCCCCUCCAGAUAGGUCUCCUUCUUGCCGGCCCGCGAGAUCCAGGCGAUCCUGCCGGCAAGAGGUUCCCCUCUCUCGACACGAGGCAUAAAGAAAUGGCGGAAGAGAGCUACGUUGGGGUGGACUCCGACAAAGUUUUCGCAUAGAUGGGCGAAAACUGCCAUGGUCAGAACGGUGUUGGGGGUGAAGUCAAGGAGGUGGAGUCCAUAGGUGUUCAUGACGUCGCAAAAGAAAUCAGAGAAUGGCGGGCAGAGCCCGCAGUAGAAGAACACGGCGAAGAAAGGAUAUCCGCCAACUGGAGCUGCUUGCGAGGCGACGGCGGAGAGUAUCUUCGUGCGCGGAUGCGCCCGCGUCUCCGUCGACCAGAAGAGAUAGUACCACUCCCUCAGCUCCUUCACAGAGAGCUCGGGGGUGAAAGUGGCCCGCUCCUUUCACAGCGCCUCAAGCCGCUGCGCUUCGGUCGACUUCACAGCUUUCGCGGCCGCGGCCUUCGUGGCCUUCCCCUUCCCGGGCUUCGGAGGCAUGGCGGAGGCGGUGGGGGAGAUCGACGGCGCUGGUGGUGGCAGCAGCGACGGGGGCGGAGCGCUGCCCUCUUUCAACUCUGCAAGCGGAGGAGGGCGGCGGAGAUUUCUGAGAUUGCAGCAGCGAAGGGCGGAGGUGGGGGAAAUGCCCCUGUUUCCCCUGCUUAUAAAGAGAGACGGGGCGGAUAUUUCGGCCUUCCAAAUAAACAACCACCCACGAUCUCUCCCACGACUCCGCGAUUGACGCGUGCCGUUACGGGGGGCGCGGUGGAUACGGAGUUAGAUUCAGCAUAACCCAGGCUCCGCGCGUGCCCGUGCCCUGUUUUGGGCCUAGCCCAAUAGCGCUCGGCACCGUGUGUGGCCCAGGCCCGGGGGCUCCUGUCGGUGUACUAGAGUAGGGGUACCCUAGUAUCCCGAACUUGUGCACGGGCAGUUGCAGCGCCGCGCGGCAAGGCUUGCCGGACGACCGCCAGAGUCCUCCGUGGGUUCCUUUGGAGCCAUUCAAGAACAAAGCAUUCAAGAUGAAGAGACAAGGCCCCGGCAAGAGGAUCUUGCCGGGAAGAGACAAGGCCCCGGCAAGAGGAGCUUGCCGGGAAGGCCAACCACGGCACUUCAAGAAACUUGCCGCGAUGCACCGCACGUCCCGGCAAGGUCCAGUGAGCGACAAGCUUCUGGACUCGACAAGACGACGACCCCGACAAGGUACUCGCCGGGGGCCCGCUGCCACUCUGUACCCACGCUCCAGCGCACCCACCCGCGUGUCGCCAUGAGGCUUCCUCAGGGGCGCGUGGCGGGAGCCUGUGCAGCCAGGGGUACACGGUGGCAAGCGGAGAUGAAGAGAAGGCCAUCGUGGCAAACGGUGGCGCUCCUAACGGUCACUUUUUGCACUGUUUAGGCAACUCAGACGGGCAUUCAAUGACCUUGUCCCCUGCCGUCAGAGUUAGGUAGGGUGCACUGUGUCCACAGUAGCGGUAGCUGCACCUACCACAUCCUUUUCCAUUUUUACCCUUCUAGUCUACGUUGCCACCUGUCGGUGACCCCUUGAAAGUAUAAAAGGAGGCCCAAGCGCAACGUAGAGGGGGGUUCGGCUCAUUCAAAACAUCAGGAACACUCUCACGCUCGGUCGGGCAGCGUCCAUCGCUCCUGAGUAAGAAUUCAAUACACACAAACAAGCAGCAGUAGGGUUUUACGCAUCCGUGCGGCCCGAAGCUGGGUAAAACUGCUCGCGUGUACUGUCUCGAUCCGCUCUUUGCGCGGCCUCCGCCCCCCUCCGAACCGAAAGGGGCCCGGUCCCCAUAGGUGUUGGUGGAUCAGUUUCCCCGACAGGAAUGAAUGAAAUGUAUCUAAGAAGAAAGGAAGCCAUGCUCCAUCCUGUUUCUAAAAAGAACAUCACCUCCAUUUUUGGUUAGAUACCGCUCCGUUAGGUACUAAUGCUUCUACCUAUCACCCGGAGGGUGAGUUAGAGAGCUGUGUUUUUUUCCAACGUUAAUAGCAUUCCGCGAGAAAAGUCAUCUACUGAUGUUGUCAGCGGAGUCCCUCGUCCAUCCAUGUAUGAAUAGCGGUAUCCCCCAUUUUGGACAGUGAUGAGGUAGUCGGCUCAAUUUGCAUGUGUAUUUGCGUUCGGCUUUGCUACUUUCCUUCUAGAAAAGAAUGUCCGCGGAAGGGAAUAGUCUACGUGGCCCGGGGUAGUCUUUCAAUUCCUUUAUCGGGUGGGAGAGUUUAGAACCAGUUAAGCCAAUAGCUACUGCUUUAGUCACACUAGCUACAUCAGUUGAUCAUGGAUUUAGCAUACCACCUCAGAAUAGUCUACGUGGCCCCUUGUUUUUACUACAAUUUGAUAUAGUGAAUCCAGUAAUGCAGACAACCCUUUUUAGAGCGCUUUUAAAGCCUCUGACUCUCAAAAAGAGCUUGAGGUUUUGCCUCAACUCAUUCCAUGAAUGUUGUUUCAUUCCCCAUGCGGCUGAAUCCAACUCAGUCUUUAUCCUGCCUUGGAGUUCUCUCUCAUAACUGAAGCCAGGAGGUAUUCGAUUUAUCGAAUUUCGAGCUAGCUGCCCUUUUCUUGCUCCUUGCCAUUAGCGCAGCCCUUUUCUUUUUCUUAGCUAGCGUAGUUUUUCACCUUCAAAAGAAGGCGCCAGCGCUUUUGUAGUGACCCCUCCGGGGUCCUGGGUUGCUUUGGCGCGCCCCACCCCGUCAGUCCUGUGUUGUACUUGACUUGACUCUCCCCUGCUUGCUGCUUGCUGAUCGCAGUGUUCAAAAAUGACACGAAGCUGGAUAUGAGUAGAUGUUGUUGGUCGAAAACGUCUUUCAUUCACAAUGAAACAGAAUGGUCUCGCUCGAUGCGACAUUUUAGAAUGUGUAUUUUCAUAUUAAGAGUUCUUAAAAAUUUUGAGUGCUUGAAAUGUUGAUUGUGGACUAUUGUAUUGGACUAGCUACAAUUAUCAUAGCUAUAAAAUAGUUGUUUGGACUCAGUAAUGCACCUGCUACCUUCCAAUCUUUAAUGAAUCAUGUUUUUGCUCCGGAAAUACCUUUUGGUAUUCUUUGAUGAUAUUCUGAUAUAUAGCAAGACCAAACAAGCUCAUCUCAAGCAUCUAAAGUUAGUCCUGGACAUUCUAAGGUCAUAAAAACUAUAUGCUAAGACUAGCAAAUGCAGUUUUCCUGUCCCUCAAGUGGAGUAUUUAGGGCAUGUUAUCUAAGGAUAGGGUCUAUCUACAGACCCCCACAAAAUAGUUGCCAUCAAAGAAUGGCCAGCACCUAAGACUAUCACUCAGUUGAGGAGUUUUCUUGGUAUGGCUGCAGAAAAAGAAGUUUUUUCAAGAAUUAUGGGAUAAAUUCUAGGCCACUUCAUGACUGUCUAAAAAAAGAAUCAUUCCAGUGGUCAGAUGCUCAAAUUGAGGCCUUCACAACAUUGAAGAAUUGUCUGGUCACUGCUCCUGUUAUGGCUUUGCCUGAUUUGACCCUACCAUUUACUUUUUAAACAGAUGCAUCAGGUCAAGGUAUUGGUUCUGUCCUCAUGCAACAAGGCAGACCAAUUGCUUAUUUCAGUAAAACCCUUGGACCCAGAAAUGCAGCUAUGUCAACUUAUGAUAAGGAGAAGCUUUAGCUAUUUGUGAAUCCUUGAAGAGAUGGCGCCACUACUUUCUUGGUUCCCAAUUCUUUUAUUGAUCAAAACUGAUCAACAGAGCCUUAAAUACAUCACAGAACAAAACGUCUCUGAGGGCAUCCAGCACAAGCUUUUGUGAAAAUUGCUUGAAUUCAAUUACAAGAUUGAAUACAAAAAAAGAAAACAAGGUUGCAGAUGCUUUGAGCAGAAGAGAUUCUCUUAUGAUGGCAGUCGCUGCAGUUACUCCUGCUUGGGCUUCAACUGUAGAAACCAGCUACACUAAUGAUGAUUGUCGGUGUCAAAACCGGUGGAUCUCGGGUAGGGGGUCCUGAACUGUGCGUCUAGGCGGAUGGUAACAGGAGACGAGGGACACGAUGUUUUUACCCAUGUUCGGGCCCUCUCGAUGGAGGUAAAACCCUACUCCUGCUUGAUUAAUAUUGAUGAUAUGGGUAGUACAAGAGUAGAUCUACCACGAGAUCGGAGUGGCUAAACCCUAGAAGCUAGCCUAUGGUAUGAUUGUUGUUCGUCCUACGGACUAAAACUCUCCGGUUUAUAUAGACACCGGAGAGGGCUAGGGUUACACAGAGUUGGUUACAAUGGGAGGAUAUCUUCAUAUCGUAUCGCCAAGCUUGCCUUCCACGCCAAGGAAAGUCCCAUCCGGACACGGGACGGAGUCUUCAAUCUUGUAUCUUCAUAGUCCGGGAGUCCGUCCAUCCGGACCGGCCAUCCGGACACCCCCUAAUCUAGGACUCCCUCAGUAGCCCCCGAACCAGGAUUCAAUGAGGACGAGUCCGGCGCGCAACUUGUCUUCGGCAUUGCAAGGCGGGUUGUCCUGCAAAUCCUCUGUAUCCGUCGAAUAGUGUACGGCUUCUAGUGUGUGCUGUCCUCCUUGGCUUAUGUGCCCCAUAAUGACCAUCUUCCAUGCGUCAAACGAAUGCAAAAAGCCAGGGGUUUUCUUUUCACUUACCCCCCGGUUGCAUUAAUGAGCCGCCCAUAAAAGAGACGGGGAUUUAGAUCCAAUUCGCACCAUCUUCCCUCCGCGAGUCUUCAUUAGAGCGCCUCUGACAGAGAUCCAUUCCAUCAUGGCCAGUCGGUGCCGCUCCUCCUCUUGCCCUUCCAGCCCUCGGCCCGGAGAUUGGGGGCAGUGCUCCGUCCCGCAUAGCAAGUUAGUAGUGCUUCAGUCCAAGGGGCUUCUCCCCCCAGCAUAUAUGGUCCCACUUCGAGCCGGGAUUGCUGCUUAUAGCUGCGGAGAGCAGGCGGAGGGUGUUCCCAAUCCCUCUCAAGGAGAGCGGGUAUGCCUAUUCCCUUAUUUGAUGAUAGGAUUAGGAUUUCCAAUCCAUACGUUUCUCCGAGGGUUGCUGGAGUUCUACGGCCUCCAGCUACAUAACCUCACGCCCACCUCCAUUUUGCACAUCGUGGGCUUCGUGGCCCUCUGCGAGCUGUUCUUGGGUGUUGAAGUCCAUUUCACGUUGUGGAAGAGGUUGUUUUGCCUUGUGGCCCGUUCUUAGGAGGGGUCUAUUUAUCAGGUGGGCGGAGCCGAACUAUGGCGCAUUGCCGGGACCGGAUAUCUAUCCGACAAAAGAGGGCGUCCGAAGACUGGCCCUCGGAGUGGUUUUAUAUAGAUGACGUCCCCCUGCCGGACCCUGUACGGAUCGGCCUCCCCGAGUUCAAUAACACCCCGUUGAAGAAGCGCCUGAGUUGGCGCCCACGGAACCCUCAGAGGGAAGCUGACAGGGACGUCCUGUACCUGAUGAGCCGGAUAAGGUUGUUGGCUCAUUCCGUAUUGACCAUGAUUAAGGUCAUGGCCAUAUGCAUUACGCGAGGGGCGCAACCGCUUCAAUACAGAGGCCACCCCAUGUGGGAUUUCAACGGAGAGGAUGACGCUACCCGGUGCGGUCGCAAGGGGCCAGAUUCGGCUGCCACUUUAACGAGAAUCUUAUCCGCUUUGUACAAGGGGGAAGAGGAAGAAUUCCUCCGUAUCAACCCGGAAGGCGGAUUCUCCAUGUACAAUCCUCCUAGUUGGGUGAGUGGACACUUUCACUUGCCUAUCCAUUUUUGAAAUUCCUGUAGUUGAGUACUUAGUCUAGUAAUGUUUAAACGCAGGAGUUGCGCCAGGUUGUGAAGGAAAUAAACAGCCCUACUCCACAACCCGAGGACCCGGAACGGCCCCUCGAUCCAGACUCCCAAGAAGAUCCGGACUUAUGCGUGGAGUUGAUUGAUGGAGUAUUUCAUCAAUUGAGCAAGGAUAAGUCCUUAGUGGCCAUUACGGCCGACUAUCCCGGACUACUUCCAGCCUCCAAGGUAACUAAGACCGAAGUCCCAGUAUUCUCAUGUUUUAUCUUGCAUGCCAUGUACUAACAGCAUUUCGCAGGGUAAAUCCUUGAGGCGGAAGGCCGAGCCCACGGUGGGCAGCCAACAAGGGCCGCCGAAGCUAGGCGGGCCAAAAAGAAGUGCGGACCGGAUCGAGAUUCCGGCGCAACGGUAUGGCGUGCGGAUUUAACGCCUAGGGUUUAUGCCCUUGAGUCUUACUAAUGCUCAUGAUUUUCUUAGAAAGAAGAUAAGCCGCCGGACUAUGUCCGCCGGUCAAGGUUCGAGGCCGGGUCCGGAAGCAGAGGCGGACACGGGACGCGCCUCGGGCGCUCCUCCGACAGAGGGCGCCGACGGGCUAUCUGCCACCAAUUCAGAGGUGGAGAGUGCCCUGAACCACAGGCGUCGCUGGACUGUUCUUCGUGACGCGUGUUUUUCCCAGAGGCAUUGGACGCCUUUAAUAUAGGAGAUGCGUAUCUCCGUGCUGCUCAAAAUGGUCUAGCCAGAGCCACGGAGCAGUAUGUGAAAGACAUACAGGUGAGUAAAAUUCAAGGUUAUAUAUGUCAGUAGCCCCCGAGACUUGAAACAAUGAAGAUAAUUGUUUGAAGGAUCAUGUGCUAUGCAGUGUCUUACAAAGAAGAACACGCAAUUGUCCCAGGAGCUCGAAGAGUGCAAGGCUCAGCUCGAGGCCGCAUUGGCCACUUCAGAGAAUGUCAAGGGGACACCCGCAGGUAAUAUAUGCUUCGAAAGGUACUUCCGUUUUAAAAUGCGGCAGGCGUGCAACCCUGACGAUAAUAAUGCAGAUGAGGCCGGAGUAAAUCCGGACCAGCAACAACUCCUACACCAACUAAAGGCUGGCGAGAGUGUGCUGACGAGGGUGAGGCAAGAGAAGAACAAGCUUCAAGACGCCAAUACCCAGCUAGGCGAGGAACUGAAAGAUGUUCGUAUUCAGCUGUCUUCUACCGUGAAGGAGAAUUGGCGACUUCGAGCAGCAUUUUUAGUAAGUGCUUGAACGAAUCUUCAAAAAAAUAAUUCGGCGAGGAAGUCGAUUGACAGAGCUAUGUCCGUAGGUCUGCUGACGGGUCGUCCAGCGGAGGAAAUGCCCGGUUCAUCCGGAGACCUUCUUCCCGAGCUGUUGCAACUACACGAACGAGUUCGGCAGGCAAUGCAAAGCGUCAUCCAGGCUAUGUGGCCAUCCCUCUCCGUGCCCGAAGCCUUGAGGAGCUUACCAAGAAGCUGGAGGGAGUGCGGCAGCGCUUCCGGUUGUGGAAGAUAUCGGCUUGCCGUUAAGGUGCCAGGGAGGCCUGGGCCAUGGUGAAGACUCGGUACACGAAGGCUGACCCAAACCACAUGGCCGAGGUCGGCCCUAUAGGUCCGGAUGGAAAGGAGAUCCCGGUCAGCUUAGCAUAUGGCCAGGUGGAGCUGGCUACAAAGUAUUCCCAACAGGACUGUAAAUUAGACCGCCUGUUGGAUGGUAUUGAAGAAGAAUAUGCCGAGUCGGAUUGACUCUGUAAAAAUGACAUAAAAAUGCCUUCUAGCCGGAUUGUAGAUCGUUUGUCAUUGCGGACCUUUUCGCUUCGACCUCUGGACCCUAUAGUCCGGAGUGUGUCCGAAUACCCUCUCAGUUAUGUAAGAACCGGGGCAUGCAUGGAGACAAGGCGUAGGGGUCAUAAGUGCUUUAGCAGACAAGUGCCCAACUAGUUAUGUUAUAUUACAUGGUUAGUAAGAAACAUCUUCCAGAGAGAAUAGUUCCGUUAGGGGUUCCUUUCCCUGGGAGGCAUGCCCUAAAGUGCAUAUCCGAACUGCCGGAAAGAGCAGAAAAGCAUCUGGGGGCAAAUGAAUAAAUACGAAAGAUCAUCUUUUAGUUCACCGACCGAAUAUUCCCUUAAGAACGCUAACUUUCGGCUUCACCCAGUCUGAGGUACACAUCCGGCUGACCCGGUAGUAACAAUCGCAGAGGUUCUCCCUUUACCACCUAGCCGAACGAACGGGAACGUAGGGGUAAGCACAGGAGCCAGGCAACCCAGCUUGGCCAAAACUUAGUCAUAUCGAUGCAUAUAAUGGUGUAUAAAAGGUUCAUGUGGAAGCAUCACACAUGUUUUGGGCAUGAGGCCCGUUUUAUAUAAACUUCUUGGUAGAGAAGCCCCCAGGUAUUAUGAGCGCAUGUAGCGCGUCGGGUAUGUGCGAAUAUUGCACAGGCAAGCCCCUAAGGGCUUGUGAGAAAAAAAGGUAGGGAGAAGGAACAAAAUCCCGGACUGCCAAAAAUAAAAAUAAAAAUAAAAAAUAAAACAAAGGUACGAGGGAAGGAAACGAACACGGAGUCCGGCGCUAGGCGUAGAACCUUCGUAGGCGUGCUGCGUUCCAUGGGUUCGGCUCGAGUCGGUUAUCCGAUGCGUUUCGCAGACGGUACGCUCCGCCGGUCAGUACUUGGUCGAUGAUGAAGGGGCCCUCCCAUUUGGGCUUUAAUUUAUCCUUUUUCUUGUUUGGCAGGCGUAGAACUAGUUCGCCAACGUUAUAGGUUUUGGCCCUUACUUCUCUGCUUUGGUAUCUUCGAGCCUGCUAUUGAUAGAAUGUGGAACGAGCUUUUGCCACGUCGCGCUCCUCUUCCAAUGCGUCCAAGCUGUCCUGCCGAUCGAGCUCGGCUUCUCUUUCUUCGUACAUGCGCACUCGAGGUGAGUCAUGGAUUAAGUCGCAUGGCAGUACUGCCUCUGCACCGUAUACCAUAAAAAAUGGUGUGAAUCCGGUAGUGCAAUUCGGCAUGGUCCGCAGCCCCCAGAGUACGGAGUCAAGCUCCUCUACCCAGUGCGUGUUAGAUUCCUUGAGGGAUCGCACUAGUCUGGGUUUGAUGCCGCUCAUAAUGAGACCAUUGGCCCGUUCGACUUGACCAUUAGUUUGAGGGUGAUAGACUGAAGCAUAGUCGAGCUUGAUGCCCAUGUUUUUGCACCAAAGUUUGACUUCAUCGGCCGUGAAGUUUGUGCUGUUGUCCGUUAUGAUUCUGUGGGGGACGCUGUAACAGUGUACGACCCCGGAUAUGAAGUCUAUCACUAGUCCGGAUUCGGCCGUAUUUACAGGCUUGGCUUCUAUCCAUUUGGUGAAUUUGUCCACCAUGACCAGUAGAUAUUUUUGCUUGUGGGUUCCUCCUUUAAAGGGUCCGACCAUGUCAAGCCCCCAGACCGCGAAAGGCCAGGUAAUGGGUAUAGUUUGUAGGGCGGUAGGUGGCAUGUGGCUUUGGUUGGCAAAUAACUGGCAACCAACACAUCGUUGCACUAAGUCCUGAGCGUCUGCCCGGGCCGUUGGCCAAUAAAAUCCGGUAUGGAAGGCCUUGCUUACAAGGGCCCGGGCUGCGGCGUGGUGCCCGCCAAGUCCGGCAUGAAUUUCAGCCAAAAGGUCUCGCCCUUCCUCUUCGGAGAUACACCUUUGAAGGACUCGGGUUGUGCUUUUCUUGUAAAGCUCUCCCUCGUGGACUUUGUAGGCUUUAGAUCGCCGCACUAUGCAGCGGGCUUCGUUUUGGUCCUCGAGAAGUUCCUGCCUAGUUAGGUAGGCUAGGAAUGGUUUUGUCCAAGGGGCAAUGACUGCCAUUAUUGCGUGGGCUGACGGUGUUGUUUCGUUGGCGGAGCCCCCAACUGUGUCAGAAUGUUCGGUGAGGGGUGGUGUAGUUGUGUCCGGGCUAUUGUUUCCGGAUUCUCCUUCCCAUGAUAUAGAUGGCUUAAACAGCCUUUCUAGGAAGAUGUUGGAAGGGACGGCCUCGCGCUUGGCGCCAAUGCGUGCCAGCACGUCUGCUGCUUGGUUAUUUCCUCGGGCUAUGUGAUGAAAUUCGAUCCCCUCAAACCGAGCUGACAUCUUUAAGAUGGCAUUCCGGUAAGCUGCCAUUUUCGGAUCCUUGGCGUCGAAGUCUCCAUUUAUUUGGGAUAUUGCGAGAUUUGAAUCCCCGCAGACCUCUAGGCGUUGAAUGCCCAUGGAGACUGCCAUCCGGAGGCCAUGUAAAAGGGCCUCGUAUUCGGCUGCAUUGUUGGAAUCCGUGUACAUUAUCUGAAGUACGUAUUGGACUGUGUCUCCGGUUGGGGACGUCGGAAUGAUGCCAGCCCCCAGGCCAGCCAACAUUUUGGAGCCGUCGAAGUGCAUGAUCCAGUUGGAGUAUGCGCCGUACUCUUUAGGGAGUUCGGCUUCAGUCCAUUUAGCGAUAAAGUCGUCCAAAACCUGCGACUUAAUAGCUCGCCUUGGCUUGUAGGUUAUGUCAAACGGGAGGAGCUCGAUGGCCCAUUUGGCAAUCCCGCCUAUUGCGUCGUGGUUGUUUAUAAUAUCAUUAAGGGGUACUUCGGAUGCCACUAUUAUGGAGCACUCUUGAAAGUAGUGUCGCAGCUUCCGGGAUGCCAUGAACACCGCGUAUGCUAUCUUUUGAUAAUGCGGGCACCAUGACUUGCAUGGAGUUAGUACAGUGGACACGUAGUACACUGGUUUUUUGGAGGGGGAACUUGUGUCCUUCCGCUUCUCGUUCGACGACGAGCAUCGCGCUUACAACUUGAUGGGUUGCCGCGAUGUAUAAUAGCAUUGGUUCGCCCGUUUUGGGCGCGGCCAGGACCGGAUUUGUUGCCCGUAUGGCUUUUAUUUCUUCGAGUACGGCCGUGGCGGCAUCCGUCCACUCGAAGUGGUCGGUGCGCCGCAGGAGGCGAUAGAGGGUUAAUGCCUUUUCUCCUAAGCGGGAGAUAAAGCGGCUUAGAGCCGCCACGCAUCCUGUCAGUUUUUGUAUUUGUUUGAGGUCCUUUGGGGUAUCCAAUUGUGACAGAGCUCGGAUCUUGGCUGGGUUUGCUUCAAUUCAUCUACCGGAUACGAUGAAGCCCAAGAGCUUUCUAGCUGGUAUGCCGAAAACACAUUUUUCCGGGUUGAGCUUAAUGUCAUAUGUUUGGAGAUUGUCGAACGUGAGCCUCAAGUCGUCUACUAGAGUAUCGACGUGUUUUGUUUUGACGACCACGUCAUCUACGUAUGCUUCAACUGUUUUGCCGAUCUGGUUGGCCAAACAUGUCUGAAUCAUGCGCUGAUAUGUUGCGCCGGUGUUUUUGAGCCUGAAGGGCAUCGUGUUGAAGCAGAAUGGGCCGUAUGGGGUGAUGAAUGCCGUUGCGGCUUGGUCUGACUCUGCCAUCUUGAUUUGAUGGUAGCCAGAGUAUGCACCGAGGAAACACAAUGAGUCGUGUCCUGCGGUGGCGUCGAUGAUUUGAUCAAUUCGGGGGAGUGGGAAAGGGUCCUUUGGACAGGCCUUGUUUAGGUCUUUGAAAUCAACACAUAGGCGCCAAGAUAUGUCCUUCUUUGGUACCAUCACCAGGUUUGCUAGCCAGUCCGAAUGUUUUAUGUCUCUGAUGAAUUCGGCUUCCAGCAGUUUUGCUAGCUCCUCUCCCAUGGCUUGUCUCUUGGGUUCAGAAAAAACGCCGUAGGGUCUGCUUGACGGGUUUAAACCCUUUUAGGAUGUUCAGGCUGUGCUCGGCCAGCCUGCGUGGGAUUCCUGGCAUAUCCAAGGGGUGCCAGGCGAAAAUGUCCCAAUUUUCUCGCAGGAAGUCUCUGAGUGCGGCGUCUACAUCGGGUUUUAAUUGUGCCCCGAUGGAGGCCGUUUUUGUAGGGUCCGUUGGAUGGACUUGGAAUUUGACUAUUUCGUCCGCUGGUUUAAAAGAGGUGGACUUGGAUCUCUUGUCUAGUAUCACAUCGUCCCUGUCCACCGUAGAGCGCAACGCCGUUAAUUCCUCGGCCGCUAGGGCCUCAGAUAAUGCCUCCAGGGCCAGUGCGGCUGUCUUGUUUUCAGCGCGGAGCGGUAUGUCCGGAUCACUUGCAAGAGUGAUGAUUCCGUUAGGUCCGGGCAUUUUGAGCUUCAUGUACCCGUAAUGGGGUAUGGCUUGGAAAAUUCUAAAUGCUUCUCGCCCUAGUAGAGCGUGGUAUCCGCUGCUGAACGGGGACACUUGAAACGUGACCUCCUCGGAUCUGUAAUUAUCCGGCGUGCCGAACACCACAUCCAGUGUGAUUUUUCCUGAACAGCACGCUUCCCGGCUUGGGAUUAUUCCCCUAAAAGUUGUCUUGCUUCGCUCAAUGCGGAUCCAGUCAAUUUCCAUUUUUCGCAGGGUUUCCUCGUAGAUGAGGUUGAGUCCGCUGCCGCCAUCCAUGAGUACCUUUGUAAGUCGGAAGCCGUCCACUAUCAGACUGAGGACCAAUGCGGCUGGUGCCCGGGCUGUCCGGAAUUUAAGUUCUUCACUGGCAUUAAAGGUGAUAGCUGUGUCACUCCAUGGGUUUAUUGUUGCUACUUGGUAGACUUCGGCAAGGUUGCGGAGCGUUCAUUUCCUUGCAUUGUUUGAUGUGAAGGUCUCAAAGACUGUCGACACAGUACUGGGGAGGUAUUCUUCGGGUGCUGGGGUUAAAAGCUCCUCGCCACUUCUGGCCACCUGCCGUAGUAUCCAACAUGCUCUGAGGCUGUGCGUUGGUGUGGCUUUCCCUGAAUUAUGAAUUUUACAGGGUCCAUUGAGCCAUCCUUCUAGUACAGUCCCAUACCCUGUAGAGGGUUUUUGUUUUUUGAUGUUUGGCUCAGAUGCCUAGCGAUAAUGCGCCCUUUUGUUUCGGACUCGUGUUAUAUUCGGGGGCGGAUUGUCCCAGAAUUUAUCUUCGGUUUUCCGAACGCUUUCAGUCGCACAGUACUUUCGUACUAUGGAUGUCAAGUCGGCGAAUCGUGUAAUUUCGCGGCGACUUAUGGCGUUGAGGAUUCCGAUGUCCGUGCAGUUGUUAUAGAAGAGUGAAAUUGCUUCUUUCUCACGGCAGUCCUUUAUCCUGUUCAUAACCAGGAGGAAUCUGGCCCAGUAGUGGUGUACUGUUUCUCCGGACUCUUGCCGGAUUAGGGAUAAAUCCAGUAUAGUUGGGUGGGCGGGUGGAAUUAAAUCCAGAAACCUGCCCGAUGUAAGAUUCAGGGGCCGAGUGGUUUCUGAAUUCGGAAGCUUGCUUUCUUGGAUAUUAUUCAAUGAAUCGGGCCUGCUGCCUGACUUUAGGUUCAGGGUUUGGGCGACAUCCUCCACUCCGCGGGUAUCCGGCUUGGAGGGAUCGGGAAUCCGGACGCAUCUAGUCCUUAGGGCGGGCGAAGACUCGCCGCAUUUUUCUUCCACCACUUCGACGUGAUGGGUGAUCUGGGGAGAUUCAAUGUCUCUCUGAUCGGGUUUAAUCCCAAUCUGGUCGUAAUCAGUAGCGACUCCCAGGGCCGUGAUGCGAUCCAAGAGCUCGUUCAGGGAGAAGAGCUCCAUCGGAUCUAACUGCUCGGCAAGCUCCGAGCUGAUGUGAAGAUUGCUUUCGAUGGCCCGAGAGGUCAUCGUCGGUGCAACGGCCGGACAGGCGGUCAUCAAAAACCUGCCUAGCCGGAGAGUUUGGCCGACAGCCAAAGCUCCUUUAGCAACGAUGCCGUCUUUAAAGACGGGAUGCGGCAUCCUUCCUGAUGGUGACGACACAGCGGAACUCUCAAUGAAAGCACCAAUGUCGGUGUCAAAACCGGCGGAUCUCGGGUAGGGGGUCCCGAACUGUGCGUCUAGGCGGAUGGUAACAGGAGACGAGGGACACGAUGUUUUUACCUAGGUUCGGGCCCUCUCGAUGGAGGUAAAACCCUACUCCUGCUUGAUUAAUAUUGAUGAUAUGGGUAGUACAAGAGUAGAUCUACCACGAGAUCGGAGUGGCUAAACCCUAGAAGCUAGCCUAUGGUAUGAUUGUUGUUCGUCCUACGGACUAAAACUCUCCGGUUUAUAUAGACACCGGAGAGGGCUAGGGUUACACAGAGUCAGUUACAAUGGGAGCAGAUCUUCAUAUCGUAUCACCAAGCUUGCCUUCCAUGCCAAGGAAAGUCCCAUCCGGACACGGGACGAAGUCUUCAAUCUUGUAUCUUCAUAGUCCGGGAGUCCGGCCAUCCGGACACCCCCUAAUCCAGGACUCCCUCAAUGAUCACUGCAAAUCUCUGCUUGAGAAGCUCACUGUAUUAGCCAAUGCAGCACCCCCUUAUACUCUUCAUUCUGGCAUUUUGAAAUAUAAAGGAAGAAUAUAUGUGGGAUCAGAUGCUGUUCUUAAACACCAAAUCAUUGAUUCACUUCACAACUCUCCCAUAGGAGGCCAUUCAGGCAUUGUGGCUACUUAUCAAAGGGUAAAAAAGCUAUUUGAUUGGCGCCAAGCCAGGAGAUUGAAACUUUUCUACAUGAGUGUGCAGUUUGCCAAAGAGUCAAGGGAGAGCAUUCCCACUACCCUGGUCUCCUAGAUCCACUGACAUUACCUACUUCUGCUUGGACUGACAUCUCCUUGGAUUUCUUUGAGGGUCUUCCCAAAUCAUUGGGCAAAGAAUUCAUAUUGUUGGUGGUGGACAGGUUCACUAAAUAUUCUCAUUUCAUUCCCCUUGCUCACCCUUAUACAGUACAAUCAGUCUCUCAUGCUUUCAUGGAUAAUGUUUUUAAGUGGAAUGGAUUGCCAAAGUCAAUAGUCUCUGAUAGAAACUGGAUAUUCACAAGUAACAUGUGGCAGGCCUUCUUCAAAGCACUGCAAGUGAAAUUGAGGUUUAGCUCUGCCUACCACCCACAAUCAGAUGGCCAGACAGAACGUGUGAAUUAGUGUGUGGAAAAUUACUUGCAUUGCAUGGUUUUUCAGCAGCAAGGAAGUGGGCUAGUUUGGAUCAAGCAAAUGCCACUUGGGAGGAUGCCGACUUCAUCAAAGGUCUCUUUCCGGAGUUCUAUACAGCUCCUAUUCGUGGUUGGUACCCUAAUUCCAACACUUGAAAAUGCUUUGGGGGAGGUAUUGUCAUAUCUGAAGAUUACUGUAUCUAACUCUCGAUUGAAUUCAGAGUGCUGCCUUUACUUCAUCUACCGUGAACGGGGCCAAGAGGCUUGCGUUCAUUUCUUCAGUUACUCGCCUGUUUACUUUCCCCAGUAGCCCAGGGUCGGGAGCUAGGACUUCUGAGGUGAACAGUCCCUCAAAGUAACCCUGUAUCAGAGAUGCUAACUGGUCAUUACCUUCGAUCCUGUUGCGGUUUGAGUCAUUCAGAAACUUUAUUAUGUUCUUCUUUUUUCUCCGUUGCAAAAUGAUGUGAUGAAAGAAGCUUGUAUUCCGGUCUCCAUGGCGGAGCCAAUUAGCCCUUCCUCUUUGCAGCCAUUAAUCCGAGUGCAAACUCUCUUAAUUCAGUGUUGGAAGCAGUCUCUCCUAUCCACUCCAAACAGGGAGGGGAGCCCCAAGUAUUUGUCAGUGAGUGAUUCGGUGACAAUAUUCAGCAGGUUGCAUACCUCUUGUCUGUCCCCCUAUCUGUCUAAGGGUCCUUGGUAAAACUCUCUUCAUUGAAGGCAGCACGUGGGUAUCCAUCUUAUCUACGGUCUGCGAGUCAUCCACAUGUAACACCCACGAUGCGGCUAUAUCUCCCACGUGUCGAAGCACGACUUAGAGGCAUAACCGCAUGGUGGUUUUGUCGCAAGAAGGGUCAUCUUCACACAAUCCCAUGUAAUGAGCAAGAAUGGGAUAAAGAGAGUUGGCUUACAAUCGCCACUUCACACAAUACAUAAUUAAGAUCAUACAUCAUUCAAAAUACACUCAUAGACCGGCUACGGUCAAAUUCAAAUGAAAAGAAGACAACCCCAAAUGCUAGAUCCCCGAUCGUCCCGACUGGGCACCUCUACUGAUCAUUUGGAAACGAUACAUAGUAACGACCAAGGGCCUCAUCAAUCUCCCACUUCAGCUCAGUUGCGCCAUCGACGCUGGUAUCCUCGGCACCUGCAUCUGUUUUGGUAGAAUCUGUGAGCCACGGGGACUCAGCAAUCUCACACCCGCGAGAUCAAGACUAUUUAAGCUCAUAGGUAGGACAAGGGGGUAAUAUGGUGGAGCUGCGGCAACCACUAAGCAUAUAUGGUGGCUAACAUACGCAAGUGAGAGAGAGAAGAGAAGCAACGCAACGGUCGAGAAGCUAGAAUCGAUCAAGAAGUGAUCCUGAAACUACUUACGUCAAGAUAACUUAAACCAUGUUCACUUCCCGGACUCCGCCGAGAAGAGACCAUCACGGCUACACACACAGUUGAUGUAAUUUUAAUGAAGUCAAGUGUCAAGUUAUCUACAACCGGACAUUAACAAAUUCCCAUCUGCCUCAUAACCGCGAGCACGGCUUUCGGAAGAUAAUAUACCCUGCAGGGGUGUCCCAACUUAGCCCAUCACAAGCUCUCACGGUCAACGAAGGAUAUACCUUCUCCCGGGUAGACCCGAUCAGUCUCGGAAUCCCGGUUCGCAAGACAUUUCGACAAUGGUAAAACAAGACCAGCAAAGCCGCCUGAUGUGCCGACAAAUCCCGAUAGGAGCUGCACAUAUCUCGUUCUCAGGGCACACCAGAUAGGUCAGUCUACGAGUAAAACCAGACCUCGAGUUGCCCCGUGGUGGCCCCGCAGUCUUCCUGUUUCGGACCAACACUCGAAGGAGCACUGGCCCGGGGGGUUAAAAUAAAGAUGACCCUUGGGCUCGGGAAAACCCAAGGGAAAAAGGCUUAGGUGGCAAAUGGUAAAACCAAGGUUGGGCCUUGCUGGAGGAGUUUUAUUCAAAGCGAACUGUCAAGGGGGUCCCAUAAAUCACCCAACCGUGUAAGGAACGCAAAAUCAAGGAACAUAACACCGGUAUGAUGGAAACUAGGGUGGCAAGAGUGGAACAAGUCACCAGGCAUAAGGCCGAGCCUUCCACCCUUUACCAAGUAUAUAAGGUGCAUUAAUUAAACAGGAGAUAAUGGGAUAUCCCAAAAUAUCCAUGUUCCGACCAGGAACAAACUUCAUCUUCACCUGCAACUAGCAACGCUAUAAGCGGGGCUGAGCAAAAGCGGUGACAUGGCCAAACAACGGUUUGCUAGGAUAGGAUGGUUAGAGGUUUGACAUUGCAAUAGGGAGGCAUGAUAAACAGUUGCAGGUAGAACUAACAUAGCGAUAGAGCGAGUACUAGCAAGCAAAGAUAGAAGUGAUAUCGAAGGUAUGGUCAUCUUGCCUGCAAGGUUCUCAGAGUUGUCGAAGGCUUGAUCCUUGUUAGCAUACUUAACAGGUUCCUCGUGCACGUACUCGUCUCCCGGGUCUACCCAAAGCAAGAACACAAGCAAAGGAACCACAAUAAAUCUCGGUGCAAUGCACAAGCAACAUGAUGCAAUACAUGUCAUGAUAUGCGAGAUGUGAUAUGCAAUGCUUAUGCGUGCUUCGGGAGGAAAAAUGAUGAGCAAGGCAUCAACUUGGCAAACCAAGUAUGCCGCUGGAAAGAUGAGAUGAUUUCGGUUGAAAUCGAUAUGAAGAUCACCGGAAACGGAUGCACUGUUUGCAAAUGGCAAUCAAAACAAGAAUGGCGCAAAGCUGCGAUUAACAGCACGAUGCUACUUAGCAUGCAACAAGAAACUAUGCUACAGCACCCCAACAUACCAACAAAGCAUAUGGCAGUGAUCUACAGGAGAUGCUUAACAAAAGAGGAACACUGAGCUAUGGCUAAAUCACAUCAUAACAGGUUCAAACAAGCAUGGCAAAAGAGCUAAAAAUAUCAGGUUGGACAUGGCAUAAACAGCAUCACGAAGCAAUGUUCAGAGCAAGUUAUCAACAAGUUACAAGACCUUAUAAUAUCAAAACAAGACAUGGCAUGAUUCUACUCGAAGCAUAGAUCAAAAGUCCCUUACUGACCAUAAGCCAAAAAGGACCAGAAGAUAUGAUGGCACCCAUGUGAACAUAGCAAGUUUCGUUAACAGAUUCACCAAAGAGAGCAUGGCAUUGACAGAAUUACGAAGGCACCUUCGCGAGCUCUAUGCACUCACUACAGAGCAUUUCAUGAUAAACUAAGCAUACAUACAUCAAGAAGACAUGGCAUAGAAGCUAUACAUGGCAAGAACAACAUCAUAGCAUACACGGAUCAACUACAACAACCUUGGCAAAAUUGAAUAACAGGUAAACAAUCUGCCAGGAAACAUUUUGAAGCAAAAGUAGAGCACGAAAAUGACAUGUUAGACUACUCCAUAAUUUCAACCAGGGGCAUGAAUGGAUAGAUCAUAACCAUAUGUUCAAAACACCCUUACUGAAGUAUCCCAAAUUAUGCAUGGAUCUCUCUGUAGCAACAUGUUUACAUGGCAUCAAAAUAACAGCAGAACAGGGACUAAAAUCAGCAAUAUCAUGAAGCCUAGUUUGCAUGCUUGUGCUAGUCACCACAUUGAUCACAAAAAUACAUGGUAAGCACCUCUGUAAAGAAGACAUGGCAUAGUUCAACUCACAUGUAGGACUCAAGUACAUAAGAUGCACACAUCAAUCAUGGCAAAAAUGACAAAAGUGCAUUUUCUGAUAAGAAUCUGAAACUAACAUUAUGAAGCACUCUUCCAACAUCAUUUCGGGCAUCAAGAUGAGCCCAAAUGAAAAUGAUGCAAUGCGAUGGAAUGAUGUACUCGUCGAGGCGAACAAUUCGGUAUGCUACGCGCCAAAAACGGAGCCACGGGUGCAAAGUUGUGGGGUGUUAAACAUGCAACAAAAUUACUGACAGAUAAUAACUUAGGGGAUUUUCGGGGGGAGAAGUCAACGAGGGUGGAUCUAGAUCCGGUCGUGCGGAUCGAGGACGGCCGGCGCGUGUUCGUCGGAGGGCGCGGGCGUCGCCUGAGUUGACGGAGGGGAGGAAGGCCGGAGAGGACGGGCCGGCCGGAGCUUGGCCGCGGCGGCGCGGUCGGAGACGGGGUCGGGCAGCGGCGCGGUUGGAGGCGNNNNNNNNNNNNNNNNNNNNNNNNNNNNNNNNNNNNNNNNNNNNNNNNNNNNNNNNNNNNNNNNNNNNNNNNNNNNNNNNNNNNNNNNNNNNNNNNNNNNNNNNNNNNNNNNNNNNNNNNNNNNNNNNNNNNNNNNNNNNNNNNNNNNNNNNNNNNNNNNNNNNNNNNNNNNNNNNNNNNNNNNNNNNNNNNNNNNNNNNNNNNNNNNNNNNNNNNNNNNNNNNNNNNNNNNNNNNNNNNNNNNNNNNNNNNNNNNNNNNNNNNNNNNNNNNNNNNNNNNNNNNNNNNNNNNNNNNNNNNNNNNNNNNNNNNNNNNNNNNNNNNNNNNNNNNNNNNNNNNNNNNNNNNNNNNNNNNNNNNNNNNNNNNNNNNNNNNNNNNNNNNNNNNNNNNNNNNNNNNNNNNNNNNNNNNNNNNNNNNNNNNNNNNNNNNNNNNNNNNNNNNNNNNNNNNNNNNNNNNNNNNNNNNNNNNNNNNNNNNNNNNNNNNNNNNNNNNNNNNNCGGGGCGGCGGCGCAGGCCACGUGGCGGGAUCCGGUUCAUCCGGGGCGCGGUGGUGGACGCGUCCGCCUCCGUCCGGACGUGUCCGACAGCGCGGAGAGGAGCGGGGCUAGGGUUAGGGUAGGAAAUGAUCCGGGAUUUCGGGGGAGGGGGUGUUUUUAUAGGUAGAAGGAGCUAGGAGUGUCCAAAUGAGGUGUAGUUUUCGCCCACACGAUCGUGAUCCGACGACGGAGAGCAUGGAAGUGACUUAGAUGGGUUAUUGGGCUGUUUUGGAGGGGUGUUGGGCUGCAACUCAAAAGAGGCCUUUGCGGUUGUGCGGUUAACCUUCGGAGUACCAAACGAGCUCCAAAUGACCCGAAACUUGACAGGUGGUCUACCGGUGCUAUACCAGGGCCACUUGGCAAGGCUCGGUCCAUUCCGAGAACGUUUAACACCCGCACACGAAAAGAGACAAGAGGGGUGUGCCGGUGCAUGUGGGAGUGUCGGAUUGUGAAACGGACAAUGGGGAAAAUGCUCGGAUGCAUGAGACGAACACGUAUGCAAAUGAGAUGCACAUGAUGACAUGAUAUGAUAUGCAUGACAUGAAUAAAAUGCAAAACAAAAGGCAAAACCCAGACACGGAGGGAAUAUCAUAUCACAUAGCCAAAAAUGGCAAGAGUUGGAGAUACAAAGAUGGAAAGUUACAUCCGGGGUGUUACACCACAUGACCAAAACAAAGGGUACGAAAGCAGUGAAACCGAUAUAUCUGUUGAAGGCGAUCCCACCGGUCCUAUUUAUUAAGUUGCAAUGGCGAGUAUCUUUGGACCCCAAAGAGUUGUAUACGCUGGAAAAUGGAGAUUUGCCUGUGGCAUUGGCCGUUGGGCAGCUAGCUAUUGCAUUUGAAGGCUCCACAGAAAGAACCCGCAGGUACUAUUACGACAGGUGGCUUCGAAUCCAGUUUGUUAGUCGUUUGCAUCUCGGUUAACAAAAAUAAGCUUGAAUCCCUCCAUUCGUAGAUCAAUCAGCUAAAGUUGUUAAAACAAUGCCCCGGUAAAAAGGUAGCAGAAGGUCGUUCUUUCUUACACUAAGUUGCACUCAGGUGCUGCUGUUUUAGAGCUAGGCAAUAUUCUCUGUGUAAACCAGUAUCGUAUUUGUUCGAUAUGGACCAUUCUAUAAGUAUAGUCAUUUCAGUCUUCCUCAAAGGAUCUCCGAUCUAUUGUGCAACCUUCCCUUCGAAACCCACACCACACGAAUACUUCUACCCCUUAUCACAGCUCCAAUGCCCACAGGCAUCUGUCUCUAGCACAAAUCUUUUACUGAAAUCAGGGAGAACCAACACAGGGGCCUCAAUUAAAGCUUGCUUGAGAACAUCAAAGGAUUGCUUUGGCUUGUCCACACAAAUGGUACUCCUUUCUUUAACAAGUUCGUGAGAGGUCUCCUAAUUAUGUAUAUACAGGAUGAGUCACAUCUUGACCGGAGCCAUGCGGAGCACAAAAAGUGAAGAGAAAGGAUUUGUUCACCACUUUAAGCCAAAAGAUAGAAAUGAAAGUUGUUCCCAUAGAAUGAGAUUAGAUCCCGCAAGAGAUCUAUUUAUCCCGAAGCUUACAAGAAGCAAAGUUGAAACGGGAGCUUUCCCACCACGACAUCCAACUCUUCUCUUCUGUAAGCAAAGGGGCUUUCAACGAGAUAGGGAGCUGUACAAUUUCACCCGUGGGUGGGGCUGGCUACGCUUGCUAGAUUGGAUCAAAUAUACGUGUCCUACGCUAGGCGGAAUCGUUGUUUCACUCCUCCAAGCGUUCCUUGCCAAUGGGUAAAGCCUUUAUCUAUCACUUCGGUCGGAGACAUAUUAAUUACCUUUUUUAUCCUUGGACCCUUGAAAGCUCGCUUCCCUUCCAGAACUGAGGGAAACCGGUGCCUGAGAGAUCCGUUAUCUGCAGUCUCUGAGCUUGAUUGCACAUCUUUUCCUGCUCAUACAUGUGUUUUUGCACGCUUGAGACCUCCUCUUUCGCUUGGCUAUCCGAGGAAAGAUGUCUUACGAGGUGGGUUGGACAACGUACGUAGUGAGCCUGCUGCUAUCAGUGUGAAGAUGAGCAUCUAUCUUUCUUUUCAGGAUUUAGUGUGUGUGUGCUUGUUCUUAAGGGAACGUGCAAAUCACCCAAUCAUAUCAGGAUGGAUCCAAUGGGUGUGAUUUUUGUCUGUAUUGGUCACUUACCCACGCUAUAAGAAGAAGGGCGUCAUGGAAGAGUUUGGGGUCCAAAGCCACACCUUCUUUCCCCCAUAGGAACAGAGGUCAGGAGCUGCCGGCAGGGCGCUGCAUUCAAUCUGACUGAUGGCUCAAGAUAAGUACGAGACAUACUUGAGAUAGAUAAUUAUGUAUUUCGCUAUUUCGAAUACCUAAAUAGCUGCUAACAAGAAUAAGUACGGAGAUAUUGGAUCUCCCUGGCGUAGUCCCUGAGAAGGUUUGAAUUCCUCAAGACGCUCCCCAUUGAAAAGAACCGAGAAGGUAACUGAAGUCACUAACCUCAUCACCAUAGAAAUCCCACCUUUGCUGAAAAAAAGUGGACUGGAUAGCCGUCCGGGCCAGGGGCCUUUCAGGGUACAUCUUAAAAAGGUCACACUUCAGAACCAGUAAAGGGCGCAGUCAAUUGCUCAUUCAUUGCCUGAGAUACUUUCCGAGGAACUGUCGACAGAACAAACAUCCUCCAUUCUUUCAGUACCUUCAGCAGUAUAGAGAUGUUUAAAGAACUCAUUCGUCAUCCCACUCAUCUCCUCUGAAGGGACAACGAAGGAUUGUCUGAAGUAGGACCUAUUCGUAGCUCAUUUCAAAUGGGCCAAAGAAACUAGGGCCACAGAGACCCCCCCCCCUGUGUCAUGAAAAGAGAAACUUUCGGUAGUCACAAAACCCUAUUUUAAGAAAUAAGUCAUUAGAUCCCAUAUCAGCUAUAGCAGUGAAGUUCUCAUAAGCUUUCAUCAUGUCGAGCUUUAGUGCACACACCUGAUCAUCUCGUGUCUCUUAUGCCCCUCCUUCUUUUGGGAGGAAAUCAAAUGAGUAAAGGUUUCUGUCGACUCCCCUCAAGGAACCACUCACUACUCAACUUGAAACCACGGACCUACCUCCUGCUUUUUACUUUUUUCUUUGUCCCAAUUCAUACCGAGCAUGUCUUUCUCCAUCUAUAGAUAGAGAGAAUAUAGGAUAGAGGCGCUCAAAGCAAAUAGGAUUCUGUAUCUAAUACUAAUAGGUACUAACCGCAUUCAAGAUUGACUUGACCUCUUAUUUUGGAUAGGAGAAAUUCUUACGCCCCAGGGGUUUAAAGGGCCCACUCCGUUUUGUUGACUCAUCAGGCUCACCACCUUUUGGAGCUCAUCCAACAGUCAGUCUACUUAAUCAUAAUCAUAAUCAAUCCGUUGCUAUUGCUAUCUAUCGCCAUACCCACAAGAGGGUAAUUUAUCCAACUCCCCGUGCGAAAGCAAGUCCCGCGUCAGCAGUGAUUCGAGUUGUUCCUUGAGAGCGGGCUUAUGGCACUCCAGGUAAACAUAACAAUAUGAGAGAGAACUCCGUUCAGCUUAUAAGUACUCGAUUGAACCAAUUGUUUUUUCAUUUCCCAGUAGGUCACCUUGGUCCAGCUGGUGACUUUCUAGAAAGAGACAAGGAAGUCGAUUCAACAUAAGGGAAGAAAGCAUAUUUUAGGUUUACUCCUUCCAUGUCUAGUAGGAGUGCGUGCUUCUUAUUGCCUUUUGAGGAGUAGUUGUAUACAUUCCUCACUCAGUCUAAUUAAUUAUCUUUCUCCCUACCCAAAUACCAAGGGAGGUUUAUGAGUCGUAUCCUCCUUACGAGAUAGCGGAAGUAGCAUUAGCGGGAAAAGUAAGCUCCUUUUCAAGCCUUCUCUUUCGUAACCUUUGAUUAGUUCCUUAGAUGCCCUUAGCAAGAAUGAUGCAGGAGCAAGAAAGUCUAUUUCCUCCGCCUUUCCAGAAUCUAGCUAUGAAUAUAGUAAUGGCACUCAUAGAUUAUCCUUUUUUAGUAGGGAAUAGCCCAUAUCUUUGAUUAGUUACUAGGUAUUUGGAUGAUGGUUUUAGUAUUAUUCUUGCUAAUAAUUCAAGAUAAACUAUCUCUUCAAAAUUAGUUAAUAGAAUCCAAAUUGAUGCGUAGAAAGAGAUCUUACCUAUAGGAAAUAAUUAUUAUCACUAAUCUCUGUUCAUCAAUCUUAACUAACUGAGGAUAGUUUUAUGUCAUAUCUUCUCGCUCAAGGGACAACAUUCUACCCACAAUGGCUAAAGCUACCUUGAAUCAAUCAAUGAAUGAAUGAUUCAUAACCCCCAUGGGUUCGAGGACCCGUUGGUCAAAGGAAAAGGGGGGUCCAGAUUCCAGGACGGAGCCGUAUGAGGCGAGAGUCUCACGUACAGUUCCUUUGAGAAGGCUGUGAUACCACCACCUAUCAGGCCCGACGAGCGGUCCACGGAGCUGCAUCCCUACUCACCCGGUCUAUGCACAUCGCUCUUUCUAGGAGGUUGGCUGCCUAUCCUAGAUCUUCCCAUUUCCAAAAGAUCCCUUGUUCGAUCUGGUUUAGUAUCAAGGUUCUUAUUUUUCUGUUUCUAUAUAUAUGGGUCUGUGCAGCAUUUCCACAAUAUCGUUAUGAUCAAUUAAUGGGACUUGGCCGGAAAGUGUUCUUGCCUCUAUCAUUAGCUCGGGUAGUCCCUGUUUCAGGUGUUUCAGUCACCUUUCCAUGGCUCCCUUAAUGUAUGUGCCAGGAAGUUUCUUAUGAAGGGGGCUACUCCCCGAAAAUGCCCCGCCCCUUGUUCGUUUGUCGUUGGGGAUUCAUUGCUCGUUCUGCGGUUAUAAGUAACAUAGCCAGCCUAAUUUCUAGAAUAGGGCUGCAUGCAGGAGGGCUUUGUUUGUGCAAUCUUGUUCGCAACACCCUCUCCUCCGGCGAACCUGCGAUCGCCGCCUCUAACUGAAUGCUCAACUAAGAUUGUGUACAACAACCUUAACCGCACAAGACUGGGCUGGGCCUACCCCCAUCCCUAGAGUGUCAAAGGCGGGCGACAAGAAGGCGGUUGCAGGCAGUAAGUAGAUGGACGGCUCUUUGACAGGAGGUAGUAAACAUAGGUUGCGUUAAUGAUAAAGAUCUUUGGGGAAACCGCUAAAAAAGAUUGAACAUGUGGUUCCGAGUUUCGAUAACUUCUUCUACUUUCAUUUCCUCCGUCUUCCAAAUCGCAGAGUUAAUUCAAAAGCCUAGGUGUUAUUACUGAGCUGCUGCUCUUUUUUCUCUAAUUCCCUUCUCAGAUCAUCCGACUACUCCUGCUUAUCCUACUCACUCGAAGUGACACUAAACUUUAAUUUGAGCUAGUUACUAUAUCGAGAUAAAUUUUAUACUCCUGCUUUUAUUCUCAUCAGUGUCUGAAGUUUCAUGAUGAAUACUUGUUUCACAUUUUAUUGCUUACGUGAGGAAAUAUCAAUUUGGAACUGGAAUUUGUAUUUGAGUUAUGAUGAGGAGUGAGGUAGAUUCGCAUUGUUGAAGAAAGCAAAGAAAAAGGAUGCUACUAUGGCUUGCUUGUGGCUCUUUCUUCUAUUGGCUAGUCUCAGGCAUGAUAGUUUCCAUUUCUUUUGGAAAGCAAGUGCGGCUCAGUCAUAAGUGUUAGUAAUAGCAUGAAGUAAGUUGUCGGUAGCCGGCAUUAGGUAAAAGGAAAAGCUUCUCAAAAGCAUCUAGAAAUAUCAUAGAAUGGUGAUCGAGAUCACCUUCACGGGAAUCAUCCUUUGCAAAUUGGGGGAAGGGAACCAAUCAAGUCACCAAGAAGUUCCCGAAACUUGGUUUAGUAUUAAGGUUCUUCUCUUCCAGCGUUUAGUAUUCAAGUUCUUCUCUUCCAGCCCCCUGGCCCCUCCCUGAUAAGUCAGGUUUUCAAAACGAAAAGAAAAUGAAAAAUAUGGUUCGAUGGCUCUUCUCCACUACCCGCUUUACUACUUUCUAUUUUUUCUUAUGUAUUAAGUUUCCCUUAAUAUAUAAUUGGAUAUUACUUUCGAUUUGUAUAUUUUUAUUCCUUUGUCGUUUUCUAUUAUGCCUAAUACCUAUUUUCAAUCUUUUUAGUUCGUGCUUCGUCGGCUCCUCCUUUCUGAUCACUCUCCCACCAGAGAUUCAAGACCCCCAGGCUCUAGCUCAUUUAGCAGGGCUAAACUUCUAUCUGAGUCUUUACGAGCAGGAUCCGGGAUGGGUUACUUUCAUUCAGAAUGAGCUUAAUCACAAUACCCCCCUGGAAGACAUACCUGGGCGGCUUAAGCUCUUCCUAAUGGAAGAAAAGAUCUCUUCUAUGCGACAAGAUGUCAUUCAGGAAUUUGUGGCGCUUUAUCAAAGAGUAGGGCCUUAUCUACCGAUCGAGCCCUACUUGGUCGAUGAAGCGCUUCGUUCCUAUCUGGACCAUAUGCACACAACUGAUUCUUUCACUGUUCUCCAAGCAUCUUAUCAAGAUCUGCGGGAGAAUGAGGGAGGAUCCGUUUUCUUUCGAAAUGUUGUUUCCCACAACCGGGAUCUCCUUGAGGCGGAAAGCUCCGCAAGGAGGUGCCUGGAAGUGGAAUAGAGGAUCCGGUGGGAAGAAAUCCCCAAGAGCAAGGCAAGUCUCUUAAGAGCUGAGCACAAGCAUGCUCUCAACUUGUUUAAGUCGGAGGAUCUUAGAAGGCAAUUAGAAAAAAAGAGCGGGGUAGCUCAGUAAUUCUGAUUCUUUUCUUUUCCAGCCCCCCGGCCCCUCUUUGAUAAGGAAAGUUUUCAUUUCUAAAAUUAAAAAUGACAAAUAUGGUUCGAUGGCUCUUCUCUACUAACCACAAGGAUAUUGGGACUCUCUAUUUCAUCUCGGUGCCAUUGCAGGAGUGAUGGGCACAUGCUUCUCUGUACUGAUUCGUAUGGAAUUAGCCCGACCCGGCGAUAAAAUUCUUGGUGGGAAUCAUUAACUUUAUAAUGUUUUAAUAACGGCUCACACUUUUUUAAUGAUCUUUUUUAUGGUUAUGCCGGCGAUGAUAGGUGGAUUUGGUAAUUGGUUUGUUCCGGUUCUGAUAGGUGCACCUGACAUGGCAUUUCCACGAUUAAAUAAUAUAUCAUUCUGGUUGUUGCCACCAAGUCUCUUGCUCCUAUUAAGCUCAGCCUUAGUAGAAGUGGGCAGCGGCACUGGGUGGACAGUCUAUCCGCCCUUAAGUGGUAUUACCAGCCAUUCUGGAGGAGCAGUUGAUUUAGCAAUUUUUAGUCUUCAUCUAUCAGGUAUUCAUCAAUUUUAGGUUCUAUCAAUUUUAUAACAACUAUCUUCAACAUGCGUGGACCUGGAAUGACUAUGCAUAGAUUACCACUUUUUGUGUGGUCCGUUCUAGUGACAGCAUUCCUACUUUUAUUAUCACUUCCGGUACUGGCGGGGGCAAUUACAAUGUUAUUAACCGAUCGAAACUUUAAUACAACCUUUUUUGAUCCUGCAGGAGGGGGAGACCCAAUAUUAUACUAGCAUCUCUUUUGGUUCUUCGGUCAUCCAGAGGUGUAUAUUCUCAUUCUGCCUGGAUUUGGUAUUAUUAGUCAUAUCGUAUCAACCUUUUCAAGAAAACCGGACUUCGGGUAUCUAGGCAUGGUUUAUGCCAUGAUAAGUAUAGGUGUUCUUGGAUUUCUAGUUUGGGCUCAUCAUAUGUUUACUGUGGGCUUAGACGUUGAUACGCGUGCCUACUUCACUGCAGCUACCAUGAUCAUACCAUGUGGGGAGGUUCGAUACAAUACAAAACACCCAUGUUAUUUGCUGUAGGGUUCAUCUUUUUGUUCAGCAUAGGAGGGCUCACUGGAAUAGUUCUAGCAAACUCUGGGCUAGACAUUGCUCUACAUGAUACUUAUUAUGUGGUUGCAUAUUUCCAUUAUGUACUUUCUAUGGGAGCCGUUUUUGCUUUAUUUCCUGGAUUUUACUAUUGGGUGGGUAAAAUCUUUGGUCGGACAUAUCCUGAAACUUUAGGCCAAAUCCAUUUUUGGAUCACUUUUUCGGGGUUAAUCUGACCUUCUUUCCCAUGCAUUUCUUAGGGCUUUCGGGUAUGCCACGUCACAUUCCAGAUUAUCCAGAUGCUUAUGCCGGAUUGAAUGCUCUGAGCAGUUUCGGUUCUUAUAUAUCCGUAGUUGGGAUUCGUCGUUUCUUUGUAGUUGUCGUUGGGAUUUGCAUGUGUAUUUGCGUUCAGCUUUGCUACUUUCCUUCUAGAAAAGAAUGUCUGCUGAAGGGAUUAGUCUACGUGGCCCGGGGUAGUCUUUCAAUUCCUUUAUCGGGUGGGAGAGUUUAGAACCAGUUAAGCCAAUAGCUGCUGCUUUAGUCACACUAGCUAUAUCAGUUGAUCAUGGAUUUAGCAUACCACCUCAGAAUAGUCUACAUGGCCCCUUGUUUUUACUACAAUUUGAUAUAGUGAAUCCAGUAAUGCAGACAGCCCUUUUUAAAGCGCUUUUAAAGCCCCUGACUCUCAAAAAGAGCUGGAGGUUUUGCCUUAACUCAUUCCAUGAAUGUUGUUCCAUUCCCCACGUGGCUGAAUCCAACUCAGUCUUUAUCCUGCCUUGGAGUUCUCUCUCAUAACUGAAGCCAGGAGGUAUUCGAUUUAUCAAAUUUAGAGCUAGCUGCCCUUUUCUUGCUCCUUGCCAUUAGCGCAACCCUUUUCUUUUUCUUAGCUAGCAUAGUUUUUCACCUUCAAAAGAAGGCGCCAACGCUUUUGUAGUGACCCCUCCGGGGUCCCGGGUUGCUUUGGCGCACCCCACCCCAUCAGUCCUGUGUUGUACUUGACUUGACUCUCCCCCGCUUGCUGCUUGCUGAUCGCAGUGUUCAAAAAUGACAUGAAGCUGGAUAUGAGUAGAUGUUGUUGGUCGAAAACGUCUUUCAUUCACAAUGAAACAGAAUGGUCUCACUCGAUGCAUCAUUUUAGAAUGUGUAUUUUCAUAUUAAGAGUUCUUAAAAGUUCUCAACUCAAAGCCCAACCGUCAAAAGGAUGCUACAAUGUUCGAAAUUAUCAACUUAACAUGCCCCCUUACUUCCUUCGUGACCUCCCACUACUUCAUCUACCGAAAUGAUUAGGCAGAUCUCGUUUUUUCUGGCAUUAAACCUGCUCAUGAUCCUUUAUAGAGCAUGGAGCAGACAGAGAGAUGAAAGGACCACCUUCUCCUGCUUGCUUGAUCGGAAUCUAUUCACAUUUAGAAUAGCGGAAGUGCUACUUAACUUCACUUAGUAGUUGAAACUCGGAGAGACAGAGAGAGUCCUCUCUCAUACUUGCCAAUUCCAAGGCUGAUCAGCAAGGGAAUUGGCAGGAACCAACCUUAGUUGCCCCUCGGUAGAGUGAGUCUACUUAGCGAACUGGCAGGACGCAGAGAUCGAUUGAUCAAUAUGCAUAUCGAGAGUUGAUGGUUCACCGCCGCCCCCCUUGUCCUGCCCCGGCCGGGGAGGCAAAGGGGAUUGCUAUCAUCACCCUUUCUCCCGGUGUAUGUGAAAGAGAAAAAGUGACGCACUUUUUGGAUUUUCGGUCUGCGGUUGGUUGGGCCAAAGAACGAGAGUCAGCUUCCUUAAGUCCGUUCUUCCUCAGUAGCUCAGUGGUAGAGCGGUCGGCUGUUAACUGACUGGUCGUAGGUUCGAAUCCUACUUGGGGAGAUUUGAUUCAUUCAGAAUUCGAAUUGAUAGUUAUAGCUUUUCUGACUAGCGACCCCUGUCCUUCUCCUUUUUUUUUCUAAAGACGCAGCAGAAUCGUCAAACGGGACAUCAAAAGUGGGAAGUUGAUUAUAGGAUUUCUAUUCCUCACUCUCGUAUAGGUGAACUUGGUUCGUUCAAUAAAAAGGGAUAAUAAGGAUCCACUGGGAAUGAAUGGGAAGACUGGGGUAGUAUCUUCAUUAGCCGGAAGGAAUUAGUCUCCACUAGCAUAAUUCGAAGAACGAACAAGAAAAGGCGUCUUUAGGUAGGAGGAUGGAUGGAUGUGGUCCAAUGGCUAAAGCUCUGGCAGCUUCUUGUAGACUGGCAGUCUCCGAGAGGAACCUUAACCACCCGGGUUAGGCCGGGUGGGAUGGUAUACUUUUUUUUCGCCACAAGUGGGAACUCAGUCCUUGGUAAGACACAAGGGGGGAAGGAAGAUCUUCACUCAUUCAUUAAGUAAGUGCAUGCGGUGAGACUGACAACAAACGAAGGGGGUGGAGGGAGACCGAAGAAGGAACAAUUGUCUUGAAUGCUACGCUGGGAUCAGCAGCUUCCAGUGUUUUCAAAAUGAGUCGGGCAGGAAGAGGAAGAUCGGGCGGGGAAAACGGGGUUCGAACCCGCGACUUCUGGCGUGAAAGACCAGCACUCUAACCAACUGAGCUAUUUCCCCCUUUCGUAACUACUGUCGAUUCAAUAGUCACCUACCGGUUACCUUUGUAACUAUACAAAAGUAGCUGUACAACAGAAUGCCCUUCGCCUUUAGUACUUUUCUUUUUCUUUUGACGACAGUAGAAAGAAAUGGCUCUGCUCGCUUAGAGAAGAGUCUCCGCGCUCUAUCAGCUAUUAGUUAGUUGGCGCUACGCGCAACUUCAGUUGACAAAAGCGAACAAGAUAGCGCUAGCGCCCGCGGAGAACUUUCGUUUGUUCGCCUUCUAAAAGGCAACCGGCAGACCUUACUUUCUGAAAAAGACAGAAGUACGGAAACUGAUCCUAUUUCAGAUCUAGGCCGUUUUGAAUUGACAUAGCUUGACCUGUGAACUCUCAGCGCGUACGAUAGUUGCUUCGACAAACAUUCGAUAGACUAGCUUUCGAAGUGCCACGAUCCUAUCGAGUAAAAUCAUCCCCCGGGGAUAACGGCUGCCGGAAAGGUGCGAAGUUGGACUAAUUUGGAAACAUUGGGCAAUUUACUUUAUACCUACUAUUCCGUCUGGUUUUUUCCUAUUUUACUAAGUGCAUUAAAAAUAACUGUUUUUCAAUGUCUUCAUAUAAAAGUUCUAACACAUUAUUGAACAUUAGCAUACCUGAUAUAGCACAUCCACCUCAGUAUAAAUGACUUUUUCUGUGAAACUCCAAUAAGGUAAGCAGUUUUCUUCAGUAAAGCCAUGAUGUUUCCACUCCAUUUUCAUUACGAAGAUGUACUAUGUCAGGAUCUGUUGCUCAAACUGAAUCACGCCAAUGUUAUGGAAGUUCCUGGAUUGUUUGAAAUAAGAUUAGUACCAAAAGCUGCCUCUGAUUUCAGAAUCCAAUUAGGAAAAUUGGCUAUGGAGAUUUUGUGCGGUCAGAGAUUCAUACAGACACAAAGGGGCCCCUAUUUUCAAGGAGGAAAGUCGUUUCGAUCCAAUCCAUUCUUGGGGUCCGAAAAAGACACUGGAUAUGUUAGUGACUUUACACGACAAAGCGUUCUCCGAGGGCAUGGAAUGUACCAUUUUUUAGUCAAAAUCUUUACAGUAAUGUCUAUGUUGGAUUCUCCGGUCGAAAUACGGGAAAACUCCAUCAAAUUCUUUAUGGAAACGGAGUUUUGCAAAUUCUCCCCGGAACUGGAAGAUCAUUUCGAGAUCUUCGAGCAUAUUCAAGGGUUCAAUGUGACUAUUGUCACUUCGGCCAAUACAAAAGAUGAGACUUUACUACUGUGGAGCGGCUUUUUGCUAAAAGAUGAAGGGGAAACUAAGUAAGAUGCCGGAGAAGCGACGAAAUAUACGAGAUCACAAACGUAGAUUGCUCACGGCUAAAUAUGAAUUGAGACAAAAGCUUUCGAAUUUUUUAACCCGAUCUUCCGUCUGAUAUGCGGGACAAACAUCGUUAUAAGUUGUCCAAGUUGCCAAGAAAGAGUUCAAUGGCACGAGUAAGAAACCGAGGUAUUUUCACGGGUCGCCCUUGUUCCGCAGUUGAGUUCUUUCGCAUUUCUUGUAUCGUUUUUCAUGGAUUAGCAUCUGGAGGUUCUUUGAUGGGCAUAAAGAAAUCGUCUUGGUAGCAACCACCAAACAAAUAGAACAAAGGUUAGCUCUGCAGCUAGUCCAGAAGCAAGGGUUGUAGGUCCAUUACCAUACGGCUCCCGACCAAAACUAACGGAGUCAUCCCAACUCUCGGAUCGGAGAUGCUAACGGGACAGGAAUCGAAGUGGGGGACCUCUCUACCGCACCUGUCUCCCGAGACAUAGACUACGUAAAGGGUUGUACUCUUGGAAAGAGAGAAGAUCACCGUGUCAACCAUCAUCCCGAGGAUCUAAAUCUGUCCUAUCGGAUGAGGAGAGCAAGAGGGAUUGCACGAUGAAGUAGAUCUGCACGUGGAAAGAAAGGGGUCAAGCGGAUACACGAUUCCAAAUUACUCCUUUCCGGCUAAGAAGAGAGGAUCUACAGGGUACAAUGUAAAGUGUUUUGAUCGCAUUGGAAAAGACUAUCCAUACCGACCUAGAGUCGUCAGCCAUCGCACAAGCAGGCAAGCCAAGUUCCGAUACAAUUAGAGAGAGGCCAGCCUUUGGUAUAUUUGAACCAUUGGUUUUUGGAGAAGGUUGAUUAAUUAGAAAAGUGAAUUAGAAUAGAUAGAUUGUGCCAGAAGGAUGUAACUCGUAUGUCUUUUAAAGCUACUUGCCUUUCCGAUUAGGAGAAGCUUAUGAGAAAGAUACUUCUGUUUGCUCAUUAUGUCAUUUAGAUAGAAAGUACAAUGUUUCUUAUGAUGCACAAAGAGAAGUUGUCCGAGCGAAUCCAUAUUGGCGUGCCGAUACCGCGUCCCUUCCCAGCUAGGGCUUCCUUUCACUCUUUUGGACCCAUGGAUGAUCCCCCUGAGGCCAUGUUUUUAGAUCUUAGUUUACCCUGGAAUUACCUAUUAUUUGCGUUCUAUUUCCGCUGGAAUUGGUGAAUGGUUCUUAUUUUUUCAUUCAGUAUAGCUGCGUGCAGCGGUGCUGGAAGGAGGGCUUAGUGUUAUAUAAGAUAUUUCAAUCAAGGGCAUGCGGGCCCUAUCAGAUCUCAGCUAACCAGACCUGGAACGUGAUAGGGACCUUCGGUGGAAGAAUCUGAUUCUAAGUUGCAUGCGAGUUUCAUGACUCUUUGGGUAUAGCAACCAUAGAAGAAGCGUUUUCUUUGAUCUAGAUAGCUGGGACGAAUCCAACUCUUUUUCCCGCGGACGAUCGCGUUGCAGCUCCUUUGGAGAGCGCUCCUAUGCUAAAGUAAUAAAUUGAAGACUACCAAGAUGGGAAUCCUUGCUCUUAUUUGAAGUUCUGCUCGCGUAAAUGACCUGAGUGAAGGUGUUGAAAAACUCAUAUGAUUCCCGAUGCCAAGAGCAAGAAAGCACAAUACUGUCGUUGAAGCCGAUGAAGGAAAGAGUUGGAUGAUAAAUAUGGAGCAUCAACUCACUACGCAAUCAUGUUAAUGGAUUGGUUAGAUGCUAUUGGAGACUUGGAGUAAUCAGAUUCUAGGGAAGGGAAGCUUAGAAUUCGGUAGCAGGAUUUCAAUGUGGCACAAAGGAUUGUAAUUCAUGAUUGCAGACUUAGUGCCAGCUCACAACGACUUCACUCACAUGAUCCGAGAUAAGCCUGUUACGGUGCAGCUAAAGAUAAGAAUAAGUCAAUCGCACGAACUAACACUAAUCCUAGAAUGCGUCAUAGGAGAGGCAAUUGCUAAAGAAAGUUUGAUUCGAUUUGAGUGUCCACUGAUAAUAGGUGCAUAAGAUAGGAAUAGGGAUGUGAUUGGCUCAAUUCUCAUAUGAAACUUGCCUUAUCUGGUGUCUCCUCCCAGCAGACAUGGUGAGUUGAGUCUCGAAGAAGCAGCUUAUAACUCAAGGUCUUUUAAAUAAAAGACGAUUGCCUUUUUCUUACUUAUUCGUAAGAUUCAUUUCAAAUAAGACGUAUCUUGUUCAAGCCAAUAAAUAGAGCUGGGGUUAUAGUUAAAGCAGCCAGUAGAAACCGAAAUAACUAGUUAUAGUAAGCAUGAAAGGCCAUUUAAAGAAGGAAAUCCAAGGCAUGAUUGAAUCCGCCAAAGAGAAGGAAAUAGAUGAUCUCAUUCAUACUAAUUGAUGGAUAGAAGAUAUGAGACUAAUAAGAAGGGGAAAGAAGACAGCUUAGCCAUCUAUUCUAUGAAGCAAGGGAUCCGUUAAAGUCAAGCUACGAAGCCCCCUCCAUCUCUACCCAAAGCUGAUUUCAUUCCAGUAGAUUCUUUUGAAAAGAAAGGCGGAUUCUCUUUUCUUUCAAGUAGGCCACUUUUUUCUGAUGUCAGUGUUCGAUAAGAUGUCGCUUUCAACCCAUUUGGGGUAGUAAGAAAUAGCCACUAAGAUGUAUUAGUGUCCAUUUGAUGCUUUGGGUGUUACCUUUCCUUUCCCUACCUCAAUUCCUCGUCCAUUCGUAUGGAUUCUCAACCUUGGCCUACAAGCGGAACAAACUAUGCUAGCUCAAGCUAGAACUCACUUAGAAGGUCAGGAAAGAGCGACUCAAUAGGGGAAAGCCGGAGCGCCUUAGCACCGCUUCAUUGGCUCGCGUCAAGUCUUCCGCUCAUUUGGUAAACAUGCACAUCCUAACCCCGCGAAAUGCCCUAUAGGGAACAUCCUCCUUUAUCCUCUUAGACUUCCCCGGGCAUGGAAUUUAGAAUCCUGGAGAUCCUAUCACUUACUUCGCCCGGCUCAUCCAUUCUCUGGCUUAUCCCAAGGAGAGCCUGAUUCGAUCCUAAGGUCAAGUACCCUAUUUAUAAGUCGGACCCGGAGCUAAAAGAUAACCUCUUUCUUCUUAUGAAUGGAAGGAAACAUAAAAACUACGCUAAAACCGAGUGAAUCAUAGUUGAAGAUAGGAUACCGAGAAGUCGGAUUCAGUUCAGUCCCGUUUUCAAGAUCCGGUUUAGUGUUUGGGGAUGGCUUGGUCCAAGCCCACAUCCAUAGUAGAUGGACUUGAGCAGGCAAGUAUGCCACCUACUGAUAUGAUUGAUUAUGACAAUUAUGAUAUGGACUGGACGGUUGUGCAACCGAUUGUACUAACUCGCUUACCCCUGAGAACACCUAAGACAUGGGGGUUAUUUAUGCGAGUAAGCCUAGCAAGGACCAAGAUCUCGAUCUAGCCUAGUUGGGGCUUUAGAGUCACAUGACACAGUACCAAGAAUGGGAGAACCAGUAACAAUUGAUACAGAUUUCCAACCAACGGAUCUUCUUACCUUUGGACCGGAACCUUUAGCUGUUUCCUACUUGGUCUACAGCUUGGUUUGAAAUGAGGGAGCCAUACCGUGUGGUUGAAGCAGAGUACCAUUUUUCAGUGGAUAGGGCACUAUCUCUAUUCGUAGCAGCAUUGCGUAUUGCUCUCACUAGGAAAGGGGGACAUAACCCCUACUAUAGAGCAGGAAUGGAAGGGAAUGAGCUCGGCUGCUUCUCCCCCACACUUCUUUAUUUCUCCGUGCCCCUAUUUAGUUAGUACUUUCGAGUUAAGAGCGAGAUAACGAACUAUUUCAUUUAAUAAAAAAAAGUGCAACGUCUAUAGGGUGAAAAGGCCAUGAGGAUGGCUACGGCUUUGAAGCUCCUUUAUCUACCAUAGAUAGAAUGGAAGAGUUUUUUCUCACUGUUGUUUCUGAUGUAGGAGUUGGGGAUGGAAUGAUUGAUUCAAGCUCUGGUGGUACUAAUCAUGUCUCUGGGGGUAAACCAACUGGAGCGGCAAGGGAACAUGCAGUACUGGAGAGGGAAUCUCAUAGAAAUACUGAUUCAAGUAAUUUCAGAGUUACCAGAGAUGCAAUUGGUUUAGAAAUAUGUACUAGAAAAUGGUAAACUAAUACUGACUAUUCUCUUUGGAUAUCUGGUUGGACACCAAGCAUUUUGACCCCUAUUUGAAUGCAGAGUCAGAGUAUAGACAGCUAAACAAUGUUGUAAUAUAUUUAUCUACCAAAUUAGAGUGCACAGUCAUUUUUCUAUUGAUGUUCCUAGAAAUUUAGUUCACUAGGGAACACCUUACAGGUUGGCAUGCCUCGGCAAAGCUUAUUAUGAUAUAUUGUUAAUGAAAAUGUCAAAGUAGCACUCUAUUUCCUCUACUCGCCCCUGGCGCCACCGCUAACCACUAUUAUCAUAUAUAACUAGAUCACGUACAGAGUUUAUUACACUUAUAAUUAGAUCACGUAAGCAGUUUACACUAGAAUAAAUCUACGGUUCUGUUCAGUAUGAGCAAUAGAAGUAGAUGGACUUAGAGUAGAAACUUAUGACUAGGUCCUAUGACCAGAGUUAUGUGGAUGACUGUACAAGAAGGAUACGAUAAAUGGGCGACGUUUUUCGACCCUGGAAGAACAAACUGACAACAAACGCUCCAUCUUUGAGUGGGAUCUGGAUGGUAUCGAACUAGACCUGCGAACGCGAUGGAUUGAGAAGUAUCUAAAUCAGAUCCAUAAUCCUAAUAGCCGCUUUUGGCUACUCGUAGUUGAUCAACUAACCAAACUUUUCCCCUGAAUAAAAAAAGCAAGUGUAGGUAGUAAGUAUCUAAUCUAAUAUGUCCACGAACUCAGUAGAGUCUCCGAAACCCACCUUAAUCCAUUUUAUAAGGAAUCUGUCUCCUUCCGUAAUCCAUUCCUCCAUCCCACACUCUUCUUAUAGUUAUGAGUGAAUCUGAAUCAAAAAUAAAUGAAGUCUCCAGUCAACUGGUGGAAUACAUCGAAUCAACCUGGGAGCAUUAGCCGAUCUGGUACAUCAAUACAUGUUCCUAUGCCCAUUCCAAUCUUGUCUAACUUUGCUAACUUCCCCUUCUCUACCCGUAUCUUGUUCGUUGUGGAAACACGUCUUCCUAUUCCAUCUUUUCCCGAAUCUCCCUUAACGGAAGAAAUAGAAGCUCGAGAAGGAAUACCACUAAAAACCUAGUUCGCUCUCAAAUAAAAACCUAGUUCACUCGCUAAAGCAUCCAUGGCUGAAUGGUGAAAGCGCCCACCAACCUAGAAAGGCAAAAUGGGUCAAAAAGUAGGUUCGAUUCCUGCCAGAUGCACUGCCUCUUAAAGACAGAAACAGAGGAGGGAAAGAAGGUAGUAUAGGGAACUUGCUUUUGGAUUCUUAUCGAAAGUGAAACCCUCUAACACUUCUGUUAGUGUUCUAUGAGAAAAUCUUUUAUACACACAACAAGUGUGAAAAUCCUUAGUCACUAGGCAAGAAAGCUCGAUGGGAACAAAAAGGAUACAAUUAGUUCAUAAUAAAAAAAAUGUACAAUUUCAAAGGAAAGAAGGAAUGGCAAGUUUCCCUCCAUUGAACAUCAAUCAAUCAAGAAAUAGGUAAAGGAAGGCGUAUCACAGGGGUAUUUUGCUUUUUUCUAUUCACUUCCGUGGGGUUCUAAAUUGAAAACAUGAACACAAAAAAAAUCGUAUUGAAAUUACAUAAAAAAAAGAAAAGGGAGGAGUAGCUCUUGGUUUAAAGAAAAGGGAGGAGAUGGAUCGAAUUCAAUCUUUUUCCUUUCUUUGAUGAUCUACAACACAUCUAUUUGAAUUCCCUGUGAGUGAAGGAUUUCUCGUAUGGAGAAAAACCUCUUGAGCGCUAUCUGAUCUUAUUUUUGUAUUUCAAAUAUGGGACCUGCCUUUUUAAUGGGACAUCCCGGCAACAGGCUUACUCAUGCAUGUGGCCAAGUACUCGACUAAUCCUCGGAGCGAAGGGAUGAACGAAUUCUCGAGGUCUGGUUCAUUGAGGUCAGCAUCACAUGAAACCUUUAGCACUUUUUUCGAUAUUGGAUGGAGUAUGGCUGGAAGGUCAGCCUAGCUAGUCUUGCCAAUCGGCCCUGACUCGUCUUCUCCUUGGUACCUACCACUAUUGAACUUCGGUACCUAUAUUCCUGAAACAAGACAGACCUUCAUGAAGACCUUUUAUUUUGGAGUAAGAUCGGACAUUUCCACAUUGAGGUGAAAUUACAUACGAGGAAAAUAAUCCUGGACUAGGAAAGCUACCCUUGUGUGGUAGAACCAGGUCUUCCACCGGGCGGUCAGCCAAGUACUGAAGCCCCUAUCUUGAUAUAGAAUAGAAGUGAGUUCACACUAAAAAUAGAAGAAGCCCUAUGAUUUUGGAGCCCUGCUAUCAAUCACUUCGGUAAAGGGAUCGAAAGAUUAUAGUCUGAAAUAGAGAUUUGAGAGUCCCUCGUGUGAGUACAUGCUGAAGAGCAAGGAGUGAAAGUGCGUUCAUCUUUCUUUCUGCUAGUUGUUUCCUGCUAAUAGUGAUUACUGAGUGCCCCAUACAUAGCCAAUGUCCGCCCGUGUUCACAUCCAGUCUUCUCUGUACACUAGUGCAGCUUCCAGCUCUAUGCCAUGUAUGGUAGUCGUUUGACUCGGGAAUCCCUGAUAAAAGCUUUUAGUCCAUGCCUGGCAGUUUCAGCCGUGGUCCAGUCCAGUAGCCUCUUUUCGAUCCAAGAGUCGCAUGAGAAGAAAGCUUCUAGUUAGCUUCAGUUAGUGUUAGUUAAAUAGAACGGGAACCUCGUAACUAUGCCAAGCCCGAUCUUGGUUCCAAUGCUGCAGAGAAAGGUUAUGGGUAAAAAUAAGGUCUUUAUCCUGGUGCUCCAGAGACCGGUGUUGCUGAUCGAACUCAUUUUCUUUCGAGGAGAUCGAAAAUCUCUGAAUUUCUGCGAAAAGAAUUUACAUAUUUAUUGCGAGGGGCUUUGAAAAGCGAAAGGAUGAAGACUGAUUUAGAUCCUCUGAAAGCGCAGGAAGUAUGCCUUUUGAGCUUUUUCUCCACCCACCUCUGAGCAUCUUGUUGGAAUGGUCAUAGGAAAGACUACGUACGAGAAAUCAUUCUCACAGCCAAUCCACAUGAGGUGUGUGAUGCAUAGCUAAAAAAACGCCAGUCACUAUCUGAAUGACUAAACAAAUACCUGCUAACGAACCGAACUUCGCCCCUUAUCUCUUCAUCAUCGUCGGUUCCGUCACUUGUGGUAUUCGUUUAGAAUCUUGUUAACCCUACUCGCUUACUCCUAUUUUCCUUAUUUCUUUUUCUAUAAAUAUCGUAUAUAGUAGCUGCCAAACUCACAAGCAUCACACACUUCGAUCUACUUUAUUGAAUAACUUAGCUAGAUAGAACCGACUCAAGCUUUUAAAUGAAAGAAGCAAUAAUGUCAUAAUUUCUGUCUCAAGACCUCUUGCAGCUACAGCCAAUGCAGCACCUCCUUGAUCAACAUACAACAUAGCCCAUUACGCCUUGCUCCAGUCGCAGUAUAAAGAGAGACUAGAACCUAUCGGGGAGCCCUCGGUAGAGUCCCUAUCGUUGUUGCAACAAUUACACACAGAGUUCCGGAAUUUCACAUUUGUGAGAAGAAAGGGUAUGUGUGUUUGAACGGAGUGGUGCAAGAACGUAUUCUGAGCCUCAGUCAACACAACUUGUUUCGCCUUUUCCGAACAGCAUUAUUAUCAGGACCCUCCUUUAUAUAAACCACUCGUAGAUAUAUACCUUCCUGUGGCCUCAGAUGAAUACAUCGAUAGAUAAGAAGGGAAAUGCAUCAUCUAGAAAGGCUUACUCAGGUUUAGGGACUCAACCAAUUUCUUAGUACAUCAACACAAGAAGUGGCGAAUUUGGGAUGGUACUACCUCAGUGAAACUGUGGGAAGAUGGGUAGGUGGGGCCUCUCAACCAAGACAUCGCGGUUGGCGAGUGGGGACUCUACUGAAGCACUCCGAUACCAUUGAUGUCCAAUAGCUUUGAUAGUAAUGGCUGGAUCUACUAAUACCCCGUCCAUUGAGUAUAAUAGAGCAAACGAUGGUAUAGCAAUGAACAAAAGAAUGACACUUGGAAAUAUGGUCCAAAUAAUUUCGAUAGUAGUUCCAUGAACAAUCCUUUGUGGGAUUGGAUUAGUUUGCUUGUUGAAAUGCCAUAAAGCGCGAACCAACAUCCGUGAUACGAAAACCAAAAUAAGAACGAGGAAGAAAAAGAUAUCAUGAUGUAAGUCAAUGAUUCCUUGCAUCAUAGGUGUUGCUGCGUCUUGAGAUCCUAAUUGCCAUGGUUCCGCAGCAUCACAAAGAGCGAUUGUGAGGAAUCGACAUGAUAAUGAACGAAGAAUCAUUGGAAUUUCCCAUCUUUUUCAGCUCUGCUCCCGAAAAGAGAAAGGAAGACUUAGUUUUAGAUCGGCGUUGGUUUUUCCAACGAAAAACAAGAACAUUCUUUCACGAACUUCCAUGAAAAAAUGUUAGUUGCCUCGUAACGCAUACAUUGGAGCGUUUGUCCCAUCGACGAAGACUACUUACUAUACGCGUUUUCUGAAGAGCAACAAUGGAAAAAAAUAGGUGAACCUGGAUACCAUACUAUUAAAGAAAAAGAUACAGACUAACAAGAAAUCAAGGACCUCGUGAGUACUACUUAGUCGGCCUCAUCAAUUAGUCAUGCCAAUGAUAUAUCAAGCCCUCGAUUCCAACGGGGCUACGGACAAGAAAGGUCCUUUCGAGAUUCUAUUUCCCCUUGGGUCUAUCAAGCUGAAUAGUUUGUGGGGAUAUAAGAAGAUCACACUUAGACAACUGUCUACACUACCUCUUUAAUGAUCCGGAUUCCAUGACGCAUAAUUCAUCUGUCCAUAUAUAUUCCUAAUUUCAUAUUCAUCACCAUUUCAAAUCGGGCAAGGAGAAGUCGUCGUGUUGGUUCUAGGAUGGAAUGAUCUUUUGAUCCAAAGAUGUCGGUGCUAAAACCUCUUGUGUCUCUUUUAAUAGGACCAGGAAGGCAAGAGCAUUGAGGAAGCAAGGAUUCUCCCAUAACUAAUUAAUGCGGGGAAAAAACAAGAUUUCACUAAAAAAAAGGUGCCUAACCCCGGGAUUUUUCGAUACUUUUCUUGAAAUUGACUGGAUUUGGAAGAAAAUGCACUCAACCUAACAAAUCCUGAUCAAUUCAAGUGGUUAGUUUAAGGGGGUACAUGGGGCUGACGCCGAAGGAGAUAGGAAUGAAGUAGGGCGGGCAGCUACCUAGAGAUUGGAAUGCCCUAUCGACAGGGAAUGCUGGUACCACCUACGGUGCUUGAUAGUCUUCAAUCCAGACGGUCUCGAGAGUACCUUGACCCAUAGCAUAGGGCUUGAUGUGGCUUUGUGGCUUCCCAAAAGGUACUAGAAUAGGUAGUUCAAGCACCAUCAUCAAUAUGUUGCUGCUAUUGAAUCCGGUUUUGAAACAAGCAUCAAGAGUUCGACCUCAGGGAACGCGUUUUCAAGAACGGCGAGGUAAUACUAAAAUUACCGGGAAAUUAUAUCAGCUGAGGUAAGGAGAUUAUUUAUAAUUCAUUCAUUAGCUUGUCAUACUUGUAUAAAUUUUAGUAUAAACUCGCCUUAAAUAUAGUGUAAAAGGAAGUAAUAACGAACUAUAUUAUUGUAGUAUUAGUUUAUAAUCAUUAAUAUAUUAGCUGGUGCCUUGUAAAAAUCCUUAUAUAUUGGUGCUCUAUCUGAUUCUAGUGCACUUCUCAGGUGUUAGGUGAUCACAUAGCUUGACCUCCAUUAUGUGUCCUACUUUUUUAUAAUAGGAUAUGAGCAUCACGUGAAAAUGGCAUGAAAGUGCCUGUUCGUUUUACUUUAUUGAAGAAAGUUAUCUCUAGUCACCAACAUUAUCAUAAAAAAAGUAAAAAUGGAUAAAUAACACAUAAAUCAAGGGCUAUGUGGAUCCUCAGACAUAUAUGAAAUGGAAUAAAGAUCGACCAAGCUACUUAUGAAUGUAACCACAAUUAACAUCACUAUGGUUAGGCUAUCGAACACAGAGUCAAAAGUGAAUUACAAGUCAGGCCAAUCUGCGAAUCGAUGGAUGGACCCUUGGUUGUUUUUGUGAUAAGUCGCUAUUAUCAAAUAAAUAGUCAUUUCUUGCUCGAUUCGAGAGGUGAUUUCAUUCCACAGUGACAAUUCAUGUUGAAGGCGUCCUCCGACAUUUAUGAUUCUUCCUACAGAGGGCACUACUGGCAAAGAAUAACCUUUCCACCCGGCGAGAAAAAGAGAUAGAGGUUUGCACUUGGCCCUCUUGGUUAGGGUGUAGAGGGGAUCUAUCAGCAAUCCCGUCGUCUUCUUCCAGCUUUUUCCUCUGAAUUUGAUAUACUUCAAAAAUGAAUCACUCUUUUCAGUAUGAAUGGUUGCUCCUUACAAAACGCGUACGAUAUAUUCGUCUUCGUAGUAAAUAUGACCCCUAUCAGGUGAAGACUAAAUAUCUACUCCUAUUCAGAAAACUGCUUAUGUUUCCAGGCUUUUACGCAUGAUAAUUUAUCUUCCAGCGCUUUUUUAUUCCCCACCAACUGCUACGCCCCGCGGGGCUUCUUCCUAGCGCUAUUGAAAUGAUAUUCCUAUUAUUGGUCCUAGCAAUAUCCCUGGACCAGGGCACGGCACCUAUCCAACUAUGUCUUGUUUCGGUUUCCGGAUCCGAAUCUUUUGUUAUACUUAUGCAUGGAUGAUUGUACACAAUAGGUGUGGAAAGUGCGAUAGAGCUCGAAAAUGGAUGCCCCUAUUUCAAUUUAAUAAGUGCUUGUGCAACGGCUUGAAAGUGACAGACUGAGUCAAGUGACCUGUUUUUUUCACAUGAUCCAGAAUUGCACGAGAACCUACAAGUCCUGUUAUCAUUCUUAAUUCGAUAGCCACGGGACAGCCGUUUUCUCGUCUCUCAGCCUUUCUUAUACCUGCACUGACCUCAACGGUAUCCAACCUGCAAAAAAUAUCUAUACCCAUUAGCUCAUCACGCCAACAAUUCUCUUGGGUUGACUGAACCUACCUAUCCGAAAUCCCUGUUGCCAACUUCUUACUGCACAGAAGCAAUGGAACAGUAUCGUAAAGUGAAGUGAAGCAAACAAACCACUCCUUUGGAAUUGAUGGACUUGACUGAGAUGUGCCAUUGUCAUCGUCAAGAUCGUCCAUCACGAGUACCUUCUUUUCUGCAUCCGUCAGUUCCAAAUUUCCCAGCAUGUUUUAUUACUUGCCUCGAUUGAUACCAUCCACUUAUUUCUCUUUCUCACGGGACACAUAAAGAUACCAGCGCUUGUGCGAACAGUUGAUGCUUGUUAAGCCAUAGCUAUCACUUCUCGCGCCAAAGCGCUCCCACCAACUACAAAAUACCUUAUAGGAGGGGCCCUUGUCUUCAGCUAAAAAGAAGCAGAUAUUGCCGUAAGCAGGAGAUGGAAAAGCCCACGAUCCAUAACUUACUCACUCAGAUAUUUACUAGAGCUUGGCAGUGAAUGAAGCCAGUACAGGAGACUCCGAAUCCUAUUCAGAUUGCCAAUGAUCCAGUCAAGCAUGAACUAACCAAGCAUAUUGGUUUCGAUCACGUCUAUCCAAAGACAAUAGAGCAAUUUAGAGCGUAGAGGUAUCUUUUGCUAAUGAAAUGAGAUUGGAUAUGAAUGUGGAAUUCAUUGAGUGGAGAGAUGAACUAAUCUAUACUCUGCCUGUCUUCCAUUUCUCUGAAGAUUUCGUUUACAACACAACAUCAAACUCCAAUUUCAUGAAUUGAUAGGUCAGGAUCGUUGUCGAACAGCUCUUCUUCAUUUCUUCCGGAAUUCUUUCUUCUAAGGUAGUAGGUAUCGGGUUUCCCUGUUCAUACUCCGAACGUGAGUUAAUAUACUCUUGUAGAGCAGAUCACUUAGGGCUUUAUACUGGUUCGACGACUGGGUUCUUGUUCCUUUCUCAUCUUUGUCUGUCCACUCCCUUUGUUUUCAACAGUCUUUGGAGCUUCUAGUACCACUGGUGUGAUCUCAUUCUUGAAUGCUAACACCUUGGUGUCUCCUAAAGCUACGCUUUCUAAGCAACCUGAGUGUUCUCUGAACUAGGUGAACAAUCCAGGGCGAUAGCGUGAAAGGGCCUCAUCAUUGCUCAUCCAGUUUCACUACAUCAGCCUCCUCGUGUUCCUAAGGGCUACCACCAACUAAUGCUUUUCUACUUCUGGCUAGAGCUACUAACCUACCUCGAACAAGAGCUGCAUCCUGGUAGCGCUUUGAAUCAUCAUUUUACUAUUCCUAGGUUCGAUUCCUGCUGUCUUUACUUUGUCUUGCCUCUAUGCCUUCCUGGUGGGUGACUGUGACCUGGAUAUGGUUCGAUGGUUGGUGAAUCUAAGCCAGAGUGAUGCUUUCUUAGUUUCAUAAAUGCCUUUCUAAGCCCUUUCCAAUCAAUGGAGAAUGGUUACUAGAGCUAGCGCCUGUCCCACUUUAGAACACUAAGAACGUAAUAAGCCUAGCCAGGACAAAUGCACUCAGUGUUAGUCCGAUCACCUCGACUAAAAUCAUCUUCCCUUUAUUAAUGACCAAGGGUAUCCAUAUCAUGAAAUGUAGAUACAACAGGGCAGAGGCAUUGAUGCGGGUAGAAUGCGUGUCUGCUUUCCUGUUGUUUGAAGGAGUAGAUACAUUCAUUUCCUUUUGCUAGAUGAGAGUGAGAGUUGUGUGGGAUGUUGACAAUCACUAUCUCGUGAAGUCACGAGUGUAAACCUUACAUAGUUCUAGCAAAGCGCAAAGACGAUGGUGAAAACCUUUGUUCUUGUUCGGCCGGUGUUGUUCAAAGAAAACCUGGACAAUGAGGGGCAGGUUAUAUUCCCUUUCUUCUGAUCGAUUGAGGAAUCGUGGAUAAUGACACCACGUUUGUAGCAUCUACUACUAUUGCAAGGCCCAAAGCACGUGGGAGAAUGUUCGUUUUUUCUGGAUCGGAUUAGCAAAAGCAAGCAAGCGUGUGAUGUGGCGGGGAAGCCUAAAAUAAGCCUUUGGGAGGCAGUGUGGUGACGCCUGUUUGGCGCGUGGGAAUUAACUAAUCUAAUGAUAUAUUGGUAAUUGCCUGUGGGUCCGCACACCACUCCUUAUGUUCAGCUAAAAAGCCUUCUGGGUCGAAUUUCUUAAGAAAUAAUCAAAGAUUAGAAUGCCAAUGUGUUAGAAUGUCAACGGGAGCUUUCACAAAGCCAGGUCACAAAUACAAUGAAGAAGUGCUACUGCCAACAGACGCAACCACGGAUCCCGAUUCAGAAGAAUCUGAGAAAGGCGAGUUAGUUAUCACAUGAGAGCCAUAAGAGCUCUCCAGGAGAGUGAUCGCCCGGUGUGACUGAUCCAAUUUAUAGUCGCAUUCAAGGCUCCACACGGGUGGUAAAUUCCAAAUAAUAUUUGGAUAUCUCGAAGGGAACCCCAAUAGAACCAUUUAGAUACUUCGAUGAGAACCAAUAGAACCAUAAUGGUGAGCGGCUACGCGUCGACGCCAGGUUAAUUUAUAGUUCUAGUCUACUGGCCCUAAUUCACAGUCGCAUUUAUUACACUUUUACAAGACAAAAGCGAUAGUGGUUAGAACGCGCUAGACUGGCUGAUGCUAUAGAUUUGCUCCAUCCAGAGUCACCCAAAAGGACCUUAUCUGUUGAAUGAUUGGUUUUAUCCUCGAAGUCUUUCUAGCCCGCCCGUGCCAAACUAGUCUUCUUUCAAAGAUGUGGAUCCAACAAAAAUGUAGAUCCAAUUAACAAUUAACCGCAAAUAAAGGUUUUAGGAGAGUCAUUAUCUCCCUAUAGGCACACCGGUGGAAGAAACUCCUAAAACAGGGAAGCACGAUCUUGUUGCUUCUUCUGUUCUUGUGGAUCCACGCCUGUGGUUAGCAAGGCUACAGAACACAAUAAAAUAGCAUUGAUAACCAGAGAGAUCCGCGGGCCUAUUACCAGUUUUGGCAUGUUAGUUGUUUUGGUCAUAAUGUUAGCCAUUUUAGGCCUCUCAAAUUCAAUGAACAUGUUUUGCAUGGAGUCGAUAAAGACAGUGAUAUGAUUGCCGCAUAAUAAUAAUGAGUUCCAAAGAGUACGAGGAUAGCCCAAGCCUUCCACAAGUUCCUCGCUAAACAGUGUCUCAUCUACGCUUCAUUUUAUACGUUUUUAUAGAUAAAAAGGCCACGAUAGACCAUCUGGUGCUAGCUCCUCAAAUCAUUGGCCAGAGAGGGAAAUGGAUACAGCAAGUCUCCCCUCAUCUACCAGAACGUGUUUGGAGUUAUCUUCGCUCCCACGCAUGGCUAGACAACCGAAAAACAGCCUAGCAAAGAUGACUUCUCUUGGGCAAUGCAAGGACAAGUAGCUCUGAUUAUGAAACACAACACAAGUUGGCAUAACCCAAGUUAAUAUGAUAACUCGAUCAUCCAGGUCUUGCCUGUGUCAGCUUCUUUCUUUGGAUCAAUGAAGACUUCGGCACCCUUGAUCUUUUCAGAUAUGAAUGAAAGUCGGUAAGCAAUCUCCGAAACCACGAACUGAUGGACAUCGAACUCUUCCUUUCUUUCUAGCAGCAUAGCAACAUAGCCCUACGGGGGCCCAAGAAGCCAAUCUUCGUCAACCAAUCAUAUCUAUCUAUUGAUGCCUACUUACAAUCGUGCUCUUCUUUCCCAUGUCUUCUUCUCUUCCCUGAAUGAUCUUCGGAAAACAUAGGAAUUAGGUCGAUGCUGCUCAAAGAAUAGCUCUGGAUACCUGUGUUUCCAAUACUGACUUCAGGAACAUAACGGUUCACUCCCUCCUAUGGAUAAGAAGUAGACAGCUCGAUGUGAUGAUAGCCAUUUCUCAAUUUAGAAGGUAGAGCAAGUCCAAAGCAAAGAUGUCUUAAGUAGUGCCCCCACCCCAAUACUCACUAGUUUCUCUGGUAUCCUGUACUUCCCGAAUAUAGCGCUCAUUAACCUGUGGAAGGACAGCAAAGGUCUCAUCCGACGAAUUGACACUUGAUCCAUAUGCUUCUUUAACAAGAGUGGAACAUGUGGUUGGUCGACCUAUGAGAUACUGGAACAUCUCAUGGUCAACGAUGAGAAUUUGUUUCGGGAUCCUUCCUUUUUAGGGAAGAUGAUUAUAGAUCUUUCCCUUUCCCUAAAUCCGUGUUGGUUUGACCAUGGAGAGUGUUCUCCCGUGCUUCCAAACUUGCUGAGCUCUACCAAUUUUUGUACAUUCAAAAAGGGGAAUUGAUUCCUUCUCUAGAUAGGGCGGGAAAACUAGACUAUAUAAGAGUUGAUACAUAAACGCACAUAUAGUAAGUAUUUGGAUCUUCCUACGAGACUGUUCUUUUCGCUGGAGAUUUCACAAUUAAGUCGAUAUGGGGUUUAUCCUUCAUGUUAUUUCAAAAAUAAAGGCGUCGCCUUGAAAUGCCCUCGAGGACCUGGUUUUUUUACCCGUUUUUCCUGGCUCGCAUUUUCUAGGUUAAGAUCCCUGUAAAUUUCUUCCAAUUUGGUUUCGGGCAGCUUACGAUUUCGACAGGAUCUCAGAACAUUCUUUAUUUUCUUUUUCAACAACGAAAUGGAGGGUACUUCUGGGUUGGGCGGGGUGCGGCUUGCGGAUGGCUCCGACCGAAGGUUCCGCCAAUUUAUCACUACUGUAGUUUAGUGUCGCUUGCUCUUGUUUGCUGCAGACCUCUAUUUUCUUUCCAUCGAUUAAGAGGCUAAAUGAACAGGGUGCUGGAAUGUUUGUUGUGUCCGACGUCGGGCAACUCGGUUGUAUACCGUACGUUCGUGCUCUGGAGAUACGUACGAUAUCGUGAUGGAGAUCAUUCUGCACUACCAUCAAUACGGUAUGCUUUUCUUCCUCGCCGCUUCCCGCAAAUGAUGUGCUUCAGACUUCUGAACACGAAAUGGCAAUACUUAGAAUCCAAUUCUUGCUUUGUAUUAACACCUCUAGACGUUACCUGAGCUGACUGUGCAUAUGAAGAACCCCAGUGGUAAACGAAACUUUUGUUCAUUGACUACAUUGCCUGGUUUUGAUAAUGCGCAGGACCCGUGCAGCGGCGGCUGCUUCCCACCAUUCCUCUACUUUGGCGCAGCCAAACUCCUGACUUCGGCGAAAAGAAGGUAAGUAGAAUGAAAGGAAAACAAACCACGGAAUUGGAGAAUCAGUUGUUCCUUUGCAGUGAGUGGAGUCAAGCUCGUUCUCAGUCAUAUCCACUAUAGGAGGUUUGCUACAUGAAGAACGGGAAUAGGCAGGCUAUUGCUUGAAGGAAACUAGGAACUGGGAUUGAUUGUCCGCUCUAAGAUCGGUAUUCAUUCUGUUCUCCUCGGUUCUGGGUCUUCAUCUGUUCUGUGGGCUUCGUCUUUUUAGUCUCUGAAAAGCCAGUUGACAUGUGCGAUCCAAUCAAGGAGGCAGUACUUCUGCCUGAGUUCCUCUGGAUCCUACUUGUCGGGAUUACCGUGCUCCCGCAGGUUGUUCACCAUGCAUUCCAUAGCACUUUGACUUUAUAUCUUUUACCAUCUUGGAAUCAUGUAGAUGUAGAUUGCUUUCCUUUGCUACUGAAAAGACAAAACAAGGGAAGGACAAAAGGUUUCCCCCGAACCCCCUUUCCAAAGGAGUAGAAGGGAAAAGACUCUCUUCACUUUUUAUGCUCCGCAUGGCUCCAGUCAAGAUGUGACUCAUCCUGUAUAUACAUAAUUAGGAGACCUCUCAGGAACUUGUUAAAGAAAGGAGUACCAUUUGUGUGGACAAGCCAAAGCAAUCCUUUGAUGUUCUCAAGAAAGCUUUAAUUGAGGUACGCAAGUAGUGGUUUACCAGGAACUCGUAUAAGAGCUAGUCAUAUAGUCCUUGAAGCAUUAUUCCUUUUAUCGGUAGGGCUGUUAGCAAGGAGUUUGAAGCUUGAGUACUUUCAGCUUUCCUGUUUUAGCUGGGAAUGAAGUUGGUUCAGAGGUGUCAAGUAGAGAGGUUAGAUCUUCUCUUCCUUCUCAUACUGCGAGUAAUAUCUCUACUACACUUUCCACUUUAUGUUGAUCAGUUUGAGCAUGAGCAGCUUGUUCAGGAGCAGCCGCCCGUGGAAUUCCAUCCCAGUCCAUUCCGGGAUAGGCGGCUAAUAGAAUCUAAUAUGUGCAGUAGUCGUCGUCUAACCAAUCGGCUCGGACACCAGACCACUUGUGCCCGCCCAUUCGGUCUCGCCCUAAAUGGAAUGGCUCUCUUAGUUACGCUGUGCCCCGACCCGAGUCCCCACGUCCGCUUUUAUCCGCCUGCAACCCGACCAACACAACAUUAGGGCCGUCCCCCCCAUUCUAUGCCGACCCGGGCCGGGGCUCGAUUUUGGGAAGCCCGUUCCCACCGCGCUCACGGCCCGGCUGGCCUGCCAGCGGUAGUGGGAAUUUUCCCGUUCCCUGGUCAAAAAGGGUUGGUUGGAUGCUGGAUCUACUCCACGAGGAGCGGUACGGACGUAGAUGAUAUCAUCACGACCUCUCUUUGCGUACCGCUAGGGAUGCUUAACGCCACUUCGCCAACUGGCAUUACCUGCGCUUUCGUGUCUCUCAGUGUGGUCAACACUGGGUGUUUCCGAGCAGCGAGGCUUACACCCAUUCACAUUAAUUCAUCCAAAGUUCCUUACCCUUAUGCACGAGUUUUGGAGUCAAUGAGCAUCUCAGCAGCGGGAUUGAAUACCCGGAUCGAAUCAGAGUUCACGCUGCCCGCCCUAAACAAAUAGAAUAGGAGGCAUGGGCCACAGGUCACACAUAAUCCAUCGGGUCGCACGACAGAAGAACACCCAACAUAAAGAUGCACACUCCUCCAUGUGAAAUAGAAAGAUUCAUCUUCACUUUUUUGUAGUAGUCGUGACCAACAGCCAUCAGCAGUCGGCUCGUUGGUAAGGCGAGAGCUUCAAGCCCGCUUUCUGGUGGCACACCCCCCAAACAAGCACCACUCGACGAGGGGGGGGGGAGCUACAGGCCCAAAACCUUCGACUCUUCUUUCUAUAUGGGGGUGCCCGGGGCACCUCAUCUUGUCAUUUUGUUGCUCAUUCCCCUUAGGCCGAAGUGCUUGGCCUUUAUUUCGGAGCGCCCGCUCACGCUUCGCUGACCUAUCGCGUGGUAAAGAGAAGAGAGUACGAAAGAAUUGUAAACAGAGCAGACCGCAGAAAGAUUCUAAAUAUGACAAGUCCCCCAUGGAUUCGAUAAUAAGGAAAUGAAGAACGGGAACGAAACUAAAUAAAGCAUUUCUAGCGGAUGAGCUUCUCUCCAUUUUGUCUGGUAAUAGAAUAGGGCGGCUUGCUUUGACCAACACUCCACUUUUUGCUCUGUCCAUGGAGCGUAUGAAUUUCCUUAAAUGUAGAUAGACCAAAAAAGGGAAUAAAGGGAUAGGAAUAGGAAUUAUAGUACCAUUGGAAGAAGAGGCACUAGUGGGAACAUCUCUACUGACGAACCAUUUCAAUAGUACGGGUGCUGCCGUGCCACGGGGCACGACCAUGGAAGUAAUGAAAAAGAAGAAGUUCUAUAAUUGGACCAUCUGCUCUAUCCGUUCGAUUUGAGCUUCUCCAGAGAAGAUGAGACGCUAAAAAUGAAAGUGUUCGCAACGCAGAUCUGAUCUACUUUAUACUGACCUCAAACAACGAGCGAAGACGAGAUGUUGAUGAGAAAGGGGCUUUUCUCAAGGCCAAAGAGUGCUCUUUGAAGGCUACGAUGCAUCCUUACGAAUACAAGAGUGGUUUUUUUUGUUUUUGGUAUAGCAGGACUUGAACCCGCGACCAUUAGGUUAAAAGCCCAAUGCUCUACCAACUGAGCUAUACACCCAAUUUUACAAGAAGGCUUGGUGCGGAAAAGAAAAGAGGGCGGCCUAGCCCCUUUUCUUCUUAUCAUAUCACAAGGGCGCGGCUCUUUAUGGUAUAGUACUGUGGAGCAAGUCUGGGAGUCCUUUCCACUCAUUGAGGAUUCUAUCUAAAAAAGAAGGUCUAUAGUAGCUCGAACUCAGACUAUCUACGAAAAAGGUAAAGUGACACGCAGAAUAGAUCUAUUAUCACUUAAGCAAAGUAAAUAUGAUUGACAGAAGUAGUAUUAUAUUCCAAUUAACGUCAAAUCGAGUAGUCUAUCCUUUGUAAUGAGGAUUUGCGUUCAUUUCUUCCGUUACUCGCUUGUUUACUUUCCCCAGUAGCCCAGGGUCGGGAGCUAGAACUUCUGAGGUGAACAGUCCCUUAAAUUAACCCUGUAUCAGAGAUGCUAACUGGUCAUUACCUUUGAUCUUGUUGCUGUUUGAGUCAUUCAGAAACUUUAUUAUGUUCUUCUUUUUUCUCCAUUGCAAAAUAAUGUGAUGAAAGAAGCUCGUAUUUCGGUCUCCAUGGCGGAGCCAAUUAGCCCUUCCUCUUUGCAGCCAUUAAUCCGAGUGCAAAUUCUCUCAAUUCAGUGUUGGAAGCAGUCGCUCCUAUCCACUCCUACCAGGGAGAGGAGCCCCAAGUAUUUGUCAGUGAGCGAUUCAGUGACAAUAUUCAGCAGGUUGCAUACCUCUUGUCUGUCCCCCCUAUCUGUCUAAGGAUCCUUGGUAAAACUCUCUUCAUUGAAGGCAGUACGUGGGUAUCCAUCUUAUCUACAGUCUGCGGGUCAUCCACAUGACCAAAACAAAGGGUACGAAAGCAGUGAAACCGAUAUAUCUGUUGAAGGCGAUCCCACCGGUCCUAUUUAUUAAGUUGCAAUGGCGAGUAUCUUUGGACCCCAAAGAGUUGUAUAAGUUGGAAAAUGGAGAUUUGCCUGUGGCAUUGGCCGUUGGGCAGCUAGCUAUUCCAUUUGAAGGCUCCGCAGAAAGAACCCGCAGGUACUAUUACGACAGGUGGCUUCGAAUCCAGUUUGUUAGUCGUUUGCAUCUCGGUUAACAAAAAUAAGCUUGAAUCCCUCCAUUCGUAGAUCAAUCAACUAAAGUUGUUAAAACAAUGCCCCAGUAAAAUGGUAGUAGAAGGUCGUUCUUUCUUACUCUAAGUUGCACUCACGUGCUGCCGUUUUAGAGCUAGGUGAUAUUCUCUGUGUAAACCAGUAUCGUAUCUGUUUGAUAUGGACCAUUCUAUAAGUAUAGUCAUUUCAGUCUUCCUCAAAGGAUCUCUGAUCUAUUGUGCAACCUUCCCUUCGAAACCCACCCCACAUGUAUACUUCUACCCCUUAUCACAGCUCCAAUGCCCACAGGCAUCUGUCUCUAGUACAAAUCUUUUACUGAAAUCAGGGAGAACCAACACAGGGGCCUCAAUUAAAGCUUGCUUGAGAACAUCAAAGGAUUGCUUUGGCUUGUCCACACAAAUGGUACUCCUUGCUUUAACAAGUUCAUGAGAGGUCUCCUAAUUAUGUAUAUACAGGAUGAGUCACAUCUUGACCGGAGCCAUGCGGAGCACAAAAAGUAAAGAGAAAGGAUUUGUUCACCACUUUAAGCCAAAAGAUAGAAAUGAAAGCUGUUCCCAUAGAAUGAGAUUAGAUCCCGCAAGUGAGCUAUUUAUACUGAAGCUUACAAGAAGCAAAGUUGAAACGGGAGCUUUCCUUAAACCAUGAAUCAACAAAUUGAAAUAGAGAUAUCGGUAUCUUCCAAUCUGCCACAAGGAUCUAGUCGCCAGUAUCUUUGCCUUCUUCCCAACUUAUCCCAGCAUUCCUUGUAAGCGUUGCUAUCACUAUUUCUCCCUCCGGUGGCCUUGAGGCGUCUCGAUCAAUCGGUGUAUCCGCCACAGGACACACCUCCUUCUCUCAACCAUCCGAACAAGAAGAUUCUAGCACUAACCCUCCAGCAGCUUUCUUUCCGACCGAAGUACCGCUUUUCUUUGCACUACUUUCGAACCGUAUCAGGAACAAGAGCUUAUGUGUUGCUUUCUUUUUGCAGUAUCCGCCCCCAGGGGUUAUUACUUGAUGAAGAGUGCUUCCCCUUUGAGCACCUUAUCUUGGCCAUCAAUAUAAUUAAUCCAUCCUGCCUGUCUAGAUAUUGUUGUUAAUACACAGGUUGAUUGUAUGACUAUGGCAUAGUGAGUUCUGGCUCCUAGGUGACAUACUGAAUACAGCAUCGAAGCAGGUCUAUCUUAUUCCAAUGUAACGAUUCCAUUGAAUAUUGUGAUAGCAUCCUUGAUUUUAGCUAUCUAUUCUCAGUGAUAUGCUUGCUCCUCUUGGAUUUCAUUCCAUGAUAAGUAUGUAUUGGAAGUUGGAAUGCCUAAAGUAUUGGUGCAUUAGGGUCCUCUUAAGCCUUGUUUCCUUCUUGAUCUUACCUUUCCGUUGCUAUCACUCGCUCUAGCCUCUCCUGGCCAGAGCUCCCUCUAUCAACAACACCCUCACACGAUUGAUUCACUGGAUAAGUAUGGCUCAUAUAAGGUAUCCUGAUCAUAGUAAUUGUAUCAUAUCUCCUUCUCCUAUUGAUCUUACCAUCCCUCGAGUCCAAGUCUCGGGAUGGCGCUUAUUAAGGUCCUAUCACUCCUAUGAGACGGCUAACACCCAACUCCCGAUACAUUCUUUAGAGUCGACCAAAGGACUCGUUGGUUUGGACACAGUUUCUUUGUUCCUGUGUUUCUGUUUUGCUCUCCCCCUUUUUUUCACUUAGUUUAGUUGGAAUGACAAGAGAACUUCCUUCAGUUUUUCUUUUUUGUUAUUGCCUGGUUCGGUCUCUCUGAGUGGAAUAAGUGGGUCCUUCUUGUUUUUCCUGACUGAUGAAGGUCGAAACUGAAGAUUGAAUCAAGCAGAGUCUAAAUUCCUAUGUUCGUACCAACUCAAAUGAUUGAUGAAUUGGAUCUUGAGUAUGCUCACUUCGCUACUCAGCAAGGGUGAAAGAAUGACAAAGAGACUGGCAUCACAGAGGAUGGGAAGGACCCAAUCGCCUACCUCUUUCUUGGUCCACCCCCCUGGUGGGUACUUUAUAGCUCACAACACGAGAUAGGAAGAUAUGUGACAUAGAAAAAUUGCUUUCAUUGACAACAAGACUCUUUUCCUGAUUGGGAUUGGUCUGUGCAGGAUCUCCUUCCCUAUGAGACUCUUGCUUCCCUUUGAAAGAGGCAGACCCCUACUUCAAUUGUCAUCUGACGCCUCUACCCGCCCUUGGUGUUCGUAGAUUGGUUUUGCCAGUUAGGGUUUGUGUGGUGGGUUUCGAUGAUCUCGGGUAGCUCCUCACUUGGAUGAGGAGUGGGGAAAUAAGAUUGCGGAAGAGAUUGGUGAAGAAGUGGAACUAAAGGAUACUAUAACCAAAGCUUAAAAUGGGGGGGGGGGGAUGAGGCUGAUGUUGAGCUGGGUGAUGAAGCAACUUCACCGCAGCAAGAAGCCUAGUGAGCGGUUGACCUGGCGGAAGGUCGUUCUACCUUUCCCUGUGCCAACAAAGCAGGCAUACUUGAUGGACUCUUUGGGGCUCGUGAGAGACAUUCGUAUUACUGCGUUCUGUGAUCGUAGAUCGUCAGGAUUCCUCAUUGUAUAUCCGAGAUCUGAAAGUGUGGCAAAUGUAUUUGAAGGCAUGGAAAGAGGCCGCCCUCGUGCAAGACUUCUUUAUUCUCCCGAUUUCCCUCCUCCGGUUGGAUUGACACGAAAGUCCAGUGAUAACAUUGAAGUACUUUAAAGAGUCCCUUUCAGCCCCCGCUUUAUCAUAGGAAGAAGAAGAGUAAUCUAGUUUAGGGGUAAGUGCCCUUUUGUUGCCAAUAUCUAGAGUCCUGUUGUGUUGAUAGAGCUCGGAAAACUCCUCUUUUAGUGAUGGAUUCUAGUAGUCCUAUGCCUGGAUUGCACAAGAACUACUCCGCUUCUAUAUUGGGAAACACUGUGUUUGAGCUUCUGAAAAGAAAUGAAGCUGUUACCUGAUCCAAGCAGAUAAGAUGCUCACGGCCUGUCCUGAGCACUACGGAGAUAUUUCUUGAUCCACAUGAGAGUCAGCUCCCUACACCUACACCGGAUUAUGUCAAUGAGAGCUUUCCAAUAGAGAUACUUCUGACUUAGAGGCACCGGAGUUGGCCAACUCAAAUUGCAUUGACAGUGAACCCUUGGUAGAUGAUUCAGAGCAAGAUUAGAUUCUUGAUGAUUUUUCCCUUUGUUUGAUCGAGCGAUGCCGAAUCUUUAUAGCGCAUUUCCACCUAUCCAUGCUUUACGACUUGUCGGAGAUGCUGAUGCUGUUAAAAACCAGUGUAUUCGAGAGAUCUCGGAGAACUUUCAUGCAACAGACGCUGGGUUAAUUGAUUUCGUCAAUCAGACGGAUGACACUGAAGGGCAAAGAAGAGUCAUAUGGAAUCUUAUCAAGCUUCAUUUCCAGGAUGAGCUUGAUAAGAUCCCACCCGAACUACAACAAAAUGAAAAUCCAGAGGAGGAAUGAAUGGUAUGGUAGCCAUCAUCAUCAUUAUGUUUUUCGUUAUAAAUAUAAAGGGCUUGCUUCAUUUGAAGAGUUAGUUGGCCGGCCUACCGGCCCGCAGAUGUAGAGACAGAGAUAGAGGUUGCCUCUCUUCUUGAACUGCGAAAUCAAAGGGACACUUGGAAAGAAGGGAACGCACGGCUCUUAUCUGGUUCGAAUCCAGUUCGUCCCAGCCAGCCACAAAGACUACACCAAACUACACUAACUAUGAGUUUAUGAAAGCGCAGAAAAAACGAUAACUAUAUAUGGGAAUAUGAAAGCAAGAACUACUAAUUGUAAAAAUGACAAUCGAAAGCCCCCACCCCCCGGUAGAAAACCAGCUAUCGUUUCAUAUAUGCGCUAGGAUAUAUAUAUAGUAUCCUAUCCCCCUCAAUCUCAGGAGUCGCUUUCUCUAUGCCCGACUUAUGAGCUCUUUGCUUAUUAUUUAUCGGGUGGGAUGAAGGUCGAAAUGUCUAGUUUGAAUUGCUUAUGCUUAUAUAGUUUGAAUCGUCUAGCUUCAUACCAAGGUUGUUCUACAAAAGAACCAAGUAAGAAAGUAAGCCCGUUCAAUUGAAAUAGCUUCCUCGCUUCGCAGUUCGAUACCCACUGAAACUAUGGAUACGAUAGACUCGGGAGGGGUAAAGGGUUACUUUAUUUGGGCUGCUAAGUCUUUCUUGUUGAUUCCGGAAAUAAAGAGGACCUUCUUAAUCCUUCGUGCUCCACACCCGCCUCACUGGACCUAUCCAUUCGAGCUCUCUCCUCUAAUCCCAACUCGACACGGCUGGACGACGACGCCUGUUCACUUAUAGCGAAAUCACAUGUUAAGCCCGAUGAAUUCAUCUACAAUUUAUGGAUUUGUCGGUCUGACAAGGCAGAACCAGGGCCCUUCCAUUAAGGUUAUAUUAUAGUUUCGAUAGGAGAGAUGCAGACCAGAUAGGAAUGCAAGAAUACUCUGUAAUUUUUUUAUUAAUCGGUUUAGUCUGUGGAAGAGAAGUCUCGAUCUAGAGGAUUGCCCCCCCCCCCCAGACUGACCUAGUUGUCCUUGACUUGCUUCGGAAAGAAAAGACCUAGUACUUGUUUACCUUGACCAUGGUUACUUUCCCGCCGCCUUUCCUUCUAUACUUUUCCUAUGUGCUAUCCCAGGCAUCCCUUGUCAAGCUACCUAUCCCUACGAAAAAGCAAGCCUACUUACUACGUGUUUUCCUCUAUUGGCAAAUACGCAUAUUCUGACCUACUCACGUGCAUAUCUUGCAUAAAGCUUUCCCCUAAAAAACAAACUAGCCCGUAUCUUCCUAGUCCUUGUUGCCAUCCCUACUCGACUUUACUCGACUAUUUAGAAAAAGCUACUACUUGAAUGCAUACUUUAACUAUUAUUUAAAGAAAAAACAAAAACUAUUUCUGAGUUUAUGCCCCACCAACAGAGCAAAAGAACGCUCAAAUGAGGAACUAGAAUAUGAAAGUGCAAAAUAUCCUACCGAACAAAGAAAGCACUAUAUCUCCUUUUUAAAAUAUGGUAAAAAUUCUUCAACCUAACUCAACACAACUAUAUUUCGACUGUAUAUGUAUGUUUGUAACGUGCCACAAAACCAUCUUAAGAUUAGACAGUUAUCAAUCAACAAACGCAUUGACCACAUGCAAAAAAUCAAGAUGGAUCUCCUUCCUAUUAUUCGGUGCUUUCCUUUUAUAAGUCACUGCUAUUCUUCCUUGACCCUUGUUACCUUUGCUAGAUUUUGCAUUCCCCUCAUUACUAUUCGGCUCAGUAUUAUCUUCACCCUUGGAAUUGCUUCCACCAGAAGUAGACGACAAGUACUGUAGAUGUCAGAAUUUCGUAUAUAGCAAAUUCAGGUAGUAAGUAAUGGAACUGUAGCAUGCAAAGGGACUGUACCAUGGAAAUUGAGAAGAAAUCUCCAUCAAGUUUUUCCAUUUUAUGCCAUAUGAAUAAGAGAUUCCUUUUAGUUAGAAAGCUCACGUAGAAGUUUGCUAUCAAAGACCUAGGUAUUCUUUUCAUCCGCGGUUUCCCACUUCUCUGUCUCUAGGUGAAUGCCUCUACCAGAGGUUAUGCGCCAGCUUGGGAAAGCCUUAAGUUAUAUCUUAAUCUGUCUUGCAAGGUAGAUUGGAUCAUGUCCGCGAUAGAAGUUGUGGAGGAAUGAAACAACGAUUUCGGUAUAGGAAGAGAAAGGGAUUGUUCUUUCGACCAUGGCGAGAUAGGAUAGACUUGGGAUUCUUUCUUGUCCCAUGAUUGCAAACACUCUGGGGCUGAAUUAAUUAAUGAAACUAAUAGGAAGGAUUGGGAUGAUGAACUGGUGAGAUUCUUUCUUUCGCUAACUGACCAAGGUAAUUAAUUCCUUCCAUUGGCCAGGUGAGUAAGCAAGGAGACGACGUUCUCAUUAAAAAUGAAAUAUGCCAAGCCGAAUUCAAAAACAACUCCUUAAACUCCGUCGUUUACCGACAUCCUCUCGGCUAUCAUACGUCCUCCGCUUAUCUCUCUUAGGCAUAGGCAUCUCAACACAUUCCUCCUUCCGAGUUGCUUGUCCGAACUUGGCUCUUUAGUAAAACGAAGGAGCUGCUAAGCUAUUAUUAGGUAUCAAUUUAGGAGCCUUUUGUCAUUUCCAACUACAUUAUUGUGAGCAUUCGGAACCCGUUCCUACGCGGUCAUCAAAUUGGCUGGCUUUGGACCCUCGAUCGCAGCAAUGAACUCAGCGUCCCACUUAACUUACUUUUGGUACUUUUGAAUCUUGUCCCAUCCCAUAGCUUCACAAGUGAAUCUACCUAUGGAUCCAUAAAGUUGAUCAUUACUUCUCAAAUUCUUAUUUCAUGUGUCCGCCAUAGCGCUUAUCUAUCUCCUGGCCUGAUUCAUCUUUGGAAUGUAACCGGACAUAUUACAAGGCGAAAAAACAGUAAUUUCAUCGAUUCCGGAUUGCCCACUGUCUCCCUUUCCCUCUUUCCUUUCACUUUCCUCGCAUAACGAAAGCAUGAUUUACCCGAGCCGAGUAUCUUGUUAGAGUAGUAGAUUCCGCGCUCGAGAUGAUGUGUGUGACCGGGCAGGAGAUUCUUUUACUCCAAAGCCAUUGCGCAGGUUUGUGUGUGACAACUAUGUCGAUCAGUUUCUAAAGACGCCCAGAAACUAUGUCUAUAGAUUCCGGGAGAGAGUACAAGUGGUGCCAUCGGAGGAAGCUGAUAACCUCAGAACAAGAAUGGACAGCAUUUCGCUCUGCUGGUUAUAGCAAUGACGGCUAACACUUUAUUCCCAUGUGAUAAUUAUUUAUAGAUCUUUCGUAUAAUGUUAGACUAAAAUAUAUUGGAAUAUUCCGGCUUGACUAAAUAAUAUUAAUAUAUUAUUGUAGUAUUAGUUUAUAUUCACUGUUCAAUAAUAUUAUGGCAUCCUUACUUCUAUCAGGUAAAGUUCAACAUUUAUUAUUCAGGCUCUUGUGAGGUUAGGAUUAAUAUUAUUUGAUAAUAUAGUUCUCAUGCGCAGUCAACUUACUAACUCACGCCCUAAUUCAUUUUAUUUCUAUAGAGGUUAUGAUCGAAUUUAAACAUAAUAAAGAUCUGAGUAUAAUUCCGACAGAUAUAUUAUGAUUUAUGGUUGUUAAUGGUAGACGAAAACGGAAAAAAGAUAUUACAUCUAACUUGAUUAAUUGGAAGGUUUAGUUUGCAUCUACCAUUACCAUUACUAUCGAGAUGCCUACAGUAUAUCCUUUCCAAAAAUAUAGAGAAUUAUGUAAAUUUCUCCUUCGAAAGCAUUUACUGGGGACAAUGAAGCCCUUCUUCUCCUAUUCUAUACUAAAUAAACAAUCUAAUUCUAGGAAGAGUUUCGAAUACUGAAACUUAAAGGAAUGGCGGUUAGAACAAAGCAAGGGAUGGCACUUUCAAUGUGCGAAAUCCGUUUUGAGUUAGAGUGCGAAACUUCUUCCUGCAGCCGUCUUAUUCACUGCUUGCUACUUUCUAAAAUGGAAGAUAAGAUGAAUGAAUGAAUAGAUUGCAUUUUUUCUAGUUCAAUCUAUAGUCUAGAUUCCAUUCCCUCGAUCCACUCUCAUUUAAAUGAUGGGAUUGGGCCAUACCAACCUUCACUUAGUCUUAAUAAAAUAUUGCUUCAUAUCUUCAAGGAUUGGGAGGAGGUGGCGUAAAAAGGAAGGAAAAAGGAAUUCUAAAUCUGUCCCUUCCCACAGAAUCAUCGGGCUUGACUUUCCUUACUUUCCCAACCCCGCUACUGUAAAAAGAACUCUUUUGUUUUGAGACUAGCUAGUCACUAUGGUUUGCGGGAAAACUCUUCUCUCUCUGGUCUCACUUCGAGUCCUUCUAGAAUUAAAUAAAGUAAAUGCUUAUUCAACUACGGCACUGUCGGACAACCGACCAGAUUCAAGCCCUAGCCCCUCAACUCGGACGGACUUGUGGAAAUUCUCGAAAACAAGUAUUGCUCAACUCACCUAUCUAUAACAUAGAAAUGUUGCAUCCAACCCUGGAACGAGAGGUAAAGAAUAGGCUACCAUACGAGAUGAGACGACUUCAUUCUUGGCUUUCAUCCCUACGCUUAAGAAAGAUAAGGGAUUGGAUUUCAUACCUUUUAUUUAGAGCUCCGUCGUUCCGACUGGAAAAUGUAACCUUCCACCAUACGUAAACCAAACCUCUUUGCUUUCUGGCUUUUCCUUCCAAUAAACAUCAGGGUGCGAAUCUGAGUAGUUCCUUGCUCAAGACCACGAAGCAAGAGCGAAGCAGAACCGAUUUUCAAUUCAUCGAAACUCUUGAAAAGUUCCUUUGCUUUUACAGCGAAAGCACCUGCCAACAAAUUGGAACCAUAAUCCCCUCCAUCUGCUUCGCACCAUGCUUGAUUUCAUGUUGAGCCGACUCCAGUCCGACGUCAAUCCCCGGGCGCUGAAGGAGCUCCUGAAUAGACUCCAAAACGGUCGGGCCCAAUCUCAAACUUCUAGGGCGGCAAGGAGAUUCCUCGACGAGGACUAGUGAGGCUAUAGUACUUACUAUGCAUAGGACUACAAAGGUGAAAAGACAGGAUGUAUUCCGAUGAAAUGCCUUGGAUGUGAUAUGAUCGGCAAGAGAAAGAUGGAAUUUGGUAUAAGGAAGGAAAUCAAACGCGUUGUUUGAGAAGGAAAAAGGGUAACCUAGUUUCCCACCUUUGGAAUAGGGCCUUCUUGUAGCCAGGGUCUCCUUUGGUUGUAUGCUUGCUACGAGGUCGCUCAUUGGGUAGGGCCUGCCUCAUGCCUGUAUUACUAUACCUAACAAUCUAAGUAAGCCCCCCCCCCCCGAGGGCCUCCUCACUCUGAUUCACCUCCCGGGUGGUAUGAAAAACUAUUCAGUUUCUUUACCUUCAAUAGAGGAAUGCAUAGAGCUAACUCCUUAUCUCUUGGGCUUCUGGAAAGGUUGAUGCAUUAGUCCGCUGUCUUUCCUUCGGCUUUAGAGGGAUGAGUAGUUCUUUUCCUGGAAAAGUACCAACCAAUUUUUGAAUUUAGCAUUGUGCGCUUUAUCAAUUGGUCUUUUCCCUCAUACUUCGAGGGUCUUCCCCUCGAGCUGAGCUAUUGAGAAUAAAUAAGUUGAUUCAAUCCUUUUGGAUUGAUCCACUUAACCACUGGUUUUUGGUUCCAGUGGCAAAUGAACAGUUUCCCAUACCAUUUGUGUUUUACCACCCGGUAUGGAGCCAUCUUAUGUUUCGUCGGCUGCUCUUUGCCUGAGUGUGUGGGACCCACUCAUAAGGUUUGUUGCACCCGGCUAAGCUCCCUCCCGGUAGGGCUAGAGCGACAGCAAAGAAAUGGUCUUCUUAGGUUUGGCAAUUUUACUACCUCCUAUCGAAGAGCCGUCCAUCUACUUACUGCCUGCGACCGCCUUCUUGUCGCCCGCCUUUUUCUCUCCCCUCUUAGUGAACCCACUUUCUUUAGUAAAGCGGUUUUGCAUCCGUUCACUUCUUGACUUUCCAUGGGUUUCUUAGAGAGCGGGUGGUUCUCGGUUCCCCACAUUUUUCUACCCCUUCUGUUCUGAGACGUGACUUUUCGUCAUCCCUCCUUUAAAUAAGAUCCCUCACUUAUAGCUCGACGGGCCCGCACGUGGACGGGGCAUUCAAAUUCUUUUUAUAGUGGGAUCGUAACAUCCUCUUAGUUUUUUUGACAUUGGACAAACACGUGUUCCUCAACCCUAGGUAGGGCGUGACUAGGACAUACCUAGCCACUCGAGCCAGACUAUUGUCUACCUGAAUAGCUUUUCGUUUGCCAUUAACUGAUCACCAAUGUUGCGUAACAGUCACUCAAAUACAGUUUUAGAGGAGCACCGUCCUUUCUUAUCUUGUGACCUUGAAUUGGUUAGGUGAUCAAGCUUUGGAUUCAGGGUUCAGUAGCACCUCGAGCUGAAUCUAUAUCGGUCGUUAUGGGUAAUCGUUUGCAGCCUUAGGGCUUUUGGUACUUGGAAUACACCAUGUAUAAGAAAACCUUAUUCAAGGGGGAGGGUGUGAGUAGGUGGUUGGAUUACUGUGAAGGUCUCUGCGAGCUUGAGGGCAGUGAAGACUAUUGUCUCCACCACUAAAAACGGGUAAUACUCGCUCAAAGUGAUGAAAUCUGUCGAGGAAACAUAAGAAGUUUCCUGUGUAGUGAUCUCUGUUCAUGCGUAUCGUGAUCACAGGCAUAGGCUGUGGUUGGUUCAUCGAAAAAGAUGAGCCGCAGUCAGGACAAUCGUACUGGUUGCCGUCCUUGAAGGGACCGAUAGCUAUACCGGAACCCCAACAUGUUGGAUGUGAGCAAGAGAAUGGGAAAUGAGACUAACUGUGUUGACUAGUCCACUGCCGAUCAAAUCAACUGAUCAGUUAGGAACUCUCCCAUUCCAUUUGCAUAUCACUUUAAGUUUUUGUCAAAGCUUUCCAUACCUGUUCCGGGCAGCAAGAGGUUAGCAGAUGGGGCCCCUACUCUGUGAGGGAGAAAUCGCGCACACGCAAGGGAGGAAAUCGCCCGCGCGCGCACGUGCAUAUAUAGUACUGCUCCAUUAUAUAGUUUAGUACUGCUCAAUCCAGUCAUGAGAUUGGAGCAUAAAUCUAAUUAGAUUUUUGCAUCUACUCCAAAAGGAAGUGGAAUAAGACCAGCAUUAUGAACUAUUGUUCACUGCAAACCGUAUGUGUACUACUCACUUCCAAUACAAGUAGAAGUAGACUUACUUGAUUUGAUCACAUGAGGGAUCAAAGAGAAAAGGCUAUUGCACUCCAAAAAGGAGGCCUAUUUGGCCGAUUUAGGAGACCAGACGUAUGAUCCUCCACACGCCUACUCCAAGUCCGUGUUUUGAGCGCAUUUGACUAUGAAAUCAGGCCUCUGCGCCUGGGUCAUCUUCACCCAAACAUGCAUACCAUGGAAAAGCCAUCUUGAUAUUAAGGGGAAUUCCUCCUAACAUCGGAAACUUUCUGUUGACCCUAGCUUUGCACCAAGGCACUUUUCCUAUCUUUUCGCGUUAAGGCGGAGCAGUCAGGUAACGAACUGGAACUGGAAACCGACUAACGUUACUUUUCCUUUGCUACUAAAAAGACAAAACAAGGGAAGGACAAAAGGUUUCCCCCGAACCCCCUUCCCGAAGGAGUAGAAGGGAAAAGACUAGACCUAUUCAAUAGAUCAAGUCUAGCUUUCCCUACUAUGUCAAAGGAAAGGGACAAAACAGAAAGCUACCGAUGCAGCUGAUCGGUCUCCUCAAUCGUUCCCUCGAUCGGUCACUCCUCGUCAACCUUGUUAAAGGAAUUUCAACUAAACAACAGCACUAAAGGAAAGGCUCUCUCCGUUAUAAACUAUUGUACUCCCUAACCUACCUUCCGGUUGAUCUGUACUCUUCACUAUGGUUUCAAGUACUCACUCCAUCGAGCUAGUCACGCCUCUCAGAUUCACUCCUCGAGGCUAGGAACAUUCAUGCGGCACCGGGUCGAUACGGACUAAAGUCCAUGUCUCCCACAAAGGAUUGUUCAUGGAACUACUAUCGAAAUUAUUCAGACCAUAUUCCCAUGUGUCAUUCUUUUGUUCAUUGCUAUACCAUCAUUUGGUCUUGCGUCGACAAUACAAAUAAUGGCAUUUGUUGUCUUAUUCGGAGUUCAAGGAAUAGCCUUUCAUCUUGGGAAUGAGAAUGUCGCGGAUCUCAAUGUUCUCGUCAUCACCAAUGCUCCUAACGAGGGUGACUUUCCCAUAGACCAACCUCCCAUUGGCGGACUACCAGACCUCCAGCAGGAAAUGGCGCACGCCGCCCAUCCCGAAGACAUAAUUGCGGAGUUGACUUCCAAGGUUGAAAGAAUAUUUCACGAAGUAGGCACUCCUCUUCCUUUAGAGGAAGGUGAAUCUGCGUGAUCGUUCACUGAAAAUCAUGUAUUGUGGAAUAGUGAGGGAGGAGAUACUCUUCAACAAAUCUUCUCCGAUUAUACGGAAGCCAGGGACGCAAGCGAAUUCGUCGCAAUAGCCACCAAUCUGGCAAAACGGUUUCGCCGCGCCGAGCUCGGUGAACCGGAUUCUCCCGACCCCGAUGCGCCUUUGGAAGAGCAGGAGGCUCAUUCCACGGGAUCCCCUGAAAGCACAAAAGCAAAUGAUGGGCCGAACGAGGCAGGCCUGCCUUCUUCGCGGAAGCGUAAAAGGUGGGAUGAUGAUUCGGGGGUCCGAAGAUGAUGAUUCAGGGGGCCCCGGGGAAUCUCCAGAUCCAGUGGAAAUCGUUUACGAAGGGGAUGCACAAGGGUACAUCUAGGAGGGGAAUGAGGUUGGCCGCCAACUUUGCCUGCCUUUCUAUCUGAGUUCUUCCCUCUUGAUGCUUUCGAACGACUCCUAAAUUUCACAAAAUCCUUUUUUUCUUAUUUGAAAUCCAAAUCGAAAUGCCUCAACUUGAUAAAUUAACUUAUUUCUCACAAUUCUUCUGGUUAUGUCUUCUCCUCUUUACUUUUUAUAUUCUCUUAUUUAAUAAUAAUAAUGGAAUACUUGGAAUUAGUAGAAUUCUCAAACUACAGAACCAACUGCUUUCGCUCCGGGGGGCGAGAUCCGGAGCAAGGACCCUAAGAAUCUGGAAGAUAUCUCGAGAAAAGGUUUUAGCACCGGUCUCUCAUAUAUGUACUCCAGUUUAUCCGAAGUAUCCCAAUGGUGUAAGACCGUCGACUAUUUGGGAAAAAGGAGGAAAAUCACUCUGAUCUCUGAUUUCGGAGAAAUAAGUGGCUCACGAGGAAUGGAGAGACAAAUUCUCUAUUUGAUCUCGAAGUCCUCAUAUAACACUUCUUCCAGUCGGAUCACUUGUUGGAAAAACAUAAUGCUCACACAUGUUCCACACGGGCAAGGAAGCAUAAUAUCAUGAAAGUCGUCUGAUAAUCUUUCUAUAGGUUCCCCGAAGAGAAUGGAAAAAUCACAAAAACACUUUCUAUAUGUUCUGUUAUUUUGAGAUUCGAAGAAGCAAGCAAGUUUUUCAUAUAGCUGUUUCCUGUGUAGUGAUCUCUGUUCGUGGAGAUCAUGAGGCCCCUGAUACCCUGUGGUACGGGGGGGGGUAUACCGGACCAGGUAACCAGAAGAUAAGGCCACUCGGCAAGACUAGACUAGUUUAACACGGCUAUCUAGUGGAACACUAUAUAUAUAGGACUUGUAGAGCUUGAAAAAGCUUGUUUUGGUCUUUUUUCUCUUUUCUGGGCACUGAACUUCAUAGACAGACUUACCAAUUGAUGAGCCAAAGUAGCAAAUUUCUUCUUCCUGGGAGGGGCGGACUCUACGUUGGUAGAUCAAACUUUCAUUUCUUCCUUCCAUUUCAUCUGUUCAAGUAGUCUCCUUUUCAAGUAGAUACGCUUUGAUACUAGACUGGUGUGCUAAAAGGCGUGAAUGCAAAUAAAAAACAUCCCCUGGAUAAGCCUCACGGCCGGGACUUAAUAGAAGGGACAUUUGGCGAUAAGCUUGUGCCUGUUUGGAGAGAUCAUCAUAAAUUAUAAAGUAUGCCGUUCGCGGUCAAGUGAGAGACAAUUGGUUUCAACUGUGUCGUCGGGGUUGUAUUCUUAGACCUGCCAGGUGGGAGGAACCACCGUUCUGCUCUUGGUCUUGGAGCAUCAGUGUCAUCAGUUCACCCAAGAUCAGCAGGACAAAUAACUACUAGGUUUGUGCCAGAAAAGCGUCUUGCGUGACGGGGAAAGAGUGGAAAAAGAAAGAGAUUCAUCAGCCAUGGAAUCUGACAGGUACCGGUAUUGAACAGAGGGGGCUGUUCACAAAGCAUCCCAUGGAUGGUAAUGGUGCUUCCUGAGCUGCUGUUCCUACUCCUUUGGCUGGUGCCAAAUCAGGUGACUUUGAAGUUGAAGCUUGCCCGCAGAACGAUGUAACCAUGCUGGUAGUACUAUGAUUGCCUUAGAGCGCAGAUGUCUCUGUCCCUAGGAACGUGAUGCUUAGGUGCGAGGUGAAACACAAGUAGGAGA
rnacentral:lncRNA from 1 species